UAUUUUGUAACUUAUCAAAAUGUGGCAGUGGUGCUACAUAUUUACUGUUAUAGACAAUAUUUGAUCGGUUGUCAAGAAUAACAUAGCUGUAUGUUUUUUAACAGUGUCUAAAAUCAAAAUAAAAAUGGAUGGGGUAAGGUCCUUCACUUAUGAAGAAUUGUCCUCUGCUACGAACAAUUUUAGCAGCUCCGCUCAAGUCGGACAAGGGGGCUAUGGGAAGGUAUAUAAAGGUGUCAUUUCUGGUGGAACAGCUGUUGCCAUAAAACGUGCACAGGAGGGGUCACUGCAAGGCGAGAAGGAGUUCCUUACUGAAAUAUCGCUACUAUCAAGGUUACAUCAUCGCAAUCUUGUGUCUUUGAUUGGAUACUGUGACGAAGAAGGUGAACAGAUGCUGGUUUAUGAAUAUAUGCCAAAUGGCACACUAAGGGAUCACCUUUCUGGUACAUCAUAUGUUCUUAUUUUUUAGUUUUCUGACAUUUUCUAUUAACUUUUUAUGAUUUAGUAAAAUCAUGCGCUGUUUUACCGCAGUUUCAGCAAAAGAACCGCUGACUUUUAUCAUGAGAUUGAAGAUUGCAUUAGGGUCGGCUAAAGGUCUCAUGUAUCUGCACAAUGAAGCCGAUCCUCCAAUAUUCCAUCGUGAUGUCAAGGCCAGCAACAUAUUAUUGGAUUCUAAGCUCUCUGCUAAAGUCGCAGAUUUCGGACUUUCACGGCUUGCACCAGUUCCAGAUAUGGAAGGAAUUGUGCCUGGUCAUGUAUCUACUGUGGUAAAGGGUACACCGGUAAGGCUUUCAUAAUUUGAUUUGGCUUUUUUAAACUUUGCAUGUGUGUGUUAAGAGGAUUAGCAAACUUAUUGUUGAGAUGGAGCCUGUUUGGAUUGAAUUAUUUGAUGUUAUCAACUGGCAUAAACACUUGUUAGACUGUUCGAGAAUGCUUAUGGAAACAAUUUAUUGCAUUAGCUCUUUAGUAUAGCUUAUGAAAAUAACUAGCUUACAUGAAAUCAAUUUGACUUUAUUUUAUCCUUUAGCUCGAAAUAGCUUAUACAUGAGCACUUAGAUGAUAAGUGUUUAUGCUAAAAACACUUAAUUAAACUGUUUAUCCAAGCAGACCUUAAUCUGAAACGUAAAAAACAUCUCAGAGAAAUGGCCGGUCAAAAAAGUGUGUGUUUGUGUUUGUAUUCAAAGGUAGAUUUUAUUUAUUCAAAGAUCUUUAUUUGUUGCUCAUCUCCCUUCUAUCUAUUUUGAAUAUGCAGGGUUACCUUGAUCCGGAGUACUUCUUAACUCACAAAUUGACCGACAAGAGUGAUGUUUAUAGUCUCGGCGUUGUGUUUCUAGAAAUUUUGACUGGGAUGCAUCCUAUCUCACAUGGAAAAAAUAUUGUUAGAGAGGUAUUUGCUUACCACUACACUUAGUUUAUCUCCUUAUUCUCUAACUUGGAUCAAACUGGAUAGUCUUGAAGUAACUAGUAUCCUUUUCGUCAAAUUAAUGGAACGCUUGAUGCAAACGCUUUUCAAUACCUUUUUUCAGGUCAAUCUUUCCUACCAAUCUGGCGUAAUAUUUUCAAUCAUCGAUGAACGAAUGGGAUCAUAUCCAUCUGAGCACGUCGAGAAGUUUUUAACAUUGGCCCUCAAGUGUGUUAACGACGAGCCAGAUAAUCGGCCUACAAUGGCAGAGGUGGUUAGAGAGCUUGAAAACAUAUGGAAUGUAAUGCCGGAAUCAGAUACCAGAAGAGCUGAAUCUAUAACCAGUGGCAGUGUCAGUGAUUCUAGUAAAGCAAUGAGUACACCAUCUUCAUCCUCAGCUAUAAGGACUGCUUUUGUAUCAGGUGAUGUGUCUGGUAGUGACCUUGUUAGUGGAGUAAUACCAAGCAUCAAGCCAAGAUAAAACUAUACACAUGAGUUGAAAAAUAUUAGGUUUAGAUAUUAUUGAGGUUGUCAUUAAUUACCUUGUGAAUUGAAUAAUGAGACUUGGUAUGUCACUGGAUUUCAUCUUCACUCUUUAUAUUAUUUUCUUUUGUACAAUCUGUUACACUGAUAGAACAUGGGGGGUGUAUAUAACAUAUUAGUUUCUUACAUCAUAUAAGCUAAGGUGUUGUAUAUGUAGUGCAGUUUAAUUACUAGGAAAGUGAAUUACAUUUGAGGUUGUUUUUCAAACAGUAUAGCAAUUUUUGUAGUUAAUUCCCUCUUGUACCAUAUUUAUAAAUUUUGUUAUGUGCUGUUAUGUUAACACUAUAGAUACUACUCCAUCCCAUCUUGAAUAUAAACAAAAAGUCAAAUGUAUCUGAUUUAAAUCAAAUACAUUUGAUUUUUUAUUUAUAUUUAAGAUCGAAGAAAAUAUCUUACAAAAUUAUUAUUGUUUUCUUACUACAAAAAGCAUAAAAAAGAACUCAUGCAAAGAGUGUAAAAUAGGUGUAUGAGACUUUUAAGAAAAAUCAAUUAUUUUUUCAUGCCACUACACUUAUAACUAUAUUUUAAAAUUAAUAAUACGACGAGGCUCAGUUUAUUUUUAUUAGUUUUCAGGUAGUUUACAUUACAAUUUUUUUUACGCGCGCGAAACGAGUCUCAAUUGUAAAGACUAGUUUCAGAACUGGAUUUAAAUUCAUAACUUCUGGUUAAGUUGGAAGAGAUAUCUUAUGAUCUCAUCAUUAUGCUCUUAAGUUUACAAAAGAUGUCUAUUCAACUUACUUUUUGCUUUCUUUAAUCCCAAAAUGUUAGUUAUUUUAUGAAAUCAAGAUGCAAUGAAUGAUAUUUUCCCGUUUGUACUCGUAAUAAACCAAUAUCAUGAAUCAAAUGAAUAUUACCUAUAUUUUUAAAUUAAGAUAUCUUCUGCACACAAUUGUAAAACUAAUUUCUCGAAAGAACUGAAAUUUAUUUAAGAUGUUGAUCUCUCCAAACAAAUAUCUUUUCAUAUGCAUGGACCAUGGGUCGAUCCUUAAACCAAAUAGUUAGAGGAUCCAAAUUAAUGAAUUUUACUUUUAAAAAUCUAAACUUAUCCAAAGUAUAUUUCAAUAUGUGUGCCCAAAGGUAGGGACUUGAUGAAAAUAGUUUUCCUGCCUAUGACAAGAGGGGCAAAAUAAAUUUCUUUCUUGUGUCACUUUGGUUUUGCCAAUAUCUUAUUGUUACACACACCUAAUCCUUGUUUGGUUAAAUGCACCCAACACCUAAGGAUGGAGAUAUUGAUAAGCUUAUUAAACACGAAAUUGACAUAUCAUGCAUGAAAGAUAAGGGACACUCCUAUUGCAUGAUCUACAAAUAAGAGUAAUGAGUACAAGUUAUCUGUAUGGAAAACGAUUUCAAUAAAUGAGAAGAUUUUAAUAGUAAACCGUCAUCCAUUGGCAUUUCUAGUAACGUUUGGUUACAUGCCAAAAAUUUAAUAGCAAAAAUCCUACUAAACUCUCCAUUUGUAUGUUUCACUUCAACCAGUAAUUGUCAAGUACAUCUCGACGUACCAAUAAUGUUGACUUAGUUGAUCAGAAGUUGAUUCAUCUACAAGGUCGUAGAUUUGACUUCUGUUACAAACAUUAAGACAUUUUUAGUGGAUAAAAUGUAAAUAUGUAUGUUAGAGUCUUGUGUCUGCUCUGACUCUGAUGAGUCCUGAAAUCCAACUCACCUAAACUUUAUUUAUAUAAUAAAAAAUUAAAAUGUAAUUAAUCACCAGCGUGAGCUAAUAUGUGAUUAUGUGACAAGCUAUUAGCAUAAAACUUGUCUAGAGUUAGUAAAUAUAUCCUUUAAAUCCAUUUUUAAUUACUUAAAAUAUUUUUUCUUUCUGGUUUAAAAAAAUGUCGGUGGGUAUUGUUGUUAGCAGGCCUAAAAAGAACCCGGGUCCAACAAGCUAACCCACUUUCUCGAACAUUCUGGGCCGGAAACGGGUCUAGCUAUGACCCACUUUCUUAAUACAUGACGCAAUCCCAUACGUCAGCACACAAUCCAAACGCGCCAAUGCAAAGGUAUAAAAGGAACACCAACCUCUCAUCUUUUUAAUUCCAAUUUUCAGUUUCAACACAAAAAAUCAACAAUGGGAAGAAGUAAGCAACUAAACAACCUCUCUCUUCCUUUUAUUCUCUCCAAGUUUUCUCAUUAGUUCAAAAUCUUCAAAUAAAUUUUAUAUUAAACUAAUCCAUAAUUAUAUUUUGACAACGGAAUUUUAAUGUCAAACACGGUGUCCUAUUGAUUUUGUGUGUAUUUUUUUAUAAAUAUAUACGAUGUCACAUAAUUUUUAUGUUUAAAUAGCACAACUCUAAUUAUUCUAACGGUAGUAUAAACAUUUUGAUAUUUGUCAGGACCAGCGAGAUGUUACCGGCAAAUUAAGAACAAACCAUACCCUAAGUCACGAUUCUGUCGCGGUGUACCAGAUCCAAAGAUCCGAAUCUAUGAUGUAGGUGCGAAGAAAAAAGGCGUAGAUGAGUUCCCAUUUUGCGUCCACUUAGUAUCGUGGGAGAAAGAGAAUGUCUCUAGCGAAGCAUUAGAGGCAGCUAGAAUCGCGUGCAACAAGUACAUGUCAAAAUUUGCUGGAAAAGACACGUUUCAUUUGCGUGUGAGGGUUCAUCCUUUCCAUGUGUUGAGGAUUAAUAAGAUGCUCUCGUGUGCUGGGGCGGAUAGGUUGCAGACGGGGAUGAGAGGUGCGUUUGGGAAACCGUUAGGGACUUGUGCUAGGGUUAGUAUUGGUCAGGUGCUGUUGUCUGUUAGAUGUAAGAGUGGGAAUGGUGAUCAUGCUCAAGAGGCUCUUCGUCGUGCUAAGUUUAAGUUCCCUGGGCGUCAGAAGAUUAUUGUUAGUAGAAAGUGGUAAGUACUUUUUAGUAUUGUUGGCUUUCUUAUUUUAGAUUUAAUUUUUAUAUUUUUUGCUUAUUAAUUUUCUCAAUUCAUAAUUAUGCAUGCAUAUUUUUGUUUUUAUGGCGAGUUCCACAUACUUUAGUACUUGAAAAUUGUCCGAAACUUCGAGUAUAAGACGUGUACGGUAGAACUUGUCUUGCCUUAAUUUUAAACCAAUUCCAAUUUCAUGUAUUAGUAAUUUGUGCUGACUUGAUUGUUUUCAAUUUUUUAGGGGAUUUACAAAGUUGAGUCAUGCUGAGUACUUGAAGUUGAAAUCUGAGAACAGAAUUGUGCCGGAUGGCGUAAAUGCAAAGGUUAGUAUUUGAAACCUGAUAUCAAUUUAUCUACAGAUAGAUGAAGUUUUAUAAAGGAACAAUAGAUUCAUUUGCAUUUUCUUAUCCAAUAAAGGAGGUUGGAGAUUUCACCAUAUUUUUGGAUGGAUGAGGUUAUUGACUGAAAAUUUUCCUGUAUUUUUCAGGUUCUUGGGUGCCAUGGACCUUUGGCCAAUCGUCAGCCUGGAAGAGCUUUCUUGCCUGCUUAGAAAUAUAUGAUUUUACUUCAAAAUGCUCAAUUGAUGUGUCUACUUAUCAGUGAUUAACUGAUUAUGUUAUUAGUAAAUAGAUAUUUGAAUUGUGUGUAUCAAACUGUCUUUCCAAGAUGUCUAGGGUAUGACAGAUGCACAAAUGAUGUAUCUAACUUUUAAUUAUGUACUGUCAUGGUUGGAACAAUAUAUAAAAUAAAGUGCUUUGUUGUGUGUACAUUAAUUUUAAUAUACUGCAGUAAGAUGAUCUUUAUCUUCUGAGAAAUAUGAAAAGGGGAAAUACAAGUAUCAACUAAUCAAUUGAGGCUCAAAUGAUUAGUAAAUUUUCUCAAAUCUGUGGAUGUAAAUGCAAAAGUUAGUUGGAUCUGCAAGUUGAAACCAUGUUUUUCACGUUAUUUAUAUUCCCCCUUUUUCAUAUUAACCAUCUUUGCUUUUGUGUGACAAUCACAAAAACCGAAUCAUAAAUGGAAUGUAUCCGAAAAACUGAGGCAUUUAUAUAUUAUUAAGGAUACAACACGACAAGUAACCUUAAAAAUACAUCAUGUGUGAUUCCAAAAUGAACUAUAGAACGAAUGAAACGUUGAAAACUUUGUAACUUGCUCGUCUUACAGAAUGUAUUUGUUGAAAAGUAACUUGAAGUGUAUGAAAAGUAACUCGAAGUUCGGUUGCAUUGUCAGCUUCCAUAUAAGCAAUCAUCUGGAUCAUUCUCUUUUACAGUUUUGCUCUUCACGAAGAAAUCAUUGGCGAAGACUCAAUUACAAAAGUAUGUGUUUCUUGCGCACAGACCGGUAAAGCGUGCUUACGUAUUGUUGGGUAGUUUACUGAGAACUGAGUGCUCUGGUUUGUGAUCGCACUCAAAGUCUAGAUGAACGAAUGCCCUCUCAACUUCCAAAAGUUUCUCAAGCUUUAUUUGUAAAGUCUCCCCAAUGGCAUGUGCUUCUUUUAAUGGUAAUUCCUCUGGCAGUUCAAUGUCUACCUGCUCAAAAUCAAAUCCAAAUGAUGAGACAUAAAAUCUUGUUAUCUUUGUGAUAUCAUGUUUGGUGCACUUAUAUGAAUAUAGCAUACAUGAACAUUAGUAUGUGAGGUUUGUAAGACUAAAUCCUAGUAAAAGAAAAUUAUCCUAUCUUUGUCAUGACAAAAUAUAUAUGUACUGACAUUCAAAGCUAACUAGGCAAGAGAAAUUGAACUCGUUACAAGUAUGUUCAAAAUGUAAUAUUGGAUACUCAACUCGUCACAAGUGUUACAUUCACAAUGAGAGAAACCUAGCUGGAUCCAUGAAGUACAAGUAACAAAAAGACUAGAUUCAUAUCAGUAUUUUGUGAAUGCUAAUAGAGAAUGCCAAGUUAAAUUUUAUAAAAAUCAGGACUUGUGCUGUAUAACCAUUUUUUUUUUUUUUUUUUGGAUAAAUGGGGUUGGUGUAGUUAAUGCUCCUAUAAAAUUCAACAUUACCUCCACAAAAUAUAAAACACCAAAUGUAUAUGCGCGGACAGUGUCAAUACGUUGAAUUCCGGGGUGCCUUAUAACGAGAUAUGUUAGCUUCUGCAAAACUUCAGGAGGUGCAGAUUGUCCCACCAAUGAAACUGUAAAUGAAGGUAUCAGUAAUCAGCAUAAGCACACAAAAUUAUAUAUAUUCACAUACAAAUGACAAAACAACGAACUAUAAGCUAACCAAUUGCAUAUACGUCUUAAAUUUUAAAUCGUUUUAUUGUUAUUAAGAUCUGUCUUUUUGACCUUAUCGGGAGCAAAAGUUAAUUAUGUAUUGUUCAAUAUUUGAAACAACAAGAAUAUAUGCAUAUUGUAACAUUUUAUAUGUUUGAAAUUUUGUUUUUGUUGAGAAUUACCGGCAUUCUCCAUGACAGUGCGAGACCAAUUUGAGAUGGUGUAAAUUGCAAGCAAAAUAGCUCCUAUCGGAUCAAUCCACCAGUAAAAUUUAUCACCAAGAAUAGCCGCAACUAAUCCAACUACAUUUGUUACCACAUCAAAGUGGUGAUCCUGCAUGUUGACAUGUUUUUUUAUUGUUAAAUUCUACAUUGACUUAAUUUACGAAGCAAACAUCAGAAGAGAGGGACACUUACAUCUGCAUAGGCACGGACAAUCUUGUUUCUCGAGCUUCUGCAGUAAAGCCAGAGUAUAAGCUUCACCACAGUUGCAAAUAUCAUGAUAGAGUACAACCAUAUUAGUUGUUCAGAUGUCAUCUUUUCACUAGGACUGUUUUCUAUUAAUUGCUUUACAGCCGUGAAUAACACCUGAAAACCUGUAGCAAAGUAAAUUCAAUGUAUCAUAUUAUGCGUUACAUGUCCAUGUACCAAUAUUGUCAAAAAUUAUUAAAUCAUGUAAUUUCAGAAGCAGUGGGAAUGUCAGAUUAACCCCAAAUAUUUGAAUGAAUACUUGAUAACUUGUUGAUGUUCACUUUUAUUCAGAACUUCCAUUAAUAAAAUUAAGUUCAAUUUCUGUCAUCAUUUUAUAAAUUCUGUACAUAACCUGUCAUCAGCUAUAACCUAUAGCUGAAUGAUUUCCUUAAACUCAGUAAAUAAGAAGGACUAUACAGUUUAGAAAUUGAUUUCAAAAUUUGUUCAAAAUUUUGUAUGAACAACAUAGGGGCUGGGAAUAUAGUUCAAGUCAAAUUUGACUCACCAAGUGUGGCCAUGACAGCAGCAAAAACAAUUAUGCCUACUGGCUGCACCCUCAGCUUUCCGAUGGGAUACUGAUAGAUAUUUAUGUUCUUCAUUGCUAUGUGAGUGUACCAAAGUAUACCACCAGCCAUUAGAUCAAGCAGAGAAUCCAAAGUUGAUGCUGCAAUAGCUAUAGAUCCACUCCUUACCGUCGCAUAUGUCUACACAUCAACACGUAUAUUAUUUUACUUAAUUCACAAAAGCUCUUUUCCUUUUCAACAAAAAAAUAAAAAUAAUUCACCAAAGGACUAUACCAGAAGCAUAUAUAAUAAUAUAAAUAACAAAACAACAAACACACAAUCCAAACAGCCAAAAAGUUCUAGUUUAAAAAUGAACCAUUCUAUAACCUCAAUUACAUAAAAUUAAUUUUGCUUCCAAACUUUAGUUAAACUGAAAAGUGACAAAAGGUAGCUUUUGUCCUAUGUCAAAAAGUUAACACUAAAUUUUAUGUCAAACUUUACAUCAAAAUUGCUUUUUGAGUGAAAAUACCAAACAGAAAUCAAUAAACUUUAUACUCAAUUGUAAGCGAAUCAAUACAAAAUCAAAUUAAAUUCAAAAUCACUUUUUUGAAAAUCAGUUAGUAUGUACAAUAACUGUUUAUUGAAUCCAAACAUAUGAAUCUGACGACUGCAAACUUGAAAUUUAAUACAUAAAUAUGAUAUAUAUACCUUCAAUAUCAAUAAAACAAUAUUUGCAUAAUUUGAAAUCUUCAUAGCUCUUUCUUGUUGUGCCUGCUCUUCUUUAUCAUCCUCAUCAAUGCGGUCAGAUUCCACCACAGCAUCCACUUCCUCAAACGAUUUCAGUGUAGCAAUUUGUUUUUCAUAGUACUCUUUCUCUCCUACACACAUAAAUUCAACCUUAUAAAACCUUCAUAAAUAAUUAUUCAAAUUUAUCAUAUAAAAAUACAUACACUAUACAUCACUGACACCUCUGAUCAAAGACGUGUCAGAUGGUGUCUGUAUAUGUCAACACAUGUGAUUACGUUCAGUUAAUUCCUUUUCUUUUAUUAUAACACAUAUUAAUAUCAGUAUCGUGUCUGGUGUCAACUUCAUACCUUGGCUUAAAGCGGUGGCGUUGGAGAGAUCAACAUCGAAAGGAGACUCAGAAUCAAGGCAAGAACGGACCUUAUCAGGAAGUGUGGACAGGAAAGCUGAUCUGAGAGAGUUUACCGAAUUCCGGCGAAUGAUUUUGGUGGUCUGACCGUCGUGUAUGGCGGAGAGAAGCGGCCUGGUAGGAUCCGAACCCGAAUUCCCGUCCAUGUUGUAUUAACUAAGAUAAUGAAAUAAACGCAUGCAAUACUCCAAUAAAUAACGAAAACGAAUUCACAUGCUCUUAAGUUUUUGAUAGUAACUCAUGUAAUAAAGAUACUAAAAAUAAUAAUUCUUUUUUGUUGGUAUAUUCUACUACCAAGUCUUCGUUGUUACGUGUACAGUAACUGUUUUGCCAACAGAAUUACAAACAUAUAGCAAUACCAAAUCAAUAAAGUUUGGACAUAUAUAUAAAAAGAUUCUCCUUAACAUAUUCGAUCAUUUCUUUUAUCAAUUUCCUCUUUAUUAUUAAAAAAAUAUUUCUUUUUAUGUAUCUGUGACCAAACACUUUUUCUUUGGUAGAAUUUCUCUAGCAUCAAUUAGUUUUUAAGUAAACGUUCUUAGUCCCAUCUAGUCAAAUUUUUUAGGAUAAAUAACUAAAGUGUUUGGAAUUUGAACUCCGACCUAAACCUAAAAAGAUAAACUAGUCGAUCGAAAUUCACAACAUAAAUUACUCUUUUGUACUAACAAAUUAAAGGGUUAUUAGUGUUUUAUUUUUGUGACAUAGAUCAUUUUCGGUUUACCUUUGUAAAAAAAAUUAGUUUUAAUCUUUGUAAUUUGAAGAUUCUUUGAUUUUAAUUCUUUAUGAGAUCAACUUACAAAAUUUAUGGUGCUUUCGCCCAUGUAAUUUAAGCAAACUUGGUUUACCCAUGUUAUAUCAUCGAUUUUGUACAGUCAAAAUUCAUGAAGAUCUAAAACUAAAUAAUCAUCAAAUUACAAGGAUGAAAUCUAAAAAACUAUAUUUACACAGGUAAAUCAAAAAUGACUUAUAUUACAUGAAUAAAGCACUAUUGAUCCUAAAUUAAAUCAUGUAUUUGUACGUAGUAUUUGUUUGUGAUAGGAAAUUACAUUUGAAGUUUUCAUUUUAAGCUCACAGAAAAUCCCUAAAUUGUUAAUUUAUAAUUAAAUUUAUAUAUAGUUUUAUCAUUCAAGUUAAAUUACUUGUUAGGGAAAUGUGUAUGUAAUCGUAUACGUCAUUCUCGUUUCAGCUAUUUGUAUAAAAUAUUUAUAUUUAUUUGUUUAUUUAUUUAUAAAAAUAAAAUAGUACCAAACAAAAUUGGUAACCGUUGACAAAUGGAGGAAAUAGAUAAAUUUUGAAAUAUGAUAUUUUUAUUUAAAAAUUGAGUACCGUAUUAUUGUAGCUUUUGUAUAUUAAGUUGACAUAAGUAUUGUGACUAAGAAACUGAUCAUAAAAUAAAUAUUUUGACUGAAAAACUAUGAGCAGGGGGACACUAAAUAAAAAAUGUGCAGUUUCACACCUAAAUAAAAGAAAAAAACAGUGUGCAGUAUGCGCUGUCUAUAUAAUUAACACAUAGUUUAGCUAACGUACUACAAACAAUAUUGCUUAGCUAAGCAAUGAAAAUUUGGUUUUUGCCAGAAAAGGUAAGCAAUGAAAGUGUGCGUAAAAAUUAUGGAAUUGGUAUUGCUUUAACAAUUUGAUUGAUUGACGGUCUAGAAAAUUUCCGAUAUAGUAUGUUAAAAUUAAGCUAAACACAUAAUGGGUAAACAACCAUUUAUGCUUGCUGAAAAAAACAAACUAUUUAUGUCUCUAAAUGUGAUUCACCGACAUUUAGAUUCUCAGAUAUAUGCUUUUUAGCCGGUUUAAUCCUUAAAUGUGUGUGUGUUUUUUUUAAUCAAUUAAAGAGUCAUUAGAAAUGGAUGUAGUUAUCAUGCAUAAGGAAUAAGGAAUAAGGAAUUCUUAUGCACACUGCAUAAGUCCCAACUCAUUAACCGGUAGCUCAACAUAAUUGUUUCCUAACUCUUAAAGGAAACCAAACGAAAUAAACUAGAAUCAUCAUCAUCAUCACCAUUCACCGAAAUUAACUCAAAUAAAUAGUUUAAAAAUUGUAUAUGUUAGUUGGAAAUGGUUUCAGAGUGUUGAUUUGGUUCAAUAGUCACAAAUGUCCUUAUUAUAGUAUGUUUUGUAUAAAAUUAUGUCAAAACCAUUUUGCAGUGGAAAUGGUUUCUGUGAGUUGGACUCCAAAACCAUUUUGCUAUGGAAAUGGUUUCUGUGAGUUGUACUCCAAAACCAUUUUGUUGUGGAAAUGGUUUCCGUGAGUUGUACUCCAAAACCAUUAGAAUUUGAUAAAAUCAUACAUAAGCAAACUCUGUAAUAGUUAUAUUUAGGACGGUAGAAUUUGAUAAAAUUGAUCAAAUUUUAUUUUUAAUAGUUAUAUUUAGGACUGUGGAAUUCGUUAAUUACUAAUAUCUUUCAAUAAAAGAUUUAAGCGAAAUCAUGAUGUAAUGAUGACAUGUGAUUAUAUGCAAAAGCAAGAAUGAUAAGUUUAUUGAGAUGAAGACCUCCAAGCGAUGUUUGCAAUUGCAGAAUUUGCUAUUUUUUGACGUUCAGAAGCAAUCUUACUCGCCACUAAAUCAGGCCACGAGGUUCCACUGGCUAGUGCUGUAAAUGAUAAGUCUAGAUCUGAUAGUUGUGAAGUGUUUAUGCAUGGUACAUAAGGAAAUGACUUAUGCAUAAUAAUUUUUGCCAUUAGAAAUGUGUUUUCAACUUAGAUAUUUAUGAAUCAAAAUAUAUAUGAAGUAUUCAUUUUAAUUUUUAAAUGUGUGAGACGUAAUUACAAUAAUCCAUAAAUAUAUUAAAAUUAUAAAAAUAAACAUGAAUGCUAGACUUUGGCUAGUCAGUUUGAUUCUCAAAUAUGUCAUUGUUAGUUACUUUGAUUAUCAAAUAUGUUUUUUAUUAAACAACUUAUCAUAAAGUUAUUAAUAAAAGACACACUUAAAGACGUAUUUGUAAUUGAGAAAUGAUAUUUGUACAACCAUUUUAUUAUAAUUUUUUGACAACUUUUUCUUUUAUACUCAAAUUAUAUUCUUAUUCUCUCUCUUCAUUUUUCUCUCUCUAUUGUUUUGGACCAAUAAGAAGAGAACAAAUUAAAGUUGUACCAAAUGGAUGUACAUAUAUCACUACUCUUUGUAAUUUCACCCAUUCUAACAUUAGACAUUAGACAUCUUACAUAUUUUGAGAGCAAAAUCACGGUUUAAUAAUAUGAGUAGUGAUAUUUGAACAACCAUAUGAUACAACUCUUGUGACAACUUUUAUUUUCUCUCUUUUCAUUGGUCAAAAACAAUAGAGAGAGAAAAAAAGGAAAAGAGAGAAUAAAAGUAUAAUAUGAAUAUGAGAGAGAAAGUUGUUAAAAAGUUGUCAUAAAGUGGUUGUACAAAUAUCAUUUCUCUAAUAAUAUAUAUGCACACUUACAAAAUAUAUACCAUACACAUACGUGUAUUUGUGUUUUUACAAUAUUAAUUUAGGUAUAUGAUUAGCACUCAAACGUGAGGUGGAAAAGUGGAAAUAUUAUUUAAAGUAUACUAAGAAUAUAUGUAUAAGAGGAUGGGGGUGGGGGGACCAAGGCCAAUGCCUACCCUAUUAAACUUGCCGUUGAAUUUGAAUAUAUUUAAGAGGAUCUGAAGCAACUCUAAUAAUACCAUGAGUUAUGCAUAGACACCCUAGCCGGCAUCAACUUGGUCUACACCCCUUUGGCGACAAUCUAUUUUGACUUAAAAGUCAAAAUAAAACAAUCACUCUCUCUCCUUUCACCUUCCUUCCUCCUCCUCCCAACUCAUUGUUCUCACCUUUCUACUCUAAAACACGACCAACAACAACAUUUUCAACGACCCUAAAACAAAAUAAAAAAUUAUUUUUCAUUCUUCCUUGAAUAUCAUUUCCCCUGUCUUAUGUUUCUUUCCGAACAUUUGUCGUUGUCAUCGUCGUCUCUGUCGGCCUUUCAAUUGUUUAUCUGAUAUUUCCUUUCUCGGACACAUUCAAUUACCUCUACUAUUAUGAAGAAAUACGUCGAUGGGAAUAUCUAACUAACAUCCAUUGGGUCGACACGAAAAUGACGUGAUCCAUGACUUGUGUGUGUCGGGACAUGAGUGGAUAGGAAAGACGUCGGGACAGAGCCGAUGAAAAUAGUCACGACCAAAGAUUGUGAGCAGGAGGAGUUGUCGUUGGUUGGAUGGCGCAAAGGAAAGAGAUGUUGGAUGAGUGGCAAAGUUGUUAUUUUAUUUUAUUGUAUUUUAAUGAGAGUCACAUAAUAUCCCCUCGGUAUCUCUUUUUUAUAUAUUUUCUAUUUUGUCUUAAAAAAAUAUUUUUUUUAUGAGUCGCCAAAAAUUGCCACAUAGGCAGAGGUUGAAUGGGUGUUUAUUUUAAAUGGGUGUGCAAAUAUAAACACUCUAAUACCUUAGACAUCUAGAGCAUAAUAUUGAAGUUUGUUCUUAAAAUAAUUCUUUAAAAAAAACAAACUUAAAAUAGUAUAUUUUUUUUAACCCAUUUCACUAUCUUAAUUCUUACCACGCGUGUCAAAGCUUAUAGUGUGUAUAUUUUUUGACUCAUGUGAUGUCAACCGAAGCUAUAUAUUAAAAAUCCAUCUAUCUUCCCCUCAAAAUAAAAAUAAUAAUAAAAAGUAACCAAAAAUAUUCAGACUUUGGGACCUUAAGUGGUAAUUAGUGAUGAAAUCAACCAGAACAUGAGACUUGAUGACUCCUAUUUCCCUCAUAACCUACCGCUACCUUUUUCUCUUCUCUUAUGCAUCUCUUGAUUUGGGUUACUGGUCUCACGACUGGUAGGAAUGCCAAUUUGUGUCAUAUCACAUUUUCAUCAAUGAAAGACAUAUCUAUAGGUUGCCACACAAAGAGGUUGACAUUUCUUCUUAGGAAAGAAACAACAAGUUCUUCUUAUGCACUUAAUAGGAAAUUUCUAAGCUUUGUCACCCUCCUUCAAAUCUUCAAUGAGGAAGACCUUUGUCUCUGGCUUAUCAUCUUUAACAAAGCUUUUCAAAUGCCUUUUUAUGGAUCAACCUUUUUGUCUCCUUCUUCAAUUGGUGGCACUCGUCUGUAUUCUGGCCAUUUACUCGGUGCUAAGUGCACCAACUUAUUUUAUAUGUGACCGUCGUUCCCGUUCAUGGCUGAGAAUCUUUUAGUAAUUUGGAAUGCAUAUUGAUCUCUUUGAGAACCUCACUUUUCUUUUAUUUCAGAUGAGUGGUGGGAAAUUCAUAUUUUAUUUUUAUUUUUCGACCUUCCAUGACGGAAAUUUUCUCGAUGCUUGAGGGAAUGAUUCUCCCUCUUUUUCGUUGCUCUCUUCCUCAUACAAAAGAAAAGAGAAAUGGUGUUAUAGUUUUUUAUUGGAUAUGUGAGAUGAUUAAAAGAAAAUAUGAUACUGGUUUUUUAUUGGAUUUGUGAUUCUCAUGCUUCAAAUAUUGUGUCUAACCUUUAGGUCUCCCGGUCGUUAGGUAAAAUUUUAGUGAUUUAUAGUGUCUAAGAUAUUUUAAUCUUCUCACUAUCAACUUUGACAUUCGUUCCUUCAUUGAUAGUAUCAACAAAUGUUUGUUAUAUAUUGUUAUGCCUAAACCAAUCUAAAUUGGCAAGCCAAGUUCUAACAAGCAUACUGUAAUCUAUUUUUGAAAAGCAUUAAAAUUAGAUAAUGUGAACGUUUUCUAAACAACAGAAAAAAUAAGGAUCAUGGAAAGUUUGCCAUAAGACUACUUUCCAUGGUUCCAUCUCGAAAAACUACUCGCUCAUUAUGAGAAUGAGCUACCUAAUUGUAAUUAUGUUUAAUUUUGUUUUUCGUCCUUAUCACAUGACAGUCACCCAUUGGACGAUGACAUGACAACUCAGUUGCCAUGUGGCAUCAAAAUAUGACGUGGCAUACCAUGUUAGCAUGCCAAACCAACCAAUUUGGAUGAAGAAAUAGAACAUAUACUAAAGAAAUGAGAAUCUUAAAUUAUUGGGAUAAAUUCUAAAAAAAAUAAAUUAAAAGGACUAAGACCAUAACCCAGAUGUUCGAGGCCAAAACCGCUAAUAACCCUAUAGUCUUUUGGUUAGGUGUCACGAGUAUAACUAACUCAUAACUAUUGUAACUAAUUUUUAACCAACGUUCGGCCUCUAAUACUCAAUGCAACCAUAUAUUUUGCAGCGGAUGUAGAAUCAUUGAAUCUCAAUGCAAUUGAAUCUUGCACCAAGAUCCAACGACUUUACCACCAUUGCAAAAUGCAUCUGUUGUCGAGGAUCUGUCCAUCCUCAACCAAUAAAGAAAAUUAAUAAACUCAAUAUACUAAGAUAUAUUUAAAGAGCUGCAUCUCUGGAAAGAAGUUCUUCCAUACACAUCGACCUUAUAUCCAAGUCCUGCUGCCUACAUGCUUAAGAAACUUAGUUAUCUCAAUCGCGCUAUAAAUCCAAGGAAUAUCGUAUUCACACACAUUAUAGAUAGAUUGGUAAACAGGUCAAAAUAUUUCAGCAAGAAAUCUGCUAGUUUUUGAAAGUCUACCAAUGCAAUAGACUAACAAUGAAUAUGUUUUUCCUCAUUAUUUUUCUUCCUUAUUAAUUCAAAUCAGAAUUAUAUAAACAAGGUCUUCUCGGUAUAGCUUUAAAGAAUCUAGUUAAAGGAAGCAACAUAAAGUGCAAUAAUCAUCAGCAUAUGAUUAACUAUUAUUGCUCAGUUUUGGGCCUUUUUAUUUCAUUGGAAGUGAAUGGAGAGACACUGCCACUCAGUUGAGGGCUCUCUUCUCUGAAGUUGGAAUUGAGCAUAGCAAGUUCUCUUAGUUGUUGCCUCUUGUAAAGGUCCUGUGACUCAUCCUACACAAAUAAAGAAAAUUUGGUUCAAAACACAUUUUAGCAUACAUUUAUAUGCAUUAGAAUGUAAAAAUAAAAUAAAAUUGUGGAUUGAUUAAAUGGAGUAUCAUGUAGAACAAAAGAGGAUGGAAACAAGUUCUACUGCUAGGUUGUCCUUCUAACACUGAUACAGACACGAACAUGACGCUCACACUAACACAUGUGACCAACACUACUGCCUUUCAACACUAGCUUUAACUCUCUUCUGUUAUUCUAGAACUAGAACAUUCUCACAAGGACAGUAAGUGGGAGUAAUAUUUUUAAUAGAUAUAGGGUCUGUUUGGUUAUACAGUUUACUGAAGUGUAUGAAUAAGAACUUAUGAUAUGAAUGCUUAUGCAUAAACCUUUUUUUAUAACCAAAGAUGAAAUAUAAUUAAACUGUUUUCUUAUAAGCUGCAAUAUUUUCAUAAGUUGUCAUGGAGUGCUUUUCAAUGUAAACUUAUAGACAUGUCAUCAUCAGGUAUUUUCAUACGAUUUUCCAAACAUGAUUUCAAUUGCUUAUGUUGUAAGCUAAGUUCAAAUAGACUAUCCCAAAUGCACUCAUUGGCCUGGUUCGCAAUAAAUUCUAACCUGUAGGCGUUUUAUAAUUGAUACAACAUUUAACUUUUAACUCAAGAAAAAGUUCUUAUAAGCUUUUAUGUGUUUAUAGGGAAGCUAAAUGAGAGAGCUUCUGAAAAAAUUAAGAUGUAGAAUUUGACUUUAACCUAUAUAUAGAAGAUUGAAGUUAGAAUACUCAAAGUUAUCAUGAAUCUUUUAUAAUUUUCUUCUCUGAUACACAUUGAACUAUGGUCAGUUUUUUUCCAUUAUUUAGCAUAUAACCGAUCAUAGAAUGGCGUAUUAUCCUUUUUAAUCAGUCCAUCAUUACAUUACAUAUUCAUUUGUUAUGUUUUAUACAUAUGGGCCGGGUGGGAUUGAGACUUAACCUAGCAGUACCAUAGUUCAGAUUGAAGAUGAGACACCAAUACAUGUGGUUGUUGGUUAAAACUACUUUUGUUUUCCAGUGUUUACAUGUCAGUGUCGUGUCCAUGUUUGUGUGAGUGCUUCGUAAUCAAUGUGAGUCAGUCUGCACAAGUCUGUCAGCAGAUUAUGCGCUGUUCCAUAAAAAUGAAGUUACAAUUUUGAUUUUGAAGUGGUACGCUAUGAUUAACUAUGAAUAAGUACUGAUUUUAAAAUUUAUCCAAACUGACUCAUAGAAUAAACCAUUUUCCUUAGGUGCAAGUAAAAGAAAAAAAACAAUAUCAUAUCCUAUGAGUAUAUUUAGAUCCAUAUUGUAAUAGAGUUAAGAUGAGAUACCACAGGCUUAAGUAGCUCUUCUAUGAUUUCUUGUGCGUGCCUCAACCUUACAUCGACAAUAUUAGCAGGUAGUUCAGCUUCAAUUAAGAUGUGAAGUUCAUCACUCAGGUGCUCAUAGCCUGGCCUUCCCCUUAACAAUUCUUCCUUUUAAAGUCAAAAUGGUAUAUCAAAGUUAGAAAAGUUAUCAACAGCAUGUAUAUUGUAUAAGCAACAAAAUUUGUUAAGUAAGAAGCCGAGAAAAGUUGAGACACUAAAUGACUAUGAAAUACAUAUAAGGCAAAACUGCACCUGCGUCUCUACAAGUUAAAUGAUCAAUCUGAAACAAAGGAAAAACUUAAAGGAUCGCAGGUGCAACUUUGCCUAAUUCUUAGGUAGUUAAAAUUAGGCUGUGUAAAGUUACAAGACAAUGUGAUAAGAUAUAGGACUAAUGGACUAUACCUUGUCUAGGUCUUUAAUUGAACCUUUCCCUCUAAUAUAUACGCGGCAACCUGUGGUAGCCUCUACACGCUUCAGUGAAUUACCCCUAGGGCCAAGAAGCCUCCCAACAAAAUUAAACUGAAAAUUAAACUAGGAUUAGCCUUAAUCCUUGUUUCUAUAAAUUAACAACUUAUUUAAAGGCUUAUAGUGUAAGUACUUAUCGUAUGAGUGCUGAUAUAAGCUAUAAGCUAUCUCUAUAACAAAAAGUAAAAUAAAGUCAAACUGUUUUCAUAUAAGUUACAAGUUGUUUUCAUAAGCUAUACAGAAGAGCUUACAGAAAUAAGCUUAAAACUGCUUAUAGAUUGUAAAACCAAAUAAAAUAUGUUGCAACGUAACAGAUCUUACAUUUGGAUAGCCAUCCUUAGGAAUAUCUAAGCGCAAUAUCUUCUUCACAAUGUGAGAAUUUGGAACAACUGGUGCUGUUUGCCAAUCCAUGUUCAGUCCCUUCACUUCAGCUAACAUCUGUUGCAUCAUGUGCUUAAUCAAUUAUUAAAAUAAACUUUAGCUUACCAGGGAAAUUUGAAACACAUCCCCAAGUGUCUCAUUUGUUAGAAAUUUAUAGAUUGAAUCGACCAACGAAAACCACAUUGGAGGACUAGAGUAACUAACUAAAGACACAUUCGCAGAUCAAAAUGAAUAACAAAGGAGACAGUUGAUAAUGUGUUCGCAAUUUUGAUACAUUCAAGGACAAUAAUAACAGGCCGACAAUGCCUCACACAUUCAAUGCCAAAAUGGUAUUUUUUACCCAUAAAUAUACAUUUGAUUAUUAGAACAACAAAAAGUGAGGUACUUACAUCAUGUGACAGGCUAUUCCAGCCAGUGAAGUUUGGUUUCAAAUCUGAAGAAGCCAUAUGACUUUGGUUCAUAAAUUGCAUUCUAUCAAAAUCAUUAAACCCUUGAUGAUUCUGUAACAAUCCAUUCUUUCCAGAAACCCUCAAAAUCUCUGAUAAAAAUUAGGUAAUAUUCAAUGCAAUAAGAACUUGUAUAAAAACCAUACAACAAAAUACCUAGACAUUGGAAUAUACAUACCUUGAUUGAGGAGUCUGCUACACAAGGGUAAGACUUGCAUGAAAGGUCCAAGUUUCUGAUGUUCUGAUAAAAGCUCCAUUAAGUACUGACUGAAACAACAAAAAUAAACAAUAACAUAUGCUCCACAAAUUAAUCAAUUAAUCAAAGUCAAUACAUAUAUAUGUUGCAGCUGAAAAUAACAACUUUCAGAACAAAUAUUUAUUUUCCAUCAUACCUUUCAGCAUCAAAAUUGCUUCUCAUGUUUAUAUUUGGUGAAUUAGUCCUUUGAGAAGAAGGUGAAGAAAUCUGAUUAUACAUGUUAGAUAAUAUCAAUUCUACAAAUCCAAAAGCAAUAGAAAAAUGAAGAGUUUUUUGAGAUUUGGUGUGUGAUAGAAGAAUCCUAUGAGAAAAAAAGAAUCAUUUAAUCAAUUCUUGAAAAGGGUAAGGUACAAAACUACAAAUAAAAUAGAGGGCCACUUCUGUAGUAGUUCAGUAGUAAAAGCAUGCCUUAAAGGGUGUCUCUAUGUACUUCUCUAGGUGUGUGUUUAAUUGUUUUUUUGUUGGUUUUUGUUGCAUAUAUGCAAAUAUCAUGUCAUGAAAACAUGUUUUACCUUAAUAAACACAACCAGGUGUUACUAAGAAAAUAUAAUCAUAAAAACCUCUAAUGAAAUAUAGAUAUUCAAAUCAAAGAUAGAGGGAAAAAAAUGAUCUUCAAAUAAUAUAUGGAGAAUAGUGUUUUAUUUCUUUCUUUAUUAGGAGACUUUCUAAGCUAAUAGAGUAAUUAAAAUCUUAAAUUUAAUCAUGCACAUUUAAACAAGAUGUGUGAAGAUGAUUUUGCUUCAAUCAACUAGAAAGAAAGAAAGAAAGAAAAAAAAAAAAAAAAAGCAAUGAAAGAACCCCAAUGACCAAUGUGGGUCAUUGGUUCUCUGUCACAAGAUUGUGACCAUGUAGAUUUGAAAAACCAAUCACUCGCAUGCUUCACGCUUACAAUAAAUUUAUAUAUGUGAUACUAUAUAGAAUGCAUAAUAGUAUAUAGUUUUUUUUUUUUUUUUAACAAGGCAAAAUAGAAUUAGGAAUAAAGGAAGCUCCUCAUUAGCAUUAAUCUUAAAGUAUGCAACGGAUCAGUCUAUAGAUAGAGCAAAAUCAAAAACGAAUUAGUCGAUGGCCAGACAAACAAACAAGCUCGACCACCACCUAUGAAAAUUUAGAUCAACAUUAAUUAAAGUUAUUAACCUUCAUCCAUCUAAAAGAAUGAGACUUAGCUUUAUCGAACAACUAGUGAACAAUACUUUCCUUAUUCUUGAAAGUUAUAUUGUUUCUUUCAUUCCAUAAUACACACACGCAGCAAAGCCAAACAAGCUGCAGAAAAGAACGACGAACUUGCGAACCACGUGAAGACCAAACAAAUUGAAUAAAAUGAUCAUAUCAGCCACAGAUAUACCGAGCCACGAUUGAACCAAGCCCCACAUAGGAGCAAAGCAAGGGCAAGAAAGAACCAAAUGCUGGAUAGUCUCGACACCUCCACAUCCGGACACGCAAAGUUGUGACUUGUAGAUAUAAUGUCACGUGCCACCAAAUUAUCCUUUGACAGCAACCUAUUCCGAAGAAGUCUUCAAGCAAGAAUAGAAACCUUCAAGGGAACCUGCUUGUGCCAAAUUCAAUCUGAAGUAGCAUUAGAGUUAUACAUCUCCUGAGUAGACAACAACUGAUACACACCCCGGACCAUACAACCACCACCAGUAGGAUCAAGCAUCCACUGCCAAUGAGUACAGAAAAAUUAUGAAGUAAAAUUCUACACUCCCCUAAGAUCUCCUCCUCCCACGCCCACAACCUACGCCGCCGCCGCCACCAAGCAUCCCCUCCCUCCCCCCAACCCAAAUCGCUCAUCAUCGCCACCGUAAUGGACUUACUCUCUGCAAGAUCAAACAAACGUCUAAACCCCCCUACACGGCGGCUGCCCUCCUAACGCAUAAUAGUAUAUUGUAUUUUUCAUUUUUAGUCUUAACCUUACAUGGAAAGAAGACUAUGAUAAUUCGGGGUUCAAUCAUAAGGUAAAUAAAGUCGGUCAAUAGUUAUUUUAAUUAAGAUUAAAAUAUUCUUACAUAAAUAGCUUGUCUUUAACUGAAAUAUGGUAUGUAGUUUAUUGUGUGCACGUACGAGUGACAUUGUGGUUGAUGACAUUGAUCAACCACAAUAUCACAAGUGUACAAAAAAAAUAAAAAAUAAAAUAAAAACUUGUAAAAGAGAGAGAGAGAGAAGAAAAUCAUUUGUGACAUUGUGGUUGGUCGGUAUCACCAAUAUCGCCAAAUUCAAUAUCACCCAAGUUCUAUCCACGCGCACAAACAUGGAAAAAUGUUUGCUUCUAGAAAUUUAACUUAUUAUUUGCACAUUGAAAAAUAUCUUCCAACUUCAAAUCAAUUAUCAAUGAAAUAACUCCAACUUCAUUCCACAUUUUGUGCUGAGCUUAGCAUAUAAAAUCUCAUAAAUAAGGGGAAAUGUCAAGCUUUUAUGUAUGAGAAAUGAUAAUUUGUGCUUUUAAGAGAUCUUAAAAUAGAACUAAAAAUAAAUAUUGUAUUGAAAAAAUAAGUUUUUUAAUCUUUAAGGUUAUGUAUGUACAAUUUUUAAAGUUAAAUUUUUACAUUUAGUUUUUUAUCUUGUGCCCUUAGGAUACAAGUUAGCAAGACCCUUUAUUUAUUAUUAAUACUAAUGAAAAUGGGUACUCACAUGCUCAUCUUUCCGCUUUUUUGUUGCGCUAAAAUUUGAAAAUUAUGAACGGUGUAUUUCUAUGAAAUUUUGAUUUUGAUUAAAAGUAUAAAUAUAAAUGAUUGGUAUUUUCAAAUUAUAAUGAACUAAGUAAUUUUGUUUAUCUAUUUCAAUAACACCAACAAUAUAACAAAAAUUAUAUUUUAAAUUCUCAUCUUUUUAAUGACACCAAUAACAAUUUUUUAUUGUAGAAAAAUUAUUUUAAAGUAUAAUUGAGAUAAUUAAAACGUCAGCCCAAAAUCUUAUAUAUCUACUUUAGUUUGUUAAAAUUUUUAAAGCAUAAAAGAAGGAAAAAUCGGGACAUAUUUUCAUAUUGUGUUUCUUACUUUUUUCAUUUUGAAUUUACUCUCAUCAAUUAUCUUUUUUAAAGAAUAAAGGAUUAGAAAGAAAAUUUUUGAUAUAUCGUGGACAAUAAAGAUUGAAUUUGUAACACUUUAAUAUUUGAAUUUAACUUUUAUCUAUUUGUUAUAUGUGCUAUUUAAAUUUAAAAUUGAGGAUAAUUUAGAAAAGAGAAAAAGCCAAUCAAAAAAAGCCGAAAGGGACUAUUUUCUAAGAUUAAUAUAAUACUGCUAGUAAUUUGGACAUCUUAAUGACCGCUAUUAUUGAUUUCUAUAAUUAAUUUGUUUUCAUUUGUUGCAAAUUUGGCUCGUAUUUAUUUAGGUUAAAUAGGUCUUUCGCCCCCGCAAAUAAGGUCAUUUGAAUUUCCGUCCCUAAAGUUACUAAUCCUUCCAGUUUUCCACUGCAAAAUUUAAUCAUUUGACUUUUGGUUCUAAUUAGGUUUUUUUGCUGAGGUGGGCUGUCAUUAGCGACGUGGUUCCCAUGUGGCAAGUGAUGAUUGAGUGAGGUGGUGGGCUUAAAUAGGUCUUGUGACCUUGCAAAUAUAGACCAUUUGAAUUUUUGUCCCUGACGUAACUAAUCAGAUGUAAUUAGGACCAUUUUUCAAAUGAUUAAUAUUUGCAAUGGCAAAAUGGAAAGAUUAGUAACUUUAGGGUCGAAGAUUCAAAUGACCUAUAUUUGCUGGAACGAAAGACCUAUUUAAGCCUAUUUAUAUUAUGUCAUUUGUAAUAUAUAAACAACCUAUCGAACUGUCAUUAAACUAAUCCACCGCCCCCCUCCUUAUCCCCAAAUCCAAACUUCAUCUUCCAAGAUGUAGAUUACAUAGACGGUGGUGCGACGAGAUAUGUCCUUCGCACCACCAGAGCCAGAAUCGUCGGCAGAUCCUUUUCGGUCAGUGGUUUUGAGCGUCUGUUUUUGUGACACGUUGGUGUGCUUGUCCACCAUUCACAUAAAUCUUCAGGUUUAAGCUUGGAGGUGUACGUUUGGUUCUGUAAAACCCUUAAGGGUCGUUUUCUUUUCAGAUCCGGCUAUGCAUGUGUUCGUGAAAGACGUUGUUGUUUUUGCGACUCCAUCUUUGUGUUGCUUUUUGGUCUUUGGUAUCCUAGUUCUGCUCUAGAUUUGCUGAAAUCUCCACGAUCCAAAGGUUUGGUCGCAUUCGCAGCUCUGGAGUUUUGUUCGCUGCGCACAGGGGCGGAGCCACCCCCCAGCUAGCCUGGAAUAGUGCCCAGGCUCAGCUCCAACUUUCUUUGUAACAAGCCCUACCAUUACUAGAAUUUUUAGUUUUUCCUGCGGAUUUUUGUGUAAAUUCCGCAGGAAAUGUAUUUCCUGUAGAUUUUGCCAAGGAUUUAGGUUCCGCUGGAAAGAUAUAUCCGUAGGAAAUGUGAAUUUAUCUGCAGGAAAUGUGAAAUUAUUCGUAGGAAGGAAGUAAUGUUUUGCGAUAAAUUUUUUGCCCAGACUCUAUAAAAUUCCUGGCUCCGCCACUGGCUGCGCAUAGGUUCGUUGGGCUCGAAAGGGAUGGUUAUGUUGUUGUAUUUCGUUUCAGGGGCCAUUGGUUCAUGAAUCUAUCGGUGUUGGCCGUUGAUUCUCAUACCAUUAAAAAUAUAUCUCAGUCAUCCUUUGAUUGACUGACAUGGGACUGUAUGGACUCGAAAGAGUCGUUAUUGCUUGCUGACAUAGUUGCAGGGAGUUGAUGGUACAUGAAUUGUUUUCAUGUUGAGGAUCGAUUCAUUCACCAAACUUUUAGAUCCACUUGGUUCGUUUGUUUGAAAUCUUUAGGGUUGGAUCCAUUUUAUGAUUUUUUUUUGUUUUAAUGUUUUUCCCAUUAGGAUUGUUGACUGGGUCAGGGUUAUGUCCCCCCAGUUUUUACAUGUAAUUUUUCUCUUUUUUUAAUAAUAUAUAUGAGCAAUUAACAACAGAUUAGAGUAGGGUGCCAACUUAGUAUUCGUUUUGAUGUUAUUUUGCUCUUGACUUAUAAAUAAAAAAAAUAAAAAAUAAAAACCUAUCACCCAUAUCUCUUCUUCUUACUACACUUCACAUGUCCAAACAAUUCUCCUUUUUAUUGUAAAGUUCAUACACUCAAAAUAAAAUUACGAGGGAUUUUUGACCAAAAAAAGCAUCAAAACUUGUGGUUUCACAGAGGAUAUAAUAAUAAUAAUAAUAAAAAUGAAGGGUGUCCUGAAUCUGGCCCGUAAUAAUUUAAAGAAUUAGAUUUAUUUAUUUUUUAGUCAAAUUUUUUUCUAUACAACAACAAACUCGAAAAUAAAACAUUUAUUUAUUUCCUUAUUGUUAUAGUCUAAUUCUUUAUUGCAAACUUUUUCUAAAAAAUCCUUGCUAUGCAAAUUUAGGUACCUUGCUUUUCGAAAUCGAUAAAAUCGAGAGAGCUAUUCGUAAAGCAAUCCGAGAAGCAAGAGACACAACAACUAUUUCACUUCCAAGUCUUAGUGACUUCUCAUCCAACGAAGAGACGGGAGAGCCAGAACACAUAACAUUAGGAGAUUACGGGAGGCACAAUAACAUUUAUGAAGUAUCCCAGGAGUUCCAACCAGUGAAUCUUGUCCUCUUUGACAUCAAACACUCAGUUUUUUCCGCGCUAAGGGAGAAUCAAUUCUCAGGUGGGGAUACCGAAGACUGUAAUGCUCAUCUAACUCAUUUUUUAGAAGCUUGCAACACCAUUAAUCUAAGAGGAAUUUCAAAGUCCAACAAAAUGCUUUGUUUGUUUACUCUCUAAGUGGACGAACAAAGGAUUGGCUCAACGCACUUCCAAGUGGCACCAAAGCUACUUGGGAUGAUCUAAAGAAAGAAUUCCUCCCCCGCUUUUUCCUUACAACAAAAUACCUUGAAAAGAGGAAGGAGAUAGUUGGUUUCCAACAAGAAGGUGGAAUAAAUCUCUACGAUGCAUGGGAGAGGUACAAAUUACUACUCAAGUGUUGUCCGAGGAACAAAUUUUCAAAGAUGGAAAUUACCUUAACUUUCACAGAUGGACUGAAGCCAACAACCUGCAUGCUUUUAGACGCAUCAACUGGAGGUACCAUGAAGAACAAAUUUGCAGCUAAAAUCCGAGAGCUCAUCGACAACAUGUCCUUGAACGAAUAUCGUCCUCAAAGCGAGAAUAGGGAUGUGGUAAAGAAGCAGGGAGUUCUAAGCUUGGAAACAUGAUGCAUUACUAGAAAGCAACAAACUCCUCAAUUACAAGAUCAAACUAGCUAAGAGAUGGAAGUGCAAGAAGUAGCAAAGUUGUCUAUCAAUAGUGUAAGCUAUGACUUUUGUGAGCACGCUCAUGAAAGUGGUGCAUGUCUUCCAACAAGUUUGAGGUUAUCUGAAGAACAUGUCAUGUAUAUGGGUGCAUAUACCAGACAACAACAAAUUCCCUACUCUAACAAUUUCAACUUCGGCUAGCCAACCCGUCAAAAUUUCUCUUGGGAAGUGAUGACAGGUCAUCUUAACUUGGUAAGGUUUGAAACUAAGUUUGAGGUUGCUUUUUGGAAUUAAUAACAUUUUAAGUUUUGGGUGGGGUACCAGUAGAGCUCAUUCAUCUGAAAAAAAAUGAAAAAAAAUAUAGAUUACCAUGGGUCUACAAACAAAAAAUAGAAAGAAAAAAAAAUCAAGAGCCAAAAACAUUAAAAAAAAAAAAUUGUCUCUUCAAAAAAAUAUGUUUAUUUAGAAAAAGAUAAAUAGUUAUAUUUAGUACAAAUCUUGUUUAAUUCAAGGAAGGAAUAUUGACAGUGCAUCAAUGUUUAGUAGAAAUCUUUGUUGGAACAAAAUGUGUUUCACAAUGAACCUUAUUAAGUUUUGAUGAUAACAAGGUAUUAAAAAUUGUCAAUUGGUUAUUACUAAUAACUGUUCAAGUGUACAGGACCAAAGGCUACUCAAGUUAUUUCAAUAGGUCUUGGAAGAACAAUGGAAAGAAAAAGAAAUUCUGAGCAUCUGAAGAAAACUGCUCCUGAAGCUAAACUGCUCCUGAAGAGAUGACGUCAUCAGAAGCAGAAAGUCAUCAGAAGCAGAAAGUCAUCAGAAGCAAAAGUUUUCAUCAGAAGCAAUAUCUUCACCAGAAGCUACAUUUGAUCCUUUAAUCAAACUGAAGAUUCAAAGUUGCUGAUUCUCAAUUCAGUCUUAUCAAAGAAGAACGAAGAACUGAAAGGGAGGUAUCAACGGAUAUAUGGAUAACACUGAGCACUUGUCUCUCAUUAAUAGAGUUGACAAAGUACAAGUGUACAACCACUACCUCCACUACUCUGUUUUUUGUCUACGCUACAAGACAAAACAACAGCCAUGCCUGCAGAAUUUGUACACUCAAGAUGGGAAUGAAUUUGAAGUUUAUUCUUCAAAGGACUACACCCAAAUCAGGCAAAGGAUCACUGGUGGAUAAUCAAAGGAUUUCAAACGACUCUUUAGACGUGCUGAUUAUCUCAACGUCUCUUUCACGCCUCUAUAUAAAGGAGUGAAGACUUGAAGAUAAAACAGAGAUAUACACAAGUUCAAAAGCGCCAAAACUCUGUCAAUUUGAUACUACAAAGCACACUGAAUUUCUGCACUGAUUUGAUACAUCUUAGAAAUUCAUAGUCUAGAGUCUUUUCUGUAUUGUAUUGUGAACACCACUGAUUGUAUAUCAAGUGUUCAAUUCAAACUCAAUUCUCUGUAUUUUUUGUUUGAUUAGAAGUCUCUUGCCUGCGUGCUUGAGCAUUAGAAGUCUCUUGCUUAGUGCUUGAGCAUUGGAAGACUCUUGCGUGUGUGCUUGAGCAUAGUUUUGUGAAGUCUCAUACUUAGAAAGUAUUGAGCAGUUGUAAUCUUGUGAUUAUAGUGAAAUCUCCUUGGAAGUGCAAGGGGGACUGGACUACUUCCGUGUUGUGGAAGGAACCAGGAUAACUGCUUGUGUCUUUGUCUUUCUUUUCUCUGCUCUGUUCUUUCCGCUGCAUAUCUGAUUCUGAUCAUUUCAUCAGAAGCACUCUCAAACUGCUUCUGAAGUUUUAUCAGAAGAAGGAUUUUUUUUAGACAGAAAAAGAAAACACAAUUCAACCCCCCCUUCUUGUGUUUUUCUCACCUUCAAUUGGUAUCAGAGCUUGCUCUGUUAUCACAGCACUUAACCGUGUUACAGUUCAAGAUCUAUUAGAAAAACAUGUCUGGAGAUGAGGAAUCAGUUACUCCAAAAUACACAAGCGUCAAGCAUGACUAUGAUACUGCUGACAAGAAAACAGACUCUGGAAAAGCUCCAAGGUUUAAUGGAGAUCCAGAAGAGUUUUCUUGGUGGAAAACUAAUAUGUACAGCUUUAUCAUGGGAUUAGAUGAAGAGUUAUGGGACAUACUGGAAGAUGGAGUUGAUGACCUGGAUUUAGAUGAAGAAGGAGCUGCUAUAGAUAGAAAAAUACAUACUCCUGCUCAGAAGAAGCUUUAUAAGAAACACCACAAGAUAAGAGGAAUCAUUGUGGCUUCUAUACCUCGCACCGAAUACAUGAAAAUGAGUGACAAAUCUACUGCGAAAGCUAUGUUUGCUUCUCUUUGUGCAAACUUUGAAGGCAGCAAGAAAGUAAAAGAGGCUAAAGCUUUGAUGCUAGUUCAUCAGUAUGAACUUUUCAGAAUGAAGGAUGAUGAGAGUAUAGAAGAAAUGUACUCAAGAUUUCAAACUUUAGUUUCUGGAUUGCAAAUACUGAAGAAAAGCUAUGUUUCUUCUGAUCAUGUUAGUAAGAUUUUGAGAAGCCUACCUUCAAGAUGGAGACCCAAAGUAACUGCUAUUGAGGAAGCUAAGGAUCUAAAUACUUUAAGUGUUGAAGAUCUUGUUAGCUCACUCAAAGUGCAUGAAAUGAGUCUAAAUGAGCAUGAAACCUCUAAGAAGAGUAAAUCCAUUGCUUUACCAUCUAAAGGAAAGACCUCAAAGUCUUCCAAAGCCUACAAAGCCAGUGAAUCUGUAGAAGAAUCACCUGAUGGAGAUUCUGAUGAAGAUCAAUCUGUAAAGAUGGCUAUGCUGUCCAACAAGCUUGAGUAUCUGGCAAGGAAGCAGAAGAAAUUUUUGAGCAAGAGAGGUAGCUACAAGAACUUCAAGAAAGAAGAUCAGAAGGGAUGCUUCAAUUGUAAGAAGCCUGGUCAUUUCAUUGCUGAUUGCCCUGAUCUUCAGAAGGAGAAGUUUAAAGGCAAAUCCAAGAAAUCAAGCUUCAACUCCAGUAAAUUCAGAAAGCAAAUCAAAAAGAGUUUGAUGGCAACCUGGGAAGAUUUGGAUAGUGAAUCUGGUUCUGAUAAAGAAGAAGCUGAUGAUGAUGCUAAGGCAGCCGUUGGGUUGGUAGCAACAGUAUCAUCAGAAGCAGUAUCAGAAGCUGAAUCAGAUUCAGAAGAUGAAAAUGAGGUAUAUUCUAAAAUCCCUAGACAAGAACUUGUUGAUUCUCUAAAAGAACUUUUAUCACUGUUUGAACACAGAACCAAUGAGUUGACAGAUUUAAAAGAAAAAUAUGUUGAUUUGAUGAAACAACAAAAGUCAACUCUAUUGGAACUAAAAGCUUCUGAAGAAGAACUCAAAGGGUUUAACCUCAUAUCAGCAACAUAUGAAGAUAGACUCAAGAGUCUUUGUCAGAAGCUACAAGAAAAAUGUGAUAAAGGUUCAGGCAAUAAACAUGAGAUUGCCUUGGAUGAUUUUAUUAUGGCUGGAAUAGACAGAAGCAAAGUUGCUUCUAUGAUCUACAGCACAUACAAGAACAAAGGCAAAGGGAUUGGAUAUUCUGAGGAGAAAUCCAAAGAAUACAGUCUCAAGAGCUACUGUGAUUGUAUCAAGGAUGGAUUGAAAUCCACCUUUGUGCCUGAAGGUACAAAUGCUAAAACUGCUGUUCAGUCAAAACCUGAAGCUUCAGGUUCACAGGCUAAGAUCACAUCAAAGCCAGAGAAUCUUAAGAUCAAGGUAAUGACAAAAUCUGAUCCUAAGAGUCAAAAGAUUAAAAUUCUGAAAAGAUCAGAACCUGUUCAUCAGAAUCUGAUUAAACCAGAAUCUAAAAUUCCAAAACAAAAGGAUCAGAAGAACAAAGCAGCUACUGCUUCUGAGAAAACAAUACCAAAAGGUGUCAAACCUAAAGUAUUGAAUGAUCAGAAGCCACUCAGCAUUCACCCUAAGGUACAAGGGAGGAAAAGUAAAACCUCCAAAGCUAACCCAAAAGGACCCAUGAAGAUAUGGGUACCUAAAUCUGAAUUGGCCAAAAAUGCAGGUGUGCUUAAGGGCAAGAGAGAAACAAAGGUCAUGGUACCUAGACAGCGGAUGUUCAAGGCACAUGACUGGAGAGAAAGCUUUGUUCCUUACCCUUACAAUGAAAGAUGGAGGAGAAGUGAAGUUUGGUGGCAACCAAACUGGAAAGAUCAUUGGUACAGGUACUAUUGGUAAUUCCUCCAUCUCAAUUAAUAAUGUGUGGCUAGUAGAUGGUCUGAAGCAUAACCUAUUGAGCAUAAGUCAAUUUUGUGACAAUGGGUAUGAUGUAACGUUCAGUAAGACCAACUGCACACUAGUUAACAAGGAUGACAAAUCCAUUACAUUCAAGGGAAAGAGAGUUGAGAAUGUCUAUAAAAUAAAUUUCUCUGAUCUGGCUGAUCAGAAGGUAGUUUGCCUUCUGUCAAUGAAUGAUAAAAAAUGGGUAUGGCAUAAAAGGUUGGGACAUGCUAAUUGGAGAUUAAUUUCUAAAAUUAGCAAGUUACAACUGGUCAAAGGAUUGCCUAACAUUGAUUAUCAUUCAGAUGCACUUUGUGGUGCAUGUCAGAAAGGGAAAAUUGUGAAAAGUUCGUUCAAAUCUAAAGACAUUGUAUCAACCUCCAGACCCUUAGAAUUACUCCAUAUUGAUCUUUUUGGUCCAGUUAACACUGCAUCCUUAUAUGGAAGUAAAUAUGGAUUAGUCAUUGUUGAUGAUUACAGCAGAUGGACUUGGGUAAAAUUCAUUAAAAGUAAAGACUAUGCAUGUGAAGUGUUUAGCAGCUUCUGCACUCAAAUACAAUCUGAAAAAGAAUUGAAAAUUUUGAAAGUCAGAAGUGAUCAUGGUGGAGAAUUUGAAAAUGAGCUAUUUGAACUUUUUUGUGAAAAACAUGGGAUUCUCCAUGAGUUUUCUUCUCCUAGAACUCCACAACAAAAUGGGGUUGUAGAGAGAAAGAACAGAACCUUACAAGAAAUGGCCAGAACCAUGAUCCAUGAAAACAACUUAGCUAAACAUUUUUGGGCAGAAGCAGUCAAUACUUCUUGUUAUAUUCAAAAUAGGAUCUAUAUCAGACCUAUGUUGGAGAAAACAGCUUAUGAACUCUUUAAAGGAAGAAGACCCAAUAUCUCUUACUUUCAUCAGUUUGGAUGUACCUGUUACAUCUUAAACACUAAAGACUAUCUGAAGAAAUUUGAUGCCAAGGCUCAAAGAGGAAUCUUUUUAGGUUACUCUGAAAGGUCAAAGGCAUACAGAGUGUAUAAUUCAGAAACACAAUGUGUUGAAGAAUCUAUGCAUGUAAAAUUUGAUGAUAGAGAGCCUGGAAGUAAAACUUCAGAGCAAAGUGAAAGUAAUGCAGGUACAACUGAUUCUGAAGAUGCAUCAGAAUCUGAUCAACCUUCUGAUUCUGAAAAGUAUACAGAAGUUGAAUCUUGUCCAGAAGCUGAAAUCACUCCAGAAGCUGAGUCUAAUUCAGAAGCAGAACCUAGCCCAAAAGCACAGAAUGAAAUUGCUUCUGAGGACUUUCAAGAUAACACUCAGCAGGUUAUUCAACCUAAAUUCAAGCACAAAUCUUCACAUCCUGAGGAGUUAAUCAUUGGAAGCAAAGAUAGUCCUAGAAGAACAAGAUCACAUUUUAGACAAGAAGAGUCUUUAAUAGGACUGCUUUCAAUAAUUGAGCCCAAAACUGUUGAAGAAGCUCUCUCAGAUGAUGGAUGGAUAUUAGCUAUGCAAGAAGAGCUAAAUCAAUUCCAAAGGAAUGAUGUGUGGGAUCUGGUACCCAAACCUUCUCAGAAGAACAUUAUUGGAACAAAAUGGGUAUUCAGAAACAAGCUGAAUGAACAAGGAGAAGUAACCAGAAACAAAGCCAGACUUGUUGCUCAAGGCUACAGUCAACAAGAAGACAUUGAUUACACUGAAACAUUUGCUCCAGUUGCAAGAUUGGAAGCAAUCAGGUUACUUCUAUCCUACGCAAUUAAUCAUGGCAUAAUAUUAUAUCAAAUGGAUGUCAAAAGUGCCUUUCUUAAUGGUGUCAUUGAAGAAGAAGUGUAUGUUAAACAACCUCCUGGGUUUGAGGAUCUUAAGCAUCCUGACCAUGUUUAUAAACUUAAGAAAUCACUAUAUGGCUUGAAACAAGCUCCCAGAGCUUGGUAUGAUAGACUAAGUAAUUUCUUAAUUAAAAAUGAUUUUGAAAGAGGACAAGUUGACACAACACUCUUCAGAAGGACUCUUAAGAAAGAUAUUUUGAUUGUGCAAAUAUAUGUUGAUGAUAUAAUAUUUGGUUCUACUAAUGCAUCUCUUUGCAAAGAAUUUUCUAAGUUAAUGCAGGAUGAAUUUGAAAUGAGUAUGAUGGGAGAAUUGAAAUUCUUUCUGGGAAUUCAAAUCAUCCAAAGUAAAGAAGGAGUAUAUGUUCAUCAAACAAAAUAUACAAAGGAGCUUCUGAAGAAGUUCAAGCUAGAAGACUGUAAAAUGAUGAACACUCCAAUGCAUCCAACCUGCACCUUAAGCAAAGAAGAUACUGGAACAGUAGUAGACCAGAAGCUUUACAGAGGUAUGAUUGGUUCUCUGUUAUACCUCACUGCAUCUAGACCUGAUAUUUUAUUCAGUGUAUGCUUGUGUGCAAGAUUUCAAUCAGAUCCUAGAGAAUCUCAUUUAACUGCAGUUAAGAGAAUCUUCAGGUAUCUGAAAGGAACAACUAAUCUUGGACUCCUGUAUAGGAAAUCCCUAGAUUAUAAGUUGAUUGGAUUCUGUGAUGCUGAUUAUGCUGGUGAUAGGAUUGAAAGAAAAUCAACCAGUGGAAAUUGUCAAUUCCUGGGAGAGAAUCUGAUAUCCUGGGCAAGCAAAAGACAAGCAACUAUUGCUAUGUCUACAGCGGAAGCAGAGUACAUUUCAGCUGCAAGUUGUUGCACACAACUACUUUGGAUGAAACAUCAGUUGGAAGACUAUCAGAUCAAUGCUAACAGUAUUCCCAUUUAUUGUGAUAAUACUGCUGCUAUUUGUUUGUCAAAGAAUCCAAUUCUACAUUCAAGAGCCAAGCAUAUUGAAAUCAAACACCAUUUUAUCAGAGACUAUGUUCAAAAAGGAAUUUUAGAUAUACAAUUCAUUGAUACUGAACAUCAAUGGGCUGACAUAUUUACAAAACCUUUGUCUGUUGAAAGAUUUGAUUUUAUUAAGAAAAAUUUGAACAUGCAUUUUGUGUCUGAUUGAAAAAUUGCUUGCCUCUGAAUAAGAAGUUUGGUUCUGAAGUUUAUUCAGAAGCAUUUUGGUUCAUCAGAAGCUCUUAAUUGAGGUUCUGAGGAAAAUGUGCUUCUGAAGAUGACGUCAGCACUAAAACUUCAGAAGUGUUAUUCUUUGCUUCUGAAUAGCUUGGUUAGUGGGAACGGUGGAAGUUACUUUAUGUAACAGCUGUCUCAUUACCCAAAAGGUAGUUUUCUGAAGAGUCUCUGACGUGGUUUAUUUGUAUUGGAGUAUAACAAAAAGGGCAAUGAUGUUUUUAUUCGCUUUUUAACGUACUUACACGCGCCCCCAAUUUGUCAUUAAUGCUGUGUUUGUUUGUCCCCUCUGAAUUACAAACGUUUUAAUAAAAACACUAAGUCAUUUCACACACUUCUCACUUCACAACAAACACUUUCUAUUUUCUUCUCAACCCUCUGCGAACGUAAGCGCAUUCUCUCAUCCUCUCAAAACACUUUAGAACCCUAAAACCACUUCAUAUCAAUGGCAUCUUCAAGUUCUGCCGGUGGUUCUUCAUCGAAUAUGGAUAUAGAUACUCCUGCUUAUGAAAUCAAAGGAAGAACUAUGUCGAUUGAGGAAUGGGAUCUAAUCAUUCAAGCGGAAAAUCCAGUGGAUUUCACUUCUCUAACUCAUCAUGGAUGCGACUUGGUAAGAUUCUACAAGAAGCAGAAGCUAAUGAGUUACUUCAGUCUUCUCAACGGUCCUACUUAUGAAGUGCUUGUCAGACAAUUCUGGGUAAGAGCUUCAGUGUUUGACAAAGUUGCUGCUAAACAGGAAGAAGCUCAGAUGAUUCUGGUUGAUCCUACUUUGGAGGGAAAAACCAGAGAAGAAAUGGGUCUACUCGCCUUCACUGGGACUGAGAUUAGAUCAAACGUCAUGGGGAUUCCUGUAACAAUCAAUGAGCAUGUGAUUGCUCAAGCCAUGAGAAGGGAUGCUUCUGGGACAUACGAUGGAGAAGAAAUUCCUAACCCCAGAACAAGCCCAUGGAAGGAGAUAGUAAACAACACUAUCUACGGAUCAAAGGAUGCUAAGCCUUACAGCACCUUAAGCAUGGAAAAGAAAAUGCUGCUGAAGAUCCAAAAUGAAAACAUUUUUCCCAAAGGUGGAGGAAAUGAUCAACCUUCACUUGGUCACAAAGUCUUUCUGCAUCACACCAUCUCUCAGGAAACAACAAUGAAUGUUCCCAAGUAUAUGUUUAAAUACAUGAUCAAGGAACUCAAGAAGAGCCAGAUGGAGAACAGGAAGUUUGUUCCUUAUGGAAGGCUGCUCUCCAUAAUCUUCCAAGAAGGAGGACUCCUAAGUGCCCUGAAAGAUGUGGGUAUUUAUGAUAAUCAGAAGCUGGGAGCAGUCACAGGAAAAAUAAUCAAUGGGGCAACCUUAGUCAAGAUGAGGCUGAUUUCAACAUGCAGCAAACUAGAUACAGAUAUGCAUGAAUCUGAUGUCAUAUCUGAUCUAGUCACUCAUCACAUCCCUAUCUGCAAGAAAGAUCCCCUGGAUGUGCAGAGGGCCUACAUCUUAGACUACUACAAGAGCUACAACAAGAAAAUCAGCCUGAAAGAUAUCCCAGAAGAAAUGUAUGGUGGUGAUCUGCCUGUGGCCAAAGGCAGAAAAUCUAAAAAGAAGCAGAUCACCAAGGAAGAAUACCUUGCUGAAGAUGCUACUGAGGUGGGUGCUCAGAAGCAUAAGAAAGCUAAGAAGGAAAAAUCUGCUAUGUCCACCAUUCUUGAGGAAGUGGAGGAUUUGGAUGAUGUCCCUCUUAUCAGAAAAAGGACAAGGAGUACUCAAGAAACAGCAGAACAGCCUGCUUCUGAACAAGCUGGUUCAGAACAAGCUGCUUCUGAUCAAGCUGCUUCUGAAAAGCCUCCAAGUCCCAGAAAUAAAAGAGAAGCUGCUCUUCAGACCAUCAAAAGGAAGAGGUCUAAUUUAACAAGAAAUCUGAAGACAGCUGAAGGAAGAAGGGCACAAAUGUUGGAAGAACUGGAAGAGAACUGGGAUGAAGACUCAAGCCCUAAGAAAGCAAAAAGGACUGCAACUUCUGAGCCCAUAGUCAUGCCCAGCUUCGAAAUGACUGAAGAAAUGAAGCAGUAUACUAGGGAGGUUGCUGCAUCCAAGAUAGCAGAGAAGAAAAGGAUGAAGAUUUUGUAUGAAGAAGAAAGGGAUGAACGUCUCAAGGCUGCAGGGUAUGUGCCUACUCCUGACAUUGCUGCUUUAGCAUCGGAGUUAGAAACUGUUAAGUAUGGAGCAACUCUGCUUUCUCAAGCCUUGAAGAAUAAGCAAGCUUCAGGAGCAACUUCAUCAGAACCAGCUUCAGAAGCUCCAGAAGCAGUUCAUCCAGAAGCUCAGUCUUCAGGUAAUCCAUCUAAUGCUCCAACUAAUACUCAGAUUCCAUCUCUACCCUCUUCACCCUCUUCAUCAUCCACAGAAUCAGAUGACCGGCCCCUUAGCCAACAUAUAGACAAGCUUCUUAAAACCAAACCUACCAAACUAACAGAUUUAGGAACACUUGACUGGGAGCAAACUCAAAUAGAAUUUUCUAAGAAUAGAAUUAAACUUUGUGAGAAAUUCAAUUUGCCUCCUACUCAUCCACUCUUUCCAGAUAAUCCUGAACCUGUUAGUGUACAACAACCUCAACCCAACCCAGAACCUACAACAAACUCACCACAUAACUCAACCACACAAAAAGCCUCUGAAGUAGCUUCAGAUGCAACUACUUCAGAAACCCCCCAACACCAAGAAUCCUCAACCCUUCACAACUUAGAAAAACAUCUAGGUGGUGAAAUGCAACCAACACCCACUAAGGCCUCUAAGACAGUUCCUGAAAAGACUGUUUUGGAAACCCAAACAGAAACCCAAACCAUCCCUGAGCAAACUGUUCAGGAGCAAACUGCUUCUGAACAAGUUGCUCCUGACCAAACAACUCCUGACCAUCAAACAACAGAACAACAACAACCAGACUCACCCACUAUAAUAGACUUAACCUCUGACCAACCAACCACAUCAAAUACAACUCAAACUGAACCUUCACCCAUCCCUGACCAUAUCCUAGAGUCUGAGUAUAUAGAGGAACAGCCGAUUAGACUUAGUGAUGAGAUUCAGGCACUGAUUCUUCGCAGAACAGUUCCUGCACCUCCUAUUCACUAUUAUGAUCAGUGGAUAGAUCUUCAGAAGAGCUUUGAUGAGUUGCUGGACCAACUCAGAACCAAAUGUGUGUCAUCUCACUCUGCAAUGCUGAAGAAGCUUUUGGAUGAUAUGCAUGAAGCAGCUAAGGACAAAGAGCUGAAUUAUGUACCUCUUCUGGACAUCACUCCUUUCUAUCCUGAAGAAGAGUAUAUCUCAAGAGCUGCAAGAAUUCAUGCUGGGCAUGUAAGAAGAAUGAGGGAAAAGGAUGAGCUACUUAAGAAGAAAGAUGAACAGAUCAAGUAUCUCUUAGAACAGCUGUAUAAGCAAGCCCAACCUUAGUUGCACACCCAACUCUAGCUUGUUUUUACUUUUGUUCUGUGUAGUCUUAUCUUUGUACCUUAACCUUCAUUUAUAAAUAUUAUCAUUGUUUCUGAAAUAUUAUGUUCUAUUUUUUUUAACUCUAAUGAUAUUUAUUGAUUUUAAUGUCAUAUGCUCUGAUACUUCUUGCUCUGAUACUUAUUAUGUUUUUAUUUGGUUAUAUGCUCUACUACUCUGUCUUUUGUUCUUAUUCUUUUUGUUGAUGACAAAAGGGGGAGUAAAUGUAUAGUAUUUUUAAGGCACUGAGCCCCACUACAACCACUUCUAAAUUUCUUUUAAAUACUUCUGAUUUGAUUUUAUGAGUAUUUUAUUGAAAUUUAAUUAAUAAGAAUAGAACUUAGGGGGAGCUUACAAACCUCACCUUAAGGAUCUAUUAGACUCAGGGGGAGCUUACAAACCUCUAUCCCAGUGGUCAACUUAUUAAUUAGAUCAACAACAAUUGAACAUUUUAAAUACUGUUGUUUGUCAUCAUCAAAAAGGGGGAGAUUGUUGGAACAAAAUGUGUUUCACAAUGAACCUUAUUAAGUUUUGAUGAUAACAAGGUAUUAAAAAUUGUCAAUUGGUUAUUACUAAUAACUGUUCAAGUGUACAGGACCAAAGGCUACUCAAGUUAUUUCAAUAGGUCUUGGAAGAACAAUGGAAAGAAAAAGAAAUUCUGAGCAUCUGAAGAAAACUGCUCCUGAAGCUAAACUGCUCCUGAAGAGAUGACGUCAUCAGAAGCAGAAAGUCAUCAGAAGCAGAAAGUCAUCAGAAGCAAAAGUUUUCAUCAGAAGCAAUAUCUUCACCAGAAGCUACAUUUGAUCCUUUAAUCAAACUGAAGAUUCAAAGUUGCUGAUUCUCAAUUCAGUCUUAUCAAAGAAGAACGAAGAACUGAAAGGGAGGUAUCAACGGAUAUAUGGAUAACACUGAGCACUUGUCUCUCAUUAAUAGAGUUGACAAAGUACAAGUGUACAACCACUACCUCCACUACUCUGUUUUUUGUCUACGCUACAAGACAAAACAACAGCCAUGCCUGCAGAAUUUGUACACUCAAGAUGGGAAUGAAUUUGAAGUUUAUUCUUCAAAGGACUACACCCAAAUCAGGCAAAGGAUCACUGGUGGAUAAUCAAAGGAUUUCAAACGACUCUUUAAACGUGCUGAUUAUCUCAACGUCUCUUUCACGCCUCUAUAUAAAGGAGUGAAGACUUGAAGAUAAAACAGAGAUAUACACAAGUUCAAAAGCGCCAAAACUCUGUCAAUUUGAUACUACAAAGCACACUGAAUUUCUGCACUGAUUUGAUACAUCUUAGAAAUUCAUAGUCUAGAGUCUUUUCUGUAUUGUAUUGUGAACACCACUGAUUGUAUAUCAAGUGUUCAAUUCAAACUCAAUUCUCUGUAUUUUUUGUUUGAUUAGAAGUCUCUUGCCUGUGCUUGAGCAUUAGAAGUCUCUUGCUUAGUGCUUGAGCAUUGGAAGACUCUUGCGUGUGUGCUUGAGCAUAGUUUUGUGAAGUCUCAUACUUAGAAAGUAUUGAGCAGUUGUAAUCUUGUGAUUAUAGUGAAAUCUCCUUGGAAGUGCAAGGGGGACUGGACUACUUCCGUGUUGUGGAAGGAACCAGGAUAACUGCUUGUGUCUUUGUCUUUCUUUUCUCUGCUCUGUUCUUUCCGCUGCAUAUCUGAUUCUGAUCAUUUCAUCAGAAGCACUCUCAAACUGCUUCUGAAGUUUUAUCAGAAGAAGGAUUUUUUUUUAGACAGAAAAAGAAAACACAAUUCAACCCCCCCCUUCUUGUGUUUUUCUCACCUUCAAUCUUUAGGUUGACAAUUUAACUUCACGUUCUUUUGUUAGCCUAUUUUCCCAAAUAUAUCAACCAUUAACCCAAGCCAUGCUACAACCCUGAAAGACCUCAAAGUGUGUAUAUAAUUUGAUCUUGACUUUCUCUUUCGAAUUGUCUCAAAUUUACAGCAAGGUACAUUCAUGUGACGACUAGAGUGGGCAAAUGUCGUGACCAGCCCUACUGGAUCUAGGAGAUACAAACGUGUAACAUGGAAAAGAGUAUGGUUGAUUGUAUGAGCUAUCUUCUCCAAGCUUGUCCUGCUAGAAUGUAACAAGGUAAGUAAAUCAAUGAUGUAAAUGUGAUGAAUGAUGAUCUGAGCAACUCUUCGAAAAGGUAUGUUUUUCCUGAAAAAAUGCAAAGAAUAAAAUUUGUUUUCCUUUCAUUACAUGAGCAUAAGCAACAAUUUAAGUUUCAGAUUGUGAUGGCAGGUCAUCAUAAGUUGUUUUUAGAAUGUUUUUCAGUCACGUUUGAUAAGUUUUACAUCUAGAAUAGAUGAGUAUUAGAGAAAUUGCUUAUGAUUUCGGGACAUUUGGAAUGUUUUCUGUAUUUGAGUCUGCGAUUCUAUUCUUCCCGAAACAUAGUUAUUUUAGGGUGUUUUGAUGUAAUUGACGAAGAAAUCAUGCAAAUCGGCAAUGCAAGACAUCUGAAGAGGGUUGAAGACCUUGGGAAGAUGAAGAAUGAAUAUUCAAGAUGCCUCAUAAGGCUUUACAGAGAGAGGAAUUUUAUUCCCAAGUUCCAAGACAUCUUAUAUGGAAGCAAACACCCAAAAAGACGAAGAAAUAGAUGUUCCGGGGCACAGACAGCAUUCACAUGCACCUGACACACGUUUCCGUGACCUUGGGCACACGAUGAGGCGCUGAUGACAGUCGUCAUUAUGUUAUUUUUAUGGUCUUUUAAUGAUAUUUUUAUGGCACUUAGAGAGUCAAUUGCUUGUAUACAUGGUUAAAUCAUCUCAAGAUUCAUAAAAGAGAAGUUUGCACAAAUUGAAGAAGAAUGCAAGAAUUUACUGGAGAAAUCGUGCCACGAUGGACCUGAAUCGUGGCACGUUUGAAGCGUGGAAUUUACCUGAAGAUACUGGAAAAAUCGUGGCACGAUGGACGUAUAACGUGCCACGAUGGUUGAGUAAAUUUGCUGCCACGUAGGAUUAAUGAGCAAAUCGUGCCACGAUGGUCUCGAAACGUGGCACGAUUUUGGGCUUUUCUGAAACCCUAAUUCUUUGUCUAUAAAAGCAAAAUGCGAUCGGAAGGAGAGGGGGGCGAUUUUGGAGACAAAAACAGAGCAUAGAAGACACCAGGAAGCUAAAAGAACACGCAUUGGAUCUCACCAAACUCAUAGUUGGUUCUGGUUUAUGUAUGUUCACUAUUUUCUAUGUAUUUGAUUGUUUAGUUAUGAGUAGCUGAACUCUUAGAUUGAUUAAGCCAUGAGAUGAAUCUUUGUGAUCUGUGAACCAUGUAAUUUGUUAAGAACUCUCUUUGACAUCAAUGAAAACCUAGUCUUUAUUCAGAAUUAUUUGUGCUUAAUGCUUUUCUUAUGAUUGUUUGUAUGACUACUAACCCUAGCUUCUUUCAAUCACAUAAAUUGAUGCUAGGAAUUGAAUGACUACUAACCCUAGCUUUUAAUCCUGAAAUAGUAAUUCUGUUUAAUUCAACAUAGGAACCUAGAGAUAGGAAAUUGAGGAUUAUGACUUAUGAAUUAACGUUCUCACCAUGCUUCCGCGAUUAUUCAAUCGGUUUAAGAGAUUAAAAGGUUAUAACUUAGGAAAGGGUUUUGUGUCAAGAGAUUGAUCAAAACCACUUAGUUAAUCCGUCGUCAAGCUAGGUUAAUUUCUUUGAGAGAGAAGAGAGGCAAAUUACUCACAGUGAGCAAUAGAGAAUUCGAAAGACUUGAUCAUCUGUUUUAAUCCAAUUAUCAAACCAUUUUAUUUCCUGUUAUUUAUUAUUUUAUGCAAACCAAAACUACUGCCUCAGGCACUAAAAUAAUUUACACAUCCUAAAUAUUAAUCUUAUUGCUAAAUUGAAAUUAACACAGUCCUCGUGGGAACGAUAUUUUUACUACUUCGAUAGUUAUUGGUACACUUGCCAAUUAUCUAUCAAGUUUUUGGCGCCGUUGCCGGGGACUGUUGAGUCAUUUCAAUUUGGUAAUUUUGUUUUUAUUUAGGAUUUUUGUCAUUUAUAUUUUUGUUUAUAUAGAUAAAAAAAAUAUAUAUGAGUUAUGCUCUUCUUUUUCUUCUCAUUGUACUGUGCUACUAAAAAGUUUAUCCAAGUUUUGCAGCUAUGAUAGACAGGUUAUACCUCCAUGACACAGAAGAGAUUGGUAUGUUGAAGUAUGAAAAAUAUAUGCUAUCUUUGAAGAUAGGAUAUUUGGACAAAACAAUCUCGAGAUUAAAUGAGAGGUGUGGUCGUUGUGAGGUGGAUCAACCAGGUAGUAAUUGUGAAGAGAAGAAAGAGGUGAUCAACAUCGAUUACCAUACUCAACUUCAAAAUAUUUUAGAUGAAUUCUUGGUGUCAAAUCAAGUUUCAUUUGAGAAGUUUGAUGUUCAGUGUGGUGAUCUUGUUGAGAAGGCACAUGAGUCUCAAAGGAAGUUGGUUAAGAUGGAGAGAGAAUGUCACAAGGUUGUGGUGGAAGAAAAUCCCAAGGUGAGGAGUGUUGAUAUUGGUCCGAAAUCUGAACCAACGGAGAUUAAAGAAAUAACUCGUGUGCAAAUGGAUGCACGUCCUUCUCUAAGGUGGGAGAGCUUAAAUUCCAAAAGAUCAACAAUGAGUGCAUGGGAGUAUCUGAUUCUUUAUGCCAAAUUCAUGGAAUUCCUACCAAACAAGAGGAAGAAGAAGGAUGAUAUAUUCUUUCUAUCAUAUUUGCCACCCUAACAGUGGUUGAAGCGUCAAGCUCAGUGACGUAAAAGAAAGCGCUUGGUGGGAGGCAACCCAUCCUUUUUAUUAUGUUUUCAUUUUCAGUAUUUUAUUCCUAUUGUUGAGUCAGACAAUUGUCACUGUGUUUGAAUAACUCAGUUGUAUUCCCCUGUUUUGUAAUUGUUCUUGCACUUGUUUAUUAUUGAUGAAUUUUCUUGUUUGUUGACUUUUUCCAGUUUAGUAACAAAUGUUUGUUCAAGUGGUAUUCCAAAAGUUCAAAAGGAGGAGCGACUUGUGUUUCAAAGGCGAAGUGUACGACAGUGAAAGAUAGGUAGUCACAACUCCCAGAUAUCAUAACUGUCAGGUUCAUAGCCAAACUUUAUUUUUCCAAUUUUACUUAUAAAGAGUGUUCCAUGCAUUUACAAUUCUAGAACUUGCAAUUUUUCUCUGCUGUCGAUUGAUCUUUGUCAUAUACACACUGAGGCAAAAGUGCUUGGUCCUGUGAGCCUUUUGAAGCCUACCCUGAUUGUUUUGAAAUUUUAUCCUUUCUUUAGCCAAAUUGAGCCGGUAGGUUUAGAUCUUUUUGUUCGGUGACAAACUACAUUACAAGCUUAGAGACUUUUAGGAUUUAUCCCUUUUUGUUUUUCUGAGUUAGGCAUUGUAGAAUGUUGCUAAAUAUUAAGUUUGGGGUUGCUAUUGGAAUUUGCAACCAAUUAAGUUUGGGGUGGAGAUACUAGAGAACAAAAAAGAAAAGAAAAAAAAAAAAAAAGAGAAAUUCUCAUGAAAACAAUAUGCAAAAAAAAAAAGAAAAAAAAAAGAGAAUAGAAUGAAAAAGGGACAAAGAAUUGAAAAACCGAGUAACUUCAAACUCGAUUGUCCCAAUUGUUAUAAAUAAUCUCUAGUAUCCUUGCAAGAGUUGUUGUUCCAAAAGGUGAAUGAAUGAUGGAUUGAAUUUUGUGUUUAACUUCCGUAGGAGUGCCUAACUCAAAUUUUGUGUAGCCUACUUAUCCAAAUAUAUCCCAACUUCACCUAAGCCCCAUUAUAACCCUUUAAGACCUCAAGGUGUGCAUUGACAUUGAUUUUGAUUGAUGUUUAGAAACUUUUCAAGCUUAUGGUAAUAUGUAGAUUGCAUGUCGACUGUGUGUGAACCCUUUCAAAUGUUUGCGUGGAGUUGUGAAUUGGUGGUUGCUAACAAGCCAAACUAGCUCAUCUUUAGCUAGUAAGGUGUUGAACUUUUGGGUACUAUCGCUUGAUCAGGUAAUUGUUAUUUUACUGUCGAUUGUCAAUGAUGCAAGUAAAUUCCUUGAGGACAAGGAAUAAUUCAAGUUUGGGGUUGUGAUGACAGUCGUCAUUAUGUUAUUUUUAUGGUCUUUUAAUGAUAUUUUUAUGGCACUUAGAGAGUCAAUUGCUUGUAUACAUGGUUAAAUCAUCUCAAGAUUCAUAAAAGAGAAGUUUGCACAAAUUGAAGAAGAAUGCAAGAAUUUACUGGAGAAAUCGUGCCACGAUGGACCUGAAUCGUGGCACGUUUGAAGCGUGGAAUUUACCUGAAGAUACUGGAAAAAUCGUGGCACGAUGGACGUAUAACGUGCCACGAUGGUUGAGUAAAUUUGCUGCCACGUAGGAUUAAUGAGCAAAUCGUGCCACGAUGGUCUCGAAACGUGGCACGAUUUUGGGCUUUUCUGAAACCCUAAUUCUUUGUCUAUAAAAGCAAAAUGCGAUCGGAAGGAGAGGGGGGCGAUUUUGGAGACAAAAACAGAGCAUAGAAGACACCAGGAAGCUAAAAGAACACGCAUUGGAUCUCACCAAACUCAUAGUUGGUUCUGGUUUAUGUAUGUUCACUAUUUUCUAUGUAUUUGAUUGUUUAGUUAUGAGUAGCUGAACUCUUAGAUUGAUUAAGCCAUGAGAUGAAUCUUUGUGAUCUGUGAACCAUGUAAUUUGUUAAGAACUCUCUUUGACAUCAAUGAAAACCUAGUCUUUAUUCAGAAUUAUUUGUGCUUAAUGCUUUUCUUAUGAUUGUUUGUAUGACUACUAACCCUAGCUUCUUUCAAUCACAUAAAUUGAUGCUAGGAAUUGAAUGACUACUAACCCUAGCUUUUAAUCCUGAAAUAGUAAUUCUGUUUAAUUCAACAUAGGAACCUAGAGAUAGGAAAUUGAGGAUUAUGACUUAUGAAUUAACGUUCUCACCAUGCUUCCGCGAUUAUUCAAUCGGUUUAAGAGAUUAAAAGGUUAUAACUUAGGAAAGGGUUUUGUGUCAAGAGAUUGAUCAAAACCACUUAGUUAAUCCGUCGUCAAGCUAGGUUAAUUUCUUUGAGAGAGAAGAGAGGCAAAUUACUCACAGUGAGCAAUAGAGAAUUCGAAAGACUUGAUCAUCUGUUUUAAUCCAAUUAUCAAACCAUUUUAUUUCCUGUUAUUUAUUAUUUUAUGCAAACCAAAACUACUGCCUCAGGCACUAAAAUAAUUUACACAUCCUAAAUAUUAAUCUUAUUGCUAAAUUGAAAUUAACACAGUCCUCGUGGGAACGAUAUUUUUACUACUUCGAUAGUUAUUGGUACACUUGCCAAUUAUCUAUCAGGCGCCGAGCGCAUGAGUGUAGGCGCCUGGCGCCCAGAAACUCACUCACAUGCGCCUGGCGCAUGGUUCUAGGCGUCCGGCGCCUGUUCCUUGCGGGCCAAGAUGUUGUUUUGUGACUUUUUGGCGUGAAAAGCUCGGUAUUUUAGCCCAAGUUCAGGGGAAACUGUAACGCCCACUUUCGUUUAAUUAAUUAUUUAAUCGAGUUUAUGCCAUUAUAUUAUAUUUUUAUAAUAUAUAUGUGAGUUUUGUUGAAUUUAGAAGAGUUAAGUUGAUUUGAAAGAUUUGACGUGUUUUGAUGAUUUGAUAAGAUUAUGAGACUUAUUUUAUUGUUAAAUAAAAUAAGAUUUGAUAAGAAAAUAAAAAUAUUUAGUUGAGGGCUGUUUUGAUAUUUUAGAUAGUUUUGGGGGAGAAAGUGAGAUAAGAUAAGUAAUUAAGAGGAGAUAUAAAAGAGAUAGACCUAGUUUUAGAAAAACAUUGUUGUACGUACGUUUUUGGAGAAAAAGGGAGAAAACCAAGAGAAGAACAAGAGAGACCUUGGAGGGCUGCGAUUUCUACACAUUAAGGUAAGGGUGAGACUAAUAAUUCAAUAAUGUUAGUUGUUGUAAUUCUGAUGAUUAAUUAACAAAGUUAGGAUUGAUUUAGAAAAGUUUUGGAAUUAGGUCAAAAACCUAGAAAUUGAUGAUCAAACGGUAUAAUGAUGUUAGAUUGAUGUAGAAACCAUCCUACAACUUAGAAUAUGUUUAGGAUGAAUUCUGAGAUUGAAAUUAGGCUUAGAACCUUGUUAGAUGAUGAUUUUCGUGUAGAAAAUGCAUCAAGUCCGAGCCUAAAUUCAUCGCUCGCCAUGGCGAGUGUUAUACCCUGUUUUUGGACCUAAAAAUGCUGGGCCCAAUUUCAUUUCAAACUUUGUCAAAUGUCAAAUUUCAACUGCACAGUUCAAUUUGUCUCUGCUACGCAGUGUUUUCAAUCACAUUUUUACCUAUGUUUUUCUUGCAUAAAACCUUUCAAAAUGUCUUUACUUGUCUUGUAAGUCAUUCAAAAGUGUCUCUGAACCAUUACAUUGCUUUUUCUACAGUUUAUUUCAAAAUUUGCAAAAGGUCAUAUAGAAGGGUAUUUUGGUCAUUUCCUGCAGUGGGACCCAUUUUCAUCCUUGUGACUGUCUCUGAGUCUUUUCAGAUUGAUUUUUAACAUUUCAUCAGUAAACCUUGUUAAAUUCAUUUCAAACUUGCAUCUGAGUCAGUGUCAAGUCAAUUUGAGUUGGUUUAGGUCAUUUUUAGCCCUAGGGGCAUUUUGGUCAUUUCACAUGAAAUUUUGGCAUGGGGAGGUUACUUUGAAGUACCUCAUUUAGGCCAUUGGUUCGUUUUAGUCCGUUUUGUCAAUUUUAUUUUUGUUUCGCUUUACGUUUGGUCAAAUUACGUUUUUUAUUCAAUUUCGUUUUUAAUUGCAUUUUGGUCCCUCAAUUGAGGUCCCAAAAUUGCAUUUUUAGUCCAGAAUUUUCUUUUUUUACAUUUCAGUCCUUUUUGGAUUAUUUGCAGUUUAGUCCUUGAAGUUUUAUUUUUUGCAGAAAGGUCCAAAUUUCUUUUUUUGUCCAAGCCGUGCCACUCUCAUACAAUUCCAGGUGUCAUGCUCUCAUUGGCUCAAGUGUACACAUGUCAACUAUAUAAACAGUGAGUCAGAUUCAAAGCCAUUGAUCACACGCCACCUCAACAAACAGAGAACUCUCUCUCUCUCUUAGCAGUUACAGAUCAAAACAGAAAUUCUCAAGAACAUGAAGAACACAAAACCCUAACUGUUUCCAGAAAGUCACAAAUUCAUCAAGUUUCAGUGUUUUUCGUAUCAAUUCUCAGAGAUUCGCAUGAAUCUUCAUCACUGAAUUGAUCUUUCUCUGCAAUUCCAAACGCGAGCUCGCGUUGAAGCAAGCUCAAGCGUUGAUCACAGAGCGUGAAAAGAAGAGGGAAAGAAGCAAAGUUCUAAACCGGCGAAGAAGAUGAAAAAACGGAAUCAGUGAGAAAAGGAGAAUCACCGAUUUAUUUUCGGUCCAAGAACAAGCAAAGGAAUCAAAAAACCAGCAAGAACAUUCAAGUUUUCCCAAAGAUUUUCUCCAUUAAAGGUUUCAACCAAAACCUUAGGUAAAACUCAGAAUCUUUUCUCAGAAAUAAUAUCACUGUUAAACCUAAAAAUCACGCAAGCAAAACAGAUUCAAAAUUUCCAGAAUUCAAAGCCAAAACUAUAACCGUAAACACCAAAACCUAGAUCCGUGAGGAUCAAAGUUUUGAAAUCAAGAACAAGUACCAGAAAAGCAGUGAAUAACGAAACGAUGUAGAUUCUUAAAGAUCCAAACGUUUUCGUUCAAAAAGAUCAAAAAAAUCAGUUUCAAAACCGUACAAAGUUUUUCCAGAUCUACAUCAUUUCAAGCUGUAUUUGAGAAAUUUCUUGAUAGAUUCGUGUUUAGGGUUAAAGGACGAAUCAAAAGGUGCAAAAAUAUUUGAGUUCUGGAAAUUUUUUCACCGGAAACUGCUAGGUCUCGCCGGAGAAGAUGAAGUUUCCGGCGGACCUUCAAGGUCUCCGCCGUAGCUUCAUCCUCACCGGCGGUGAGGGUUUAGAGAGAGAUGAGAGAAGAGAGAGGGGUUAGAGAGAGAAAGAAGAAUACGAAAUGAAAAAACCGGCGCGCUAGGGUUUAUAUAGAGUGCUAGACCGGACCGGUUCAAGACCGGUCCAAUCCCAUGCGUUGUGAGCCCUUAGAUCUAGGGUUUGGGAUCUUGGAUCAAUCCAACGAUCCCUGAGCGUUCCUGUGAAAUCCGGAUCCCUUGGCUUUGGGCCUGGGCCUCUUUUCUUUGCUUUUCUACGUUUUUGCUUUUUUUGUGCUAUUUGCAUCGUAUUUCCUUGCUAUCUGCACCUAUUGUUUGUUUACUUCUUUUACAAAAAUCCCUAAAAAAUCCUGGUUGUUUCUUGAUGUAUUUUUGGUAUGUCUAUGGUAUUUUUGCAUAAAAAAAAAUGUUAAAAUGGCAUGAACUAAUUUCCAUGAGUUUCUACACUUUUGGUAUGUAUUUUGCUAUGUUUUGUUCUUGGUAUUUUGAUAUUAUGACAUGAAUGAAUGAUGCCUAAUAUGGUGAUGAACAUGCCUCUGGAAAUGUGCUUAUUUUUGUUGUGUUUGGAUAUGAUUUUAUGGAUUUCUUGUUUUACAAGAAAUAAUUGUUUAUUUUUUAGAAUAAAGUGGCAAAUUUCUCUAUGAACUUGGUGUGAUAUUUUGCAUGCAUAUGCCUCCAUUAAUUGCAUGUCAUGGCUUGAAACAAAAUUUCUUUCUAAAUUGCCAUGAUGUGAUGAUUAUGGGUCACUAGCAUCUUUAAGUAUCAUAUCAAAUGUCUUCUAGGUUUACUACCACUUUAUUACUUUUUCUUUGCCAUCUUUAUGCAUUUCCUUUUAAUUACCUCCUACUAUUGUGUACUUUAUGAUUACUAACCAUUUCAUCUCAUGUGCCAUACAUUUCAUAACAUUCCACCACUCUCUCCACUUUCUUUAGCUUAGCAUUUUUCAUUUUUUUUCUUUUUUGCAAGUUUUAAUUCAUUUGGUAAUGUAACUUGUUAUCAUUGGUUUGUAGCUUGGCAAAGGGGCCAUAGAAUGUAUUUAGGUAAUGUUGUAAUAUGGACUAUGGACACUAUGACGCACCGACACGCACACACUCACCUUAGAUGUAUGCAUAGGAUUGUAUGGUUAAAUAAGCGUUUAGGUUUUAAACACUUAGAGAAAAUCCAUCUUUUUUUCAAAAAAAAAAACAAUUGAACUUCACUUCAAAAAUUUUCAUAAUAAAUAUGAAGUCAACGCUUCAUUUUUUCCUUUCUUUUCUUUUUUUUCUUAAGAAAAAUUCAAUUCAUCUUAACCAUUUAGACUUUCUUUUUAAUCAUUAAUCAAACCUCACUUUUUUUGCUAAAUCUGAUGCUCAUGAAGCCUCCCAAUCUCCUUCUUCAAAACCAUUUUCAAAACUUAAAAUCAAACAAUUAAAACAAAAAAAAACAACAAGUCUUUUUAGCAAGAACUACGCCGGUUUUGAUCCCGUAAAACGGUACGUAGGCAAUGAGUCAAAACUCAUCCAAGCCGAAAUAAAAUCAAAUUCUACUUCUUCUCACCCCCAUUCUUAACUAAUCACACUUUCCCUUUUUUACAAAUAAGCAAUAAAACUAAAGCGUAGAAAUAAACUUAGGAGAACGGUUCUUAUGGAAUACCAUAAUCGCUCCGGGUGCCUAACACCUUCCCGUAGCGAAAACGACCCCCGAACUUAGAAUCUAAGGGUUUUUCUCAAUUUUGCCCUUCCCAAGAAAAAAUAGAGAAUAUCAACGGUCAAAAGGUUCAAGUCCAAUUAAUGGCUUGGCACCCAAAAACCAUGAUAACAGAAAUGGCGACUUCACUGGGGAUUCUUUUUAGCGGGUCGCGCCUAGUUUUCCUUAGUUUAUAUUUACGCUUUAUUUUAUUGCUUACAUAUGUGAAUAUUUGUUUACUUUCAUUCAACGUGUGGGGUGAGAAUAUCAAAAGUCCUAACCCGGGCUGAGUGAACUUAUGUUUAGGUAGAGAUAUAAUCGACAAUUCGAUCCGGGGGUUGCCUCGUGUAUUGGAUUAUGCGAUCAAUCUCACAUAGCUGAGGCAUUUUGAAGGUGAUAUUGUCGGCGUGUGUUGUCAUGCUUAGGCACUUCACUUUCAAUUGUUCGACGAAGCUAUGAACCGUAGUUACCAAACCCAUCCUAGCCUUUUUAGGACGUAGUGCGGUGGCUAAAUUGAGUGUUGUCUCAAACUUUAGUCGUCACGCGAUACUACACUCAAACUAGACCUUCUCACAAAUAAUCAUGGAACGGGUGUCGUCCUGUACUACCAUGAUAUAUGUGAGAGAGGUUGCAGUCUGGGAACUGUGUUAGAACCUUGGUUACUACUAUCCAAAGCCGUAGUUCACCGGACGCCGUGUCCAUCCGUGGCCCCGUUACUUUGAAACUCAACCCACUUUUAAACAACACAAUCAUGCAUACAUGCAUUCAUGCAUAAACAUUUUUCAUGCAUUCAUCGAAGGGUUUAAACAAAUGAGAAUUUUUGUAAAUAAUCACAGGUAUGAAGAAGACUAAGUGCUACAAGUUCAAGGAAGUAGAUUUGGUUAGUUUGAGAGAGUUGGCACUCAAGGUCAAGAGUCAAACAGGGUUCCGACUCCGGUAUGGGGGAUUGCUUACUUUGCUCCGAACCGAUGUGGACGAGAAGCUAGUGCACACUCUAGUGCAAUUUUAUGAUCCGAGCUUCCGUUGCUUCACUUUCCCGGACUUCCAGUUGGUUCCUACUCUCGAGGCUUACUCCAAUCUAGUGGGUUUACCUAUAGCCGAGAAAGCACCUUUCGCCGGUCCCGGGGCUCCUCUUACUUCUCUGGUUAUUGCUAAGGAUCUCUACCUCAAGACUUCCGACGUCUCCAACCAUCUUAUUACCAAAUCUCACAUCCGGGGGUUCACUUCGAAGUAUCUUCUUGAUCAGGCUAAUCUCAGUACUACUCGUCAGGAUACACUCGAGGCUAUUCUUGCUUUGCUUAUCUACGGGCUCAUUCUCUUUCCGAACCUCGACAACUUCGUGGACAUGAAUGCCAUUGAGAUCUUCCAUUCCAAGAACCCGGUUCCUACUUUGCUAGCAGAUACCUACCACGCCAUUCAUGACAGGACUCUCAAGGGCCGUGGGUAUAUUCUUUGCUGCACAUCUCUUUUGUAUAGGUGGUUUAUUUCGCACCUUCCGAGUUCCUUCCAUGACAACUCGGAGAACUGGUCCUACUCGCAGCGGAUUAUGGCCCUUACUCCUAAUGAGGUCGUCUGGCUCACUCCUGCCGCUCAAGUGAAGGAAAUCAUUAUGGGUUGCGGAGACUUUCUCAAUGUACCUCUUCUUGGUACCCGUGGGGGAAUCAACUACAACCCCGAGCUUGCUAUGAGACAGUUUGGUUUCCCUAUGAAGUCGAAGCCCAUCAAUCUUGCUACGUCUCCGGAGUUCUUCUUCUACACGAAUGCUCCUACCGGACAAAGGAAAGCUUUCAUGGAUGCUUGGUCCAAGGUUCGAAGGAAGAGUGUGAAGCAUCUAGGUGUGAGAUCCGGUGUCGCUCAUGAGGCCUAUACUCAGUGGGUGAUAGAUCGAGCUGAGGAGAUUGGUAUGCCUUAUCCAGCUAUGAGAUACGUGUCUUCGUCUACUCCAUCUAUGCCUCUACCUCUACUUCCCGCGACUCAGGAUAUGUAUCAGGAGCAUCUAGCUAUGGAGAGUCGUGAGAAGCAAGUGUGGAAAGCUCGGUACAAUCAAGCUGAGAAUCUAAUCAUGACUUUGGAUGGUAGAGAUGAGCAGAAGACUCAUGAGAAUCUGAUGUUGAAGAAAGAACUAGCUAAGGCCCGGAGGGAACUAGAAGAGAAAGACGAGCUGCUUAUGAGGGAUUCCAAGAGAGCUCGAGGACGACGAGACUUCUUUGCCAGAUACUGUGAUUCAGAUUCCGAGUCCGAUGAUCUUCCGACUACUUCCUAUGCUUGAGAGCUUUAUUUGUUUACCUUGUUGAAAAUGUUGUGUAAUUUUGAUUAUUUGCAAGAUUUCUAAUUUGUUUUAAAAUCCUUCGAUGAAAAAAAUAAGUCUUUUGCAUUCGCAUUUGCAUAUCAUGCAUCAUAUGCAUCAUGCAUUGGUCACAAAGGCUUCCAAGUGCUCACUAUCUCCUGGUUCCUCUGCCGCAGUGUGAAAAGUGGCUCGUGCUCAGAGAGUUUACGAACCAGAUAGAAUUGAUCGAACCAGAGAAUACAGAAGAAAGAAAAGGGCUAUGGAAGAAGAGAACGCUCAGCUUCGCACCGAGUUAGCCUCUCUAAAGGAGGAAUUGGCUAAAGCUAAUGACGUCAUGACUGCUCUACUAGCUGCUCAAGAGCAAUCAGCUACAGCUAUCCCUACAACCACAGCUGCACCAGUAACUACAAGCGUGCUCCCUACCACUUCUGCAGACAAUCGCUUUACUAUGCCAGUGGGGUUUCCGUAUGGGCUUCCACCGUUCUUCACUCCCGUUGCUACAGCAAGCACCUCGGGCACUGCUAACAAUGUUCUGAUCCCUGCAACAAAUGCCGCCUCCAUCAUUGCUACCUUGCCACAAACAACAGCAGCUGUCACUGAGCCUCUGGUACACACUCUGCCUCAAGGUAUUAACAUCAACACACAGCACAGGAGCAUCCCCGUAACCAAGACUAUGGAAGAGAUGAUGGAGGAACUUGCUAAAGAACUCCGUCACGAGAUCCAGGCCAAUCGAGGGAAUGCAGACUCUGUCAAAACUCAAGACCUUUGCUUAGUGUCAAAAGUGGAUGUUCCUAAAAAGUUCAAGAUUCCGGACUUCGACCGGUACAACGGGCUAACUUGUCCUCAAAAUCACAUCAUCAAAUACGUCCGGAAGAUGGGCAAUUACAAAGACAAUGAUUCCCUUAUGAUCCACUGUUUUCAGGAUAGUCUGAUGGAGGAUGCCGCAGAGUGGUAUACUAGUUUGAGUAAGAAUGACAUCCAUACCUUUGAUGAGUUAGCCACCGCUUUCAAGAGCCAUUAUGGGUUAACACUCGACUGAGGCCAAAUAGGGAGUUUCUCAGGUCCCUAUCUCAAAAGAAGGAGGAAAGUUUCCGUGAAUAUGCGCAAAGGUGGAGAGGGGCAGCUGCCCGUAUCACUCCUGCUUUAGAUGAGGAAGAAAUGACCCAGACAUUCUUAAAGACCUUGAAGAAGGAUUAUGUUGAGAGGAUGAUCAUCGCUGCCCCGAACAACUUUUCGGAGAUGGUCACUAUGGGAACCCGUCUUGAGGAAGCCGUCAGGGAUGGAAUUAUUGUGUUUGAGAAAGCUGAAUCUUCUACGAGCGCAUCGAAGAGGUAUGGUAAUGGACACCACAAGAAGAAAGAAACGGAAGUGGGGAUGGUGUCAGCGGGAGCCGGUCAAUCCAUGGCUACCGUCGCUCCUAUCAAUGCAGCUCAAAUGCCUCCGUCAUACCCAUAUAUGCCGUAUUCUCAGCAUCCGUUCUUCCCACCGUUUUAUCAUCAGUACCCUUUGCCGCCGGGCCAGCCUCAAGUGCCCGUCAAUGCAAUUGCCCAACAGAUGAAACAACAGAUGCCGGUUCAACAACAACAACAAAAUCAGCAAGCUAGGCCUACUUUCCCUCCGAUACCGAUGUUAUAUGCUGAGUUGCUUCCAACUUUACUCCAGAGAGGGCAUUGUACAACUAGACAGGGCAAGCCACCACCUGAUCCGUUGCCUCCAAGGUUCAGGUCUGAUCUCAAAUGUGAUUUUCAUCAAGGUGCUUUAGGUCAUGACGUCGAGGGGUGUUAUGCUUUGAAGUAUAUCGUGAAGAAGCUCAUCGAUCAAGGGAAGCUGACUUUUGAGAAUAAUGUUCCACAUGUCCUUGACAAUCCGCUACCAAAUCAUGCCGCUGUGAAUAUGAUCGAAGUGUGUGAAGAAGCUCCGAGACUUGAUGUCCGCAACGUCGCAACUCCUCUGGUGCCUCUGCACAUCAAGCUGUGCAAAGCUUCUCUGUUCAGCCAUGAUCAUGCCAAGUGUCUAGGAUGCCUCCGUGAUCCUUUGGGUUGCCAUGCUGUUCGAGACGACAUCCAAAGCUUGAUGGAUGAUAAUCUUCUGACUGUCAGUGAUGUUUGCGUGGUCGUGCCAGUUUUUCACGAUCCGCCUGUCAAGAGUGUACCUUUGAAGAAGUGUGCUGAGCCUUUGGUGAUAAGGUUGCCAGGACCAAUUCCUUAUGUUUCGGACAAGGCAGUGCCAUACAAGUACAAUGCUACUAUGAUAGAAAAUGGAGUAGAGGUGCCUCUAGCCUCCUUUGCCACAGUAAGCAAUAUUGCCGAAGGGACUUCUGCAGCACUAAGAAGCGGGAAGGUCCGUCCGCCGUUAUUUCAGAAGAAAGUAGCUACACCGACCAUUCCGCCAGUUGAAGAAGCAACUCCAACCGUUGUUUCACCCAUUGCUACAGACGUGAACCAGUCAGGCAAAUCUAUAGAGGAUUCAAAUUUAGAUGAGAUUCUGAGGAUAAUAAAGAGGAGCGACUACAAGAUCGUUGAUCAGUUGCUGCAGACUCCUUCGAAGAUAUCUGUCUUGUCAUUACUCUUAAGCUCUGAGGCUCACAGGAAUACUUUGUUGAAAGUGCUGGAGCAGGCUUAUGUUGACCACGAAGUUACGGUAGAUCGGUUUGGUGGCAUAGUGGGAAAUAUUACUGCCUGUAACAACCUCUGGUUCAGUGAAGAAGAGUUGCCGGAAGCGGGAAAGAGUCACAAUCUGGCUUUACACAUCUCGGUGAAUUGUAAAUCAGACAUGAUAUCAAAUGUGUUGGUGGAUACCGGUUCCUCCCUCAAUGUAAUGCCCAAGACAACUCUAGAUCAGUUGAGCUACCGUGGGACCCCGUUGAGGAGAAGUACUUUCUUGGUCAAAGCUUUUGAUGGAUCUCGAAAGAAUGUGCUGGGAGAGAUAGACUUGCCGAUAACCAUUGGCCCUGAGAAUUUCUUGGUUACUUUCCAAGUGAUGGACAUUAAUGCAUCCUACAGUUGCCUGCUGGGAAGACCGUGGAUACACGAUGCAGGGUCUGCUGAAGGAACUGCUUUCCAAGGUUUGACCAUUGAAGGUGCAGAGUCUAAGGAAGCUGGGGCUGCUAUGGCUUCAUUGAAGGAUGCUCAGAGAGCCAUUCAAGAAGGUCAGACUGCCGGCUGGGGGAAGGUGAUACAGCUCUGUGAGAACAAGCGUAAAGAAGGUCUCGGGUUCUCCCCGUCAUCAAGGGUUUCCUCAGGAGUUUUCCACAGUGCAGGGUUUGUUAAUGCUAUCUCUGAAGAAGCCACUGGAUCUGGUCUCAGGCCUGUAUUUGUUACACCAGGAAGCAUUGCGAGAAAUUGGGAUGCCAUUGACAUUCCUUCAAUCAUGCAUGUUUCUGAGUAAUGCGUCUUGUUGCUUUAGCGCUUUGUUUUCAAAAAUAACAAUCCUCUCGCUCUGCCCAAAACGAGAGUGAUAUUUUCUGUAAGGGCAUGUUUGUUUCGGCAUUGCCGUUGAUUAAUAAAAUUUUGUCGUUUCUUCCACGACUACUUUUUUUAGUGCUUUUUCCCUUGGAAACAAUGGUAAUGCCAGAAAAAACCAAAAUGUCUGUAUUUUCUUAUUAAUUUCAAAAUCUGCAUGAAAAAAAAACUCUUUCUAAAAUCAUCCAAAUCAUUAUAUGCAGGUUGAACCAUAAUAAACCCGUUGAACACAGUAAUCCUACGGUUCCUCCAAAUUUUGAAUUCCCUGUGUAUGAAGCCGAAGAUGAGGAAGGUGAUGACGUACCAUAUGAGAUUAUUCGGUUACUUGAGCAAGAAAAGAAAGCCAUUCAGCCUCACCAAGAAGAGAUUGAGCUUAUCAAUAUAGGUACCGAGGAGAACAAGCGGGAAAUCAAGAUCGGUGCUGCUCUAGGGGAAGAGGUUAAAAGUAAGAUCAUCCAGCUCCUCCGGGAAUAUCCGGAUAUUUUCGCAUGGUCCUAUGAAGAUAUGCCAGGUCUAGACCCUAUGAUCGUGGAGCAUCGGAUCCCUACCAAGCCUGAAUGUCCUCCCGUCAGGCAGAAAUUGAGAAGGACUCAUCCUGACAUGGCCCUCAAGAUCAAGAAUGAAGUUCAAAAACAGAUUGAUGCGGGUUUCCUCAUGACAGUUGAGUACCCUGAAUGGGUUGCUAAUAUUGUGCCAGUGCCGAAGAAGGAUGGUAAAGUCCGGAUGUGUGUUGACUUCAGGGACUUGAACAAAGCCAGUCCAAAAGACAACUUUCCGUUACCUCAUAUUGAUGUGCUUGUUGAUAAUACUGCUCAAUCUAAGGUGUUCUCCUUCAUGGACGGUUUUUCCGGUUAUAAUCAAAUCAAAAUGUCUCCUGAAGAUAGAGAAAAGACAUCUUUUAUCACUCCAUGGGGUACCUUCUGCUACAAAGUGAUGCCGUUCGGCCUAAUCAAUGCUGGUGCUACCUACCAAAGGGGAAUGACCACUCUGUUUCAUGACAUGAUUCACAAAGAAGUUGAGGUAUAUGUGGAUGACAUGAUUGUGAAGUCAACAGAUGAGGAACAGCAUGUUGAAUAUUUAACAAAGAUGUUUGAAAGGUUAAGAAAAUACAAGCUGCGAUUGAAUCCCAACAAAUGUACAUUCGGUGUCAGGUCCGGAAAGUUAUUAGGCUUCAUUGUCAGCCAAAAGGGCAUUGAAGUCGAUCCUGAUAAAGUCCGGGCCAUCCGAGAAAUGCCAGCUCCACAGACAGAGAAGCAAGUCAGAGGUUUCUUGGGACGUUUGAAUUACAUCUCCCGAUUCAUAUCUCAUAUGACUGCAACUUGCGGGCCGAUCUUCAAGCUACUCAGAAAGAACCAGCCUAUUGUAUGGAAUGAUGAAUGCCAAGAAGCUUUUGAUAGCAUCAAGAAUUACCUGCUGGAACCACCUAUCCUUGUCCCACCCGUGGAAGGAAGGCCUUUGAUUAUGUAUUUGGCAGUGUUUGAUGAAUCCAUGGGAUGCGUGCUUGGUCAACAAGAUGAAACUGGAAAGAAAGAGCAUGCUAUCUACUAUCUAAGCAAGAAGUUCACCGACUGCGAAACUCGGUAUACAAUGCUUGAGAAGACUUGUUGUGCUUUGGCCUGGGCCGCUAAACGCCUGCGCCAUUAUUUGGUGAAUCAUACAACUUGGUUGAUAUCCAGAAUGGAUCCGAUAAAGUAUAUCUUUGAGAAAGCGGCCGUUACUGGGAAGAUCGCACGCUGGCAGAUGCUUUUGUCUGAAUAUGAUAUUGUGUUCAAAACUCAAAAGGCAAUCAAAGGCAGCAUUCUUGCCGAUCACCUUGCUUAUCAACCUCUUGAUGAUUACCAACCAAUUGAAUUUGAUUUCCCUGAUGAAGAGAUCAUGUAUUUGAAAUCCAAAGACUGCGACGAACCGUUGAUUAAUGAAGGUCCAGAUCCCAAUAGCAAGUGGGGUUUAGUCUUUGAUGGUGCUGUCAAUGCUUAUGGCAAAGGAAUUGGGGCAGUCAUUGUAUCCCCGCAGGGGCAUCACAUCCCUUUUACCGCCAGAAUUCUGUUCGAAUGUACAAACAACAUGGCUGAGUAUGAAGCAUGUAUCUUUGGGAUCGAGGAAGCAAUUGACAUGAGAAUCAAACACCUCGACAUCUAUGGAGAUUCUGCGCUCGUCAUCAAUCAGAUAAAGGGUGAAUGGGAGACCCACCAUGCUAAUUUGAUUCCUUAUCGUGAUUAUGCGAGACGUCUGCUGACAUAUUUUACAAAGGUUGAGCUGCACCAUAUUCCUCGUGAUGAGAACCAAAUGGCUGAUGCUCUUGCUACUCUAUCCUCCAUGUUUCAAGUAAACCAUUGGAAUGAUGUGCCAAUAAUUAAAGUGCAACGCCUUGAAAGACCUUCACAUGUGUUUGCUAUUGGGGAUGUGAUCGAUCAGGCUGGUGAAAAUGUGGUUGACUAUAGACCUUGGUAUUAUGACAUCAAGCAGUUCUUGCUGAGCCGUGAGUAUCCGCCGGGUGCUUCCAAACAAGAUAAGAAGACCCUGAGAAGAUUGGCCGGUAGAUUCCUGUUAGAUGGAGAUAUUCUGUACAAGAGAAACUAUGACAUGGUAUUGUUAAGAUGUGUUGAUGAACAUGAAGCGGAGCAGUUAAUGCAUGAUGUACAUGACGGUACCUUCGGGACCCAUGCUACAGGGCAUACUAUGUCGAGGAAGUUGUUGCGAGCAGGUUACUACUGGAUGGCCAUGGAGCAUGAUUGCUACCAAUACGCCAGAAAAUGCCACAAAUGUCAAAUCUAUGCUGAUAAGAUUCAUGUGCCUCCGCACGCUCUCAAUGUUAUGUCAUCUCCAUGGCCGUUCUCAAUGUGGGGCAUCGACAUGAUUGGAAGAAUUGAACCGAAGGCUUCAAAUGGUCAUCGUUUCAUCUUAGUGGCAAUUGACUACUUUACCAAAUGGGUUGAAGCAGCAUCUUAUACCAAUGUGACCAAGCAAGUGGUAGCUAAGUUCAUCAAGAACAACAUCAUCUGUCGAUAUGGUGUUCCCAGCAAGAUUAUUACCGACAAUGGUACCAACCUGAACAACAAUGUGGUGCAAGCUCUUUGCGAAGAAUUCAAAAUUGAGCAUCAUAACUCCUCUCCUUAUAGACCUCAGAUGAAUGGUGCAGUUGAGGCCGCCAACAAGAAUAUCAAGAGAAUUGUCCAGAAGAUGGUAACCACUUACAAGGACUGGCAUGAGAUGUUACCCUAUGCUCUGCAUGGCUACCGUACUACCGUGCGCAGUUCAACCGGGGCUACCCCUUUCUCUCUUGUAUAUGGUAUGGAAGCAGUUCUUCCUUUGGAAGUGGAGAUCCAUCUCUCCGUGUGAUAAUGGAAGCAAAGUUAUCUGAGGCUGAAUGGUGCCAAAGCCGGUAUGAUCAGUUGAAUUUGAUUGAGGAAAAACGUAUGGAUGCCAUGGCUCGUGGACAGUCAUAUCAAGCAAGAAUGAAGACUGCUUUUGAUAAGAAAGUCCAUCCUCGAGAAUUCAAGGUAGGGGAACUUGUAUUGAAAAGGAGGAUAAGCCAGCAACCCGACCCAAGGGGCAAGUGGACGCCUAACUAUGAAGGUCCUUAUGUUGUCAAGAAGGCCUUCUCCGGUGGUGCUUUAAUCCUUACACACAUGGAUGGUGUAGAACUUCCAAAUCCAGUGAAUGUCGAUAUAGUCAAGAAAUACUUCGCCUAGAAAUGUGAAAAGAACAGCGUGGUAGGUCGAAAACCCGAAAGGGCGGCCUAGGCAAAAAUGCGCUUCCUGGUGGAUCGAAAACCCGAAAGGGCGGUCCAGGCAAAAAUAAGGGACAAAAACAAAUAUGAAAAGCUCGCUGAGAUUGUACACAACUCAGGCAAGAAUGAGUGUCUCGAUGAGCCGAAAACCCGGAAGGGCGGUUCAUGCAAAAAUGAGAUUGAAACAAAAGGCAAGUAACUAUAUCUGGCCAACCACCGUCCCCCUUGGGGCAUCUGCAGCUGUUAAUGACCAUCUUCAUCUGAAGCUUCCGCAUUUGUGAAAUCAAAGUUUUUGGGAAAUGUAAUGAUUACUGUGUUCAAUGUACCACCAACCAAUAAAAUUACCAUUUUCCAAGCUUUGUGAAUCCGUGGAGUCACGCCUUCGGCUGACCACCACUCUUAUACAUCAAAUUGAGCCUAUGCUUUUGUUUAAAACUCUAUUUUCUUCUAUUUUCAAAGCUAUAUACAAAUCAUUUUCCUUCUAUUUUGAUAAUGACAAUGCUUGAAACAAACAUUUUGAAAAAUUGAAAACCUUUUGUCUAUUUUGAAAAGCAAACCUGAGCAACAGGGUACAUUCAAAUGAAACAUGCAUGAGCGAGGGUAUGUUGGUGUCUAUUUCAAUAUGUGUUACAAGCAGGUUCUCCUCCAAGAUAAUCUGUGGUCAAUGGCAAGAAUGAAAAAACAGAAUGAAAAUGCAUGAAAAUAAAUGAGCUCGCUAAGUUGAAAACCCGAAAGGGCGGCUUAGGCAAAAAUGAGCACCCCGCUGGAUUGAAAACCCGAAAGGGCAGUUCAGGCAAAAAUGGGGCAUUAAAAAGAAUUUAUUUCCCCGGUGGAUCGAAAACCCGGAAGGGCGAUCCAGGCAAAAAUGGGAUGCAAAAAAUGAAUGAAUGUAAUUGAGAAUAUAGCAUGCAAAAAGCAUUGACCACAGAUGCAAUGUCUACAACAUACCCAGCACUGAAAUGCCCAGCACAACGGCGUUUUCCCCAGUGGAGCCUCUCAAGAUUCUAUCUCCAGCAAGUUGCAUAUCUACCUGCCCUCAGCUAUGGUUCCGACACGUCUCCCAACGACGUCAUCUCCAAAGAGGAUUUCCAAGAAGGUGUAAUAUAGCACGAGCCACUACGUGCCCAAUACUCUAAUGUCUUGUCUUCCCCGUGAAGUCGUGCCUACAAAAUGCCAACAGUCAUGCAUUACAAGCAUUCAUACAUGCAUAAUCAUGCAUAUUACGUACCCAUGCAUUUAAUAAAAUUGUUAUAUCAUCCAUGCAUAUUGCAUUUCCAAUGUCAAUAUCAGUCUCAAUUCAAAACUCAUGACAGGUCCUUUGUCAAAACCUUGUGAGCCAAUAAUAUCGGUCAAUUUCUACCUUUCAAUUCAAAUCGACGUCAAGUCAAUCUCAAUCUAUAUUUUGUCAACAAACCAAUCCCCUGUGAAUAUGUUCGGUCAAGUGGCUAGUUCAAGUCCAAGAAUAGCUUGUACCUAUCAAUUUGCUUAUGUUAUCGGUCAAGUGCCCAGCUCAAUCCAAGAGCAGCUUGUACCCGCCUAUCUGUCUCUGUUCGCUCAAGUGGCUAGCUCGAUCCAAGGGCAGCUUGCGCCUGUCCAUUUUGUAUUUGUCUCCGGUGGAGUAACCAGUUCGCAUCCAAGAAUAAGCUCGCACCUGUCUAUUUGCCUUGCUUUCAGUCGAGUAACCAGUUCGAAUCCAUAAGAACAACUCGUACUUGUCAAUUUCCCCAGUCGGGUCACCAGUUCGAAUCCAUAAGAACAACUCGCACUCUCCAAUAUCCCCAAGUGAGUUGCUAGUUCGAAUCCAUAAGAACAACUCAUGUUUGUCCAGUAACCUCUAUCCCCUGUGAAGUGACCAGUUCGAAUCCAUAAGAACAACUCGCAGUUGUCUGUUUGUUUCAUCCCCGGUCAAGUGGCUAGUUCGAAUCCAAGAACAGCUUGUACCUGUCCAACUUGUUUCUAGUUUCCCGUUACUCUGCUAUUCGCCGUCUUUGUCAAUGUCUACCAAUCCCGCAAUGGAUACGACAUAUUUUGUUAAUUCCAAUCCCCACGAGGUCUUGCAUUCAUAAUCCAAAUGAUGCAUGGCAUGCAUAUUAUUUGAAAAUGGGUAGGCGUAUUUUUACGUCCAAAUACAGUGCAAAUGCUAAUAUUUAAGUAUCUUCGUCCUGUCAAGCCAAAGACUCCGUCUCUUGACUCUCCAGACAAAGAAACUUAAAUAGGGGCAGCUGUUAUACCCUGUUUUUGGACCUAAAAAUGCUGGGCCCAAUUUCAUUUCAAACUUUGUCAAAUGUCAAAUUUCAACUGCACAGUUCAAUUUGUCUCUGCUACGCAGUGUUUUCAAUCACAUUUUUACCUAUGUUUUUCUUGCAUAAAACCUUUCAAAAUGUCUUUACUUGUCUUGUAAGUCAUUCAAAAGUGUCUCUGAACCAUUACAUUGCUUUUUCUACAGUUUAUUUCAAAAUUUGCAAAAGGUCAUAUAGAAGGGUAUUUUGGUCAUUUCCUGCAGUGGGACCCAUUUUCAUCCUUGUGACUGUCUCUGAGUCUUUUCAGAUUGAUUUUUAACAUUUCAUCAGUAAACCUUGUUAAAUUCAUUUCAAACUUGCAUCUGAGUCAGUGUCAAGUCAAUUUGAGUUGGUUUAGGUCAUUUUUAGCCCUAGGGGCAUUUUGGUCAUUUCACAUGAAAUUUUGGCAUGGGGAGGUUACUUUGAAGUACCUCAUUUAGGCCAUUGGUUCGUUUUAGUCCGUUUUGUCAAUUUUAUUUUUGUUUCGCUUUACGUUUGGUCAAAUUACGUUUUUUAUUCAAUUUCAUUUUUAAUUGCAUUUUGGUCCCUCAAUUGAGGUCCCAAAAUUGCAUUUUUAGUCCAGAAUUUUCUUUUUUUACAUUUCAGUCCUUUUUGGAUUAUUUGCAGUUUAGUCCUUGAAGUUUUAUUUUUUGCAGAAAGGUCCAAAUUUCUUUUUUUGUCCAAGCCGUGCCACUCUCAUACAAUUCCAGGUGUCAUGCUCUCAUUGGCUCAAGUGUACACAUGUCAACUAUAUAAACAGUGAGUCAGAUUCAAAGCCAUUGAUCACACGCCACCUCAACAAACAGAGAACUCUCUCUCUCUCUUAGCAGUUACAGAUCAAAACAGAAAUUCUCAAGAACAUGAAGAACACAAAACCCUAACUGUUUCCAGAAAGUCACAAAUUCAUCAAGUUUCAGUGUUUUUCGUAUCAAUUCUCAGAGAUUCGCAUGAAUCUUCAUCACUGAAUUGAUCUUUCUCUGCAAUUCCAAACGCGAGCUCGCGUUGAAGCAAGCUCAAGCGUUGAUCACAGAGCGUGAAAAGAAGAGGGAAAGAAGCAAAGUUCUAAACCGGCGAAGAAGAUGAAAAAACGGAAUCAGUGAGAAAAGGAGAAUCACCGAUUUAUUUUCGGUCCAAGAACAAGCAAAGGAAUCAAAAAACCAGCAAGAACAUUCAAGUUUUCCCAAAGAUUUCCUCCAUUAAAGGUUUCAACCAAAACCUUAGGUAAAACUCAGAAUCUUUUCUCAGAAAUAAUAUCACUGUUAAACCUAAAAAUCACGCAAGCAAAACAGAUUCAAAAUUUCCAGAAUUCAAAGCCAAAACUAUAACCGUAAACACCAAAACCUAGAUCCGUGAGGAUCAAAGUUUUGAAAGCAAGAACAAGUACCAGAAAAGCAGUGAAUAACGAAACGAUGUAGAUUCUUAAAGAUCCAAACGUUUUCGUUCAAAAAGAUCAAAAAAAUCAGUUUCAAAACCGUACAAAGUUUUUCCAGAUCUACAUCAUUUCAAGCUGUAUUUGAGAAAUUUCUUGAUAGAUUCGUGUUUAGGGUUAAAGGACGAAUCAAAAGGUGCAAAAAUAUUUGAGUUCUGGAAAUUUUUUCACCGGAAACUGCUAGGUCUCGCCGGAGAAGAUGAAGUUUCCGGCGGACCUUCAAGGUCUCCGCCGUAGCUUCAUCCUCACCGGCGGUGAGGGUUUAGAGAGAGAUGAGAGAAGAGAGAGGGGUUAGAGAGAGAAAGAAGAAUACGAAAUGAAAAAACCGGCGCGCUAGGGUUUAUAUAGAGUGCUAGACCGGACCGGUUCAAGACCGGUCCAAUCCCAUGCGUUGUGAGCCCUUAGAUCUAGGGUUUGGGAUCUUGGAUCAAUCCAACGAUCCCUGAGCGUUCCUGUGAAAUCCGGAUCCCUUGGCUUUGGGCCUGGGCCUCUUUUCUUUGCUUUUCUACGUUUUUGCUUUUUUUGUGCUAUUUGCAUCGUAUUUCCUUGCUAUCUGCACCUAUUGUUUGUUUACUUCUUUUACAAAAAUCCCUAAAAAAUCCUGGUUGUUUCUUGAUGUAUUUUUGGUAUGUCUAUGGUAUUUUUGCAUAAAAAAAAAUGUUAAAAUGGCAUGAACUAAUUUCCAUGAGUUUCUACACUUUUGGUAUGUAUUUUGCUAUGUUUUGUUCUUGGUAUUUUGAUAUUAUGACAUGAAUGAAUGAUGCCUAAUAUGGUGAUGAACAUGCCUCUGGAAAUGUGCUUAUUUUUGUUGUGUUUGGAUAUGAUUUUAUGGAUUUCUUGUUUUACAAGAAAUAAUUGUUUAUUUUUUAGAAUAAAGUGGCAAAUUUCUCUAUGAACUUGGUGUGAUAUUUUGCAUGCAUAUGCCUCCAUUAAUUGCAUGUCAUGGCUUGAAACAAAAUUUCUUUCUAAAUUGCCAUGAUGUGAUGAUUAUGGGUCACUAGCAUCUUUAAGUAUCAUAUCAAAUGUCUUCUAGGUUUACUACCACUUUAUUACUUUUUCUUUGCCAUCUUUAUGCAUUUCCUUUUAAUUACCUCCUACUAUUGUGUACUUUAUGAUUACUAACCAUUUCAUCUCAUGUGCCAUACAUUUCAUAACAUUCCACCACUCUCUCCACUUUCUUUAGCUUAGCAUUUUUCAUUUUUUUUCUUUUUUGCAAGUUUUAAUUCAUUUGGUAAUGUAACUUGUUAUCAUUGGUUUGUAGCUUGGCAAAGGGGCCAUAGAAUGUAUUUAGGUAAUGUUGUAAUAUGGACUAUGGACACUAUGACGCACCGACACGCACACACUCACCUUAGAUGUAUGCAUAGGAUUGUAUGGUUAAAUAAGCGUUUAGGUUUUAAACACUUAGAGAAAAUCCAUCUUUUUUUCAAAAAAAAAAACAAUUGAACUUCACUUCAAAAAUUUUCAUAAUAAAUAUGAAGUCAACGCUUCAUUUUUUCCUUUCUUUUCUUUUUUUUCUUAAGAAAAAUUCAAUUCAUCUUAACCAUUUAGACUUUCUUUUUAAUCAUUAAUCAAACCUCACUUUUUUUGCUAAAUCUGAUGCUCAUGAAGCCUCCCAAUCUCCUUCUUCAAAACCAUUUUCAAAACUUAAAAUCAAACAAUUAAAACAAAAAAAAACAACAAGUCUUUUUAGCAAGAACUACGCCGGUUUUGAUCUCGUAAAACGGUACGUAGGCAAUGAGUCAAAACUCAUCCAAGCCGAAAUAAAAUCAAAUUCUACUUCUUCUCACCCCCAUUCUUAACUAAUCACACUUUCCCUUUUUUACAAAUAAGCAAUAAAACUAAAGCGUAGAAAUAAACUUAGGAGAACGGUUCUUAUGGAAUACCAUAAUCGCUCCGGGUGCCUAACACCUUCCCGUAGCGAAAACGACCCCCGAACUUAGAAUCUAAGGGUUUUUCUCAAUUUUGCCCUUCCCAAGAAAAAAUAGAGAAUAUCAACGGUCAAAAGGUUCAAGUCCAAUUAAUGGCUUGGCACCCAAAAACCAUGAUAAUAGCGAGCUAUGAAUCUCGCCUCGCGAGUGAUGAACUUCAUCGCUCGCCACGCGAGCCCUUCCCUUCGCCUCGCGAGUCCUUUUGGUACAGCUCGCCACAGCGAGCAACCUUGAGUGCCUGAACAUACCUAGUGAUGAUUAAAACCAUAAAGGGAUUCACUCUUGAUCAAAACCUUGAGCUAAGGCAGAGAGCAUGUUAGAUUUUGAAAUUUCGACUUUUUAGUUGGACCUUGAGUGCCUGAACAUACCUAGUGAUGAUUAGGAAUGAAUGUAGGACAAGAUUGAACCCAGAACAACAUUAGUUGGGGAGUUGGCUUCAACUCGCCAUGGCGAGUAGAUACUCUCGCCUCGCGAGCACUUCCAGAUUGGAGUGCAUUGAGUGUUUGUGCGAUCUGUGUCGCACGUUUUAAUCAAGAGUGAAUCCCUUUAUGGUAAUGAGAUCUAAUGAUGACGUUUAAUGCAAUCUGUAAAGCAGUUUAAGAUAUGUUGAUAUUAAUUGAGUAUGAAUUAAUGUAUUAUACAUUAUGUAAGAUAUGAAUGAAAUAUUAUGAUGCUAUUGAAUUGCAAUUGAUAUAAUGAUAUCAUCCUGUUGUUGUGUGACUUGACUAUGUUGCUGCCGUUAUUUAGCUAAGUGCAUAAUGUCUAUAUAUAUGAUGAAUAAGAUGACGUUUAGCUCCAAAUUAUUGGAUGCAUAUUGAUAUGAUGAUUACGGUGAAUUGUUGAUAAGAGUCCAUGCAUUAGCAUUCAUUGAGCUUAGUCCUCACCACGAUUAUUAGGAGCUUUUGAAGUAGCAAUAAACGUCACAAGAAAGGGGGGGUUUGAAUUGUGACCCUUUUAAAAAUUAUUCCUGAAACUUAAGUUUAGAUUUAUAUACUCAAGAAUAAUCUUGGUGUAUGUUAGCUUAACAAGAUUAGAGUAUAUAACAAUUAAUUGAAUUUAGAACAGAACAUUCUGAAGACUGAUUAUAAACAGAAUGAGAAAAAUGAUGUUAAGUUAAAAGAUUAUUUUAGCAAGGACCAGAAUGUUCUGGAGAUUAAUAAAAUAAUAUGUGUGUGUUGUGUAACUUUAAAUAAAGAGAGAGAUAGAGAUAGAGAGAGAGAGAAGAAUAACACAGGAGAGUUAUGCUGGUUCACCAAACCCGGCUACUUCCAGUCCCCACACCUCGUGUGAGAUUAUCCACUAUAGUUUUCUUGCUAACAGAAACUUCUGACUAGCACUACAAUAUCUUGAUCACACCAGAUCAGUCCGUAACCUCUGUAUUAUCAACCUUAGCAGGCUUAUACAAUUCUUUGCACACUAGCAAAAGAAAGGUUGGAAUUUUCUAUCUCAAAACUAUUAAGCCCAAUAGACUUUGAGAAAUACAACACUCUUUGUAUGAAGAGAUUUGUUUUGGAUCGAAUAAAUACUCAAAUCUUUGUUUGAGUUUUACAAGAGGCAAAUUCAAGAGAGAUGAUCCAAGAGAUAUAGUGAGAGAGCUUGGAAUUUGCUUUGUUUGUGAAGAGCUUUGUUUGUAGUGAUGAUUUUCACUUUGAGAGAUAUUAGCUUGCAAAACUCUUGCUUAUGACCUUCAAAGGCCCUUGUAUUUAUAGGUGAGGAGUGUCUUGGUGACCAAGGGAGAAAAUAGAGCUGUUGGACACGUUUUUGAUAGCUGUCCAAAGUCUCAAUUGAUUUCUCUUUUCUUCUUUAAAAUAGCCAGAACGUUCUCAGAAUGUUCUUUCUGAUUUGCCUGACUUAGAAAGCACUGUUGCUUUGCUUGCGCAUGAGAUAACCAGCUGUGAUGAGUUGUAUAACUUGCAGCCCACUUCUGAUGAUGUCAUGUCCUUUUGCUCUAGUGAUGUCAUGCUUAAGUAAGCCAUGUGAUCUUAUCCAUUUAAUGGGCUUUACUUUUCCAAAUGGGCUUAAAGCUUUUCUUAUGGCCCAAUAGACAUAAUCAGCCAAGCUUUCUUGCUGUGCAGACUUGUUCGCUUUUGAUGUACUGUUCCAUUUUCAUCGUUUUCGCCAGAACGUUCUCAAUUCAUUCUCAUGAAACAAAUUCUCACAAAAACGAAUUAGUAGAUAACAAGAUUAAAUAAAUAUAAUAUGUUUGUAAUCUUUAAAACAUCAAAUAAGGAUUUUGUCUCAACAAUCUCCCCCUUUUUGAUGAUGACAAACAUUUAUAAUUUAUUUUGAUUUUGAUUUUGAGUUUUUGAAAAAUUUGUUAAAAAAACUCCCCCUCAAUUUUAGCAACCAAAAUUUUGUGCCUUUUUGAGAGUUUUCCAGAAUUUGUUUAUGGACAAUUGAGUUUGAUAAUUUUAUCAAAGAACUCCCCCUCAAUUCAUGCAUUCAAGAUUUAAUAUGCAAAAUGAGAAUAUAGAACAUAAACAACAUAAUUCAUAAAUCAUGAAGAUCAUUACAAGGUAUCAAACCUAGCAUUUCAAAACAUCAAAAAGCAUUGUUCAUAUGCGCACAUACUAGCAGCAAUUUGAUCCUUAGUUAAUCAUGAUCAAAAGACAUAAACAGAGAAAUAAAAACAGAGUUUUUUAAACAUCAAAAUACUUAAACAUAAACAGCAGCAUAGUGAUCAGCAUAGUGAUCUAUUCUUCCCUAGAUCCUAACUCAUAAUCCCCUAAAUCAUCUCCCCCUUUGUCAUCAUGAAAAGGGGCAGCAGCAGCAGUAGGUGGAAUGGUUGGAGAAGAAGCAUCAGAUGAUGAAGAGAUAGUAGGCAUGAACAUGGGAUACAUAGGAACUGGGAAUGGGUUUUGUUCUGGUUUAGCAAACUCAUUCUUGUCACUUAUGGAGUCCUUCCACUUCCUUGACAGAGACAUUUCAAAAGUCAUCCAAGACAGAUAAUGCAAAAUUGCAUUGUUCCCUUCAAUUACCCUAGUCAAGUCACUGCGUGUCUUGCUGCAGUCUUUCUCAACCUUGGUCCUUUUGGUUGGCCUUUCAUUGUGCUCAAAAAUCCUUUGCGCCAUUGAAGGAGAUUCAUUGAAUCUUGAAGGAAAGGAGAGAUUAGUUUGAAGAGACCUAAGGGAAUCCAUUUGGACAGAUGAAUCAAAAGCUUGUGGAGCAAAUAAUUUGUCCACUGAAUCACAUUGAAACAAAGCAGAAUAAUCAUGCUUUUGAGGAGAGAUAAACAAUUUUGAAGGUUUUGUGAUUAUGGUUUUUUCAGUGAAGCUUUGAAGAAUUUCUGAAGCUUUGACUUUUGACAGAGAAGCAUGAUUGCCAAAGUUUUCAAGCAGUUCCUGAUCUUCCUCCAUCACAGGAGAACGUUCUGAAGAACGUUCUGGAGGAUUGCAGUGUUCAUCAGAAGCAUUUUCUGGAACUGGAUUCUGCAGAUCAGACCCAUCUUCCCUCUUUCUUUUGAGGUCAGAAGGAGGCUCAUCAACAGGUUCCUCCUUCAUGUGACUCAGAUUUUUCACCUUCAAAAGGAAUAUGAUUCUUAAUGAAGAUUUUGGUAAGAGCCAUUCCAUAAGGAAGACAAGAUUUUUUGUUACGAGACUGAAUAACAUUGAUCAUGUUAUGAAUAAUGAUAUGAGGCAGACUCAAUUUUUCUUUCAUUAAGAGAUGAUACAUGACCAAGAGAUCAUUUGAACUAACAUGUUGAAAAUUACCAUUUCUAGGCAAGACACAAUGUUGGCUUAUGCCAUUCAGCAUUUUUGGGGUUGGCAGAAGGUUCGAAGAAACAAACUCAGUGACAUUUGGUUUGAAAAGGAGUUUGUAAACAUUUUCAGAAUUGACUUCAAGUUUUUCAAACCAAUCAUCACCAAAGACAGUUUGAACAGAAUUUGAGAUACCAAGAGUAUCAGAGAUUACCUGUGGAGUGAGACGUAUCUCAACAUCCUUAAUCCUAGACACUAUUAAGCUUUCCUCAGGGUAUGCUUCUGCCAUGAAAUAGAAAGCUUGGACAAGCUUUGGGUAGUGUCUCUCACGAAGCUGUAGAAAUUUGGUCCAGCCUUGCUCAUCAACAUACUCCUUAAGAACGACUUUGUCUUUUUCCAGCUUGACAAAAUCAUAAUACCUUCCAAUUCCAAUUGACCUAUUUCCCCAUUUUUCUUUGAAAUCCUUUUUCAGAGAAGGAUCAAACAGAGGUACUCUCUUUCCUGUAGAGAUAUGAAUGAUCUUCUGUUUUGAAGGAUUUUUGCGCUUUGGAGAACAUUCUGGAGAAUAAUCUGAAGAGAGUUCAUAGUCUUUAUCAGAAAGACUUUCUGAAGAACGUUCUGGUUGAGCAGUUUGCUUCUGCUUUCCUUUGUCCUUCACAGUUGGUUUAGGCUUUGGUUUUGGUACAGAAACCUUAAUAGGAGGUUUAAAGACCUUUUUGUUACUCUUAGGUUUGGGCUUAAGAGGAGAAGGAGUUUUCUUAGCCAAAGGGGUAGUUGGUUCAGUUUCUUCAUCUGAAUCAGAGAUUUCAUGUAUAGUUGUGUCUACACUGUUGGUUUUCUUUGUUCCAACUGCAGAACGAAGCCUUUGAGAUUUUCUAGGUCUUGGAUUAGGAGCAGAUUUAGCCUCCUUGGGAGGCAACUUCCUUUUGGUCAUGUUCCUGAGAUGAGGAGCCAUUUUGUUCAAGUUUGGAGGUUCCUGAGGAGCGGUUGGUUGAUCUUCAACAACUAUUCUUGGUGUGUUGAGAUUUAGGUUGACUGAAGUUGGUUUUGGUUCAACGUAGAGUACCAUCGCGAGAGGAUGGAAGGAUUCAGGGUCAGGGAUGAAGGGAAGUUUUUCGUCGUUCUUUAAUGGAGUUUUUUCUGGUGUGGUUUCGGUGGUGAGAUAACCAUCUUGCAUGAUUGGUUCUGUGGAGUUAUUGAGCGGAGAUUGUGGUGGAGUUUCGAAUGGAGUGGUUUCCUUGGGAGAUUGUGGGGUUGAAUCGAACAGAGGAGGAGAUGACGGCGGUUUUGUCACCGGAGGAGAUGGUGGAGAAGGAGAACGGGUUGGUGAUGGUGAAGGAGAGGAGUCAUCUGGGUUGGUGUUUCCGAUUCCUUUGGUUCGAGCCAUUUUGUGAUGGAGAAAAUGGUGGUUGAGAGAAGAAGAAGAGACAGUUUGAAGAAGGAAGAAAGUGGGAGUUUAGAGAGAAAAAGUGAAAACCGGUUUUGGGAGAAGGAAAAAGGUAGGAAGUGACUUUUAGUGGUUUUAAUGAUGAGAGAGGGAACACAGCAUUUAUUAGCUGUAAUUUUUAUAAUUUGAUCCUAGUAAUUACCUAGUUACAUAGAGAUCAGAUUUUAUAGAGAAAUGAGAAGGGACAUGGUUGAGGCGUGGCCCUCAAGUCAGUCUUUGGAAGACAAAUUUUCAAAGAAUGUUUUCAGAACAUUCUGAUGAAGAGAGACUCUUCCUAAUUUGAUUUUUUGCAAGGAUUUUGAAUAAUAUGCAAUUUUUCUUUAAUAAAAUUAAAGUGAUCCUCAACUAAAGGUUUAGUAAAGAUAUCAGCUAAUUGAUUUUUUGUAUCAACAAAAAUUAAUUCAAUUUCCUUUUUAUUAACAUGAUCCCUAAUGAAAUGAUGUUUUAUUUCAAUAUGUUUUGAUCUUGAAUGUUGAAUGGGAUUCUUUGAUAAAUUUAUUGCACUUGUAUUGUCACAAAAUACUGGAAUAUUUGUGUACCUUAUUGAGAAAUCCUCAAGUUGAUUUUUAAUCCAGAGAACUUGAGAACAACAGUUGGCUGCUGACACAUAUUCUGCUUCUGUAGUUGACAGAGCGAUAGUGUUCUGCUUUCUGCAUGACCAACUUAUGAGUGCAUUCCCAAGAAACUGACAUGCUCCACUUGUACUUUUUCUUUCUAUUUUGUCUCCAGCAUAGUCAGCAUCACAGUAUGCUAUAAGAUCAAAACAAGACCCUUUGUUAUACCAAAGGCCAAGAUCAGUAGUACCUACUAGAUAUCUGAAAAUUCUUUUUACAGCGGUUAAAUGAGAUUCCCUUGGAGAGGUUUGAAAACGUGCACAUAAACCAACAGCAAAAACAAUAUCUGGUCUGCUAGCAGUUAAGUACAACAGAGAUCCAAUCAUACCUCUGUAUUCUUUUUCAGAAAUGGUUUUUCCAUUUUCAUCCUUAUCUAAAUUAGAUGUUGGAUGCAUGGGAGUUGCCAUUAUUUUGGCUUCAUUCAUUUUAUAUUUUUUGAGAAGAUCUUUUAUAUAUUUUUCUUGACAAAUAAAAAUGCCAUUUGAUUCUUGCUUAAUUUGCAAGCCAAGAAAGAAUCUUAAUUCUCCCAUCAUACUCAUUUCGAAUUCACUUUGCAUGAGAUUUGAAAAAUCAUCACACAUUUUUUCAUUUGUUGAACCGAAUAUGAUGUCAUCAACAUAAAUUUGAACAAUUAAAAAAUUUGUUUUGUCAUCUUUUCUAAAAAGGGUUGUAUCAAUUUUUCCUCUAGAAAAAUCAUUUUUGAUUAAGAACGUGCUUAACCUUUCAUACCAAGCUCGAGGAGCUUGUUUAAGACCAUAUAGUGCUUUUGUGAGUUUAAACACAUGAUUAGGUUUGUUUGUGUUCUCAAAACCAGGAGGUUGAUGAACAUAAACUUCCUCAUUUAAAAAUCCAUUUAAAAAGGCACUUUUGACAUCCAUUUGAAAUAAUUUAAUAUUUUUAUGAGAUGCAUAUGCAAGAAGAAUUCUAAUUGCUUCUAACCUGGCUACCGGAGCAAAGGUUUCAUCGUAAUCAAUACCUUCUUGUUGAUUGUACCUGUUAUACCCUGAUUUUGGACCUAAAAAUACUCGUUCAAAUUUCUUUUUUUAACACUGAUGUUUGUCAAUUCUCUGUUAUUUUUCUCUGAAUCUUUACUCUCUUUUUAAAACAUAUUUUACUGCCUCUGUCUGUCUUUUCUUGCAUUACAAGUCAUUUAAGAACUCUCUGAAACGUCGCAUUACUUUUCUUGCAUUUUAUUUCAAAAAAUCAUACAGAAGGGUAUUUUGGUCAUUUCCUGCAGUGGAACCCAUUUUAGUCCCUGUGUUUGCCUCUGAGUCUUUUCAAUUUGUCUGUACAAAUCAUUAUCGAGUCUUUAUUAAGAAAAUAAUUUCAAAAAUUGCAUUUGAGUCAAUUCGAGUCAGUCUAGUCCCUAGGGGCGUUUUGGUCUUUUCCUAUUAAUAUUUCGACAGGGAGGUAUUUUAAAAUACCUCAUGUCAAUAUUUGGUUCGUUUUAGUCCUUUUGUUGAUUUUAAUUUUAGUUUCACUUUACGUUUGUCAAAAUUACUUUUUUUAGUUCAAUUUUAUUUAUAAAUCACAAUUUAGUCCAAAACUUUUUAAUUUUUAUUUUUUGUCCAUUUUUAAUUGCUGUCCAGUCCUUUUUUAUUAUUUUUUUUGCAGAAAAGGUCUCAGGGGCAUUUUUGUCCAGAAUUUUCGCACACUUCAGUCCCAGUCCAGAUGGCAUUUUCUCAUUGGCCCACAAAUACACAUGGCAGGCUAUAAAUAGAUGUGUCAGAUCCAAAUAAAAAAAAAAAAAAUCAGUCACAUCACAAAAACAGAAAUUUCUUUCUCUCUCCAAAAUCAGUUAGAUCCAAAACAGAAAAUCACCAAAAAAUUCUCCAAGAACACCAAGAACAAAUCUUCACAAAAUCAACAAAUCCGAACCGGAUUCACUCAAAACCAACUCAAAUCAUCACAAAAUCAACAAAUCCGAACCGGAAUCAUUCAAAACCACCGCGAAUCAUCACACCAACACCAAAUCCGUACCGGAUUUUCGAGCAAAAGCGGCACCACCGGAGCAAAUCCGCGCGCGCGAGGCGGAGAGAAGAGGAGGCUCGUUUUUUUUUUCUCCGUUUCACGACGACGGUAACACUUUUUUCCCUCGUUUUCGCGCAUAUACACAUGUGAAAAGUUUGUUACGAAUCAAGAUUUGUAGAUCUAAGCUUGUACGUUCGGAUUUUUGAAAUUUUGAGGCCGGAUUCGGACUCUAGAGCGAAAAGGAUAUCUAGAUCCGUAAGCUUUUUUACAAAAAGAGUGAAAAAAUUCCGAAAGUUCAAACGUAGAUCUACGACGAAUCUCUCACCCCUUUUUAAAACUAGCACCGGAUUUGUGUAGAGGAGGUGGUGACGGAACUUUUGAUGUAAAAAUUUUUUAAAAAAAAGAAGUUCGAAUUUUCCGGCGCGGUGGCGCCGCCGCCGGAAACCGGCCGGCCGCCGCGCCGGAAUCACCACCACCACCCACCUUCGCCGGCGGGAUUUUUAGAGAGAAGGGAGAGCUUCUCUCUCUAAGUAUGACUUAGAGAGAGAAGAAGAAGAGUUUUAUGAGUUUUUGUGUGAAAAUUCCUUUUUAUACUCCCUCCGAUCCCACGCGCGCGCGUGCGUGCUCUUGUUGUGUUCCCUCGCUCUGUGAACCAUCAGAUCUGGAUUGUUCCAAGAUCUGAUGGCUGCUGUGUAUUUGAUUUUGAAUCCUGUGCGUGACUUUUUGUGUGGAAUAUGGUAUAUCUUCUGUUUGAACCGUUAGAUCUUUGAUCUAACGGUCACUGUGCUUCCUGCAUUUUACACUAUCUUUGGUGCUUUUUUCUGGACCCUUUGAUCUAAUGGCUGUGAUGUAAUAUUGGGGGCUAGAUCUGGACCUCUGGAUUCAUCCAACGGUCCAGAUUAAAUCAUGCUGAGUUUUUUUUUAAUUGCUUUAAUUGUGUUUUAAAUACCUUUUUUACACUUUCUUGGUGUUUUAUGCUUCUAAAAAUAUUUCUAAAAAUAUUUCCCUAUCAUUUUAAUUUUUCCUCUAAGUUUUAGAAUUUAUUUGCUUAUUUUUGCAUUUAUUUUCUUUACUUUGUUCUUUUAAUUCUUGCUCAUUUAAUUCUUGCUCAUUAAAUUCCAUAUAUGUUCUUGAUGCAUUUUUUCAUAUUGUGAUAUUUUGGCAUGUGAAAUAAUGUGUGAAAAUAUCUCUAGGAACAUGAUAUAAUGCUUUGCUUGUGUAUGCUCUUAUGAUCCUCACAUUGUAGCUUAAAUUCAAACCUUUCAAAAAAUGGCUAUAAUGAGGAAAUUAUGGGUCAUAUGCAUGUAUGAGUGUUAUACCUAAAUUCUAGGUGUAUUUUUUUUACCACUUUAUUUCAUUUCAUUACUUUUUUUUUUUUUUUCUCUCUUGCUAUUCUAUUCAAUUUUGUUUACCUUUCUACUAUUUUUAUGCUUUAUGAUACUAACCAUCUCAUCUCACAUUUCAUUCAUCCUAUAGUUUUGGCAUCAUUUUUUCCAUUCAUUUCUAUAUCAAUUGGGUUUGUAAUAAUCUUAGAUAGAUUAGUUCCUUUUAAAAUUCUUCACAAAGACCAUAGCAUGUAUCUAGGACAAUGUAAAGGACUAUGGACAUUAUAAGGGAUGUACAUCGACACAAGCACCGACACGCACACACGUUGCAUGAUUAUCGAUUUAGGUGUAUGUUUAGGAAUUCGACGCCUAGUGAAAUUUCUUCUUUGAAAUAGGCUAAAUCUUUCAAACAAACUUUGGAGUCAAAACUCCAAUGCCUUUUUGUGAAAUAAAAAUAAAGAUCAAAUUCGACAUUUUUCUUCUAUGCCUUACGGCUUCUCUCCUCCUUCUCAAAAAAUCAUUUUCCAAAUAAAAAUGAGAUCUCAAUCAUCUUCUCUCCCCCAUUCUUCACUCAAAUAAAACUUCUUUUCUUUCAACAAGUAGGCAAUAAAAAUAAAGCGUAGAAAUAAGCUUAGGAGAACGGUUCUUAUGGAGUACCAUGAUCGCUCCGGGUGCCUAACACCUUCCCGUAGCAAAAACGACCCCCGAACUUAGAAUCUAAGGGUUUUUUCUCAAUUUUGCCCUUCCCGAGAAAAAAUAGAGAAUAUCAAAGAUUGAAAGGUUCAAGCCAAAUUAAUGACUUGACACCCGAAAAUCGCGAUAACAGUACCCUUGAGCUACCAAUCUAGCUUUGUUUCUGAUAACUUUUCCUUCUUCAUUUAGUUUAUUUCUAAAUACACAUCUUGUUCCAAUGAUGGAUUGAUUUUGAGGUUUAGGAACAAGAUUCCAUACUUCAUUCUUUUCAAAUUGAGAGAGUUCUUCUUCCAUGGCUUUUACCCAUGAUUCUUCACAUAUUGCUUCUUGUAUAUUUUUUGGUUCAAUGUGAGAGAUCAUUGCCAUGUUGACAUCAUUAUUCAUAAAUGAUCGUCUUGUUCUUAUUCCAUCAGAUGUGUCUCCAAUGAUUUGUUCAGGAGGAUGAUCACCGACAGUUUUCCAGCUUUUUGGAAGAACUUGAGAAGAAUGUUCUUGAGAAUCAUUACUUUCUUUUUGAGGAAUUUCUUCUUCAUCUUCUUUGUUGAUUAUCAAGUCAUCAAACUCAUCAAAAAUAACAUGCAUGCUUAUUUCCAUGGUUUGAUUUUUCAAAUUAUAAAUUCUAUAUCCUUUGGAGUUUGUUGCAUAUCCUAAGAAUAUUCCUUUAUCUGAUUUUGAAUCAAAUUUUCCUAGAUUUUCUUUAUCAUUUAAAAUAUAACAAUAACAUCCAAAAACAUGAAAAUAUGAGAUGUUAGGUUUUACAUUUUUCCAGAGUUCGUAUGGGGUUUUGUUUAAAACUUUUCUAAUUGAAACCCUGUUUAUGAUAUAGCAAGAAGUAUUUAUGGCUUCAGCCCAAAAGUAUUUUUCUACAUUUGAUUCAUUUAACAUUGUUCUUGCCAUUUCUUGGAGUGUUCUAUUUUUUCUUUCAACAACUCCAUUUUGUUGUGGAGUUCUUGCACAUGAAAAAUUAUGAGAGAUUCCUUUUUCAUCAAAGAAAUUUUUAAAGAAAGCAUUUUCAAAUUCUCCUCCAUGAUCACUUCUUACUGAAAUGAUUUUUUGAUUCUUUUUCAUUUUGAACUAAUGUGCAAAAAGUUUUGAAUGCUUCAAAAGCUUCAUCUUUAUGUUUUAAAAAUAGAACCCAUGUAUAUCUGGAAAAAUCAUCAACUAUAACAAAACCAUAUUGUUUUCCACUUAAACUGGCGGUUCUAACAGGACCAAAUAGAUCUAUGUGAAGUAGUUCAAGAGGUCUCUUAGUUGAAACAAAAUCAUUUGUUUUAAAACUGCUUUUAACUUGUUUACCUCUUGUACAAGCUUCGCAAAUUCUAUCUUUUUCAAAAUCAAUUUUUGGAAGUCCUCUUACGAGAUCCAGUUUGGAGAUUUUUGAAAUAGUUUUCAUACUUAUAUGUCCAGCUCUUUUGUGCCAAAUCCAUUUAUCUUUUUCAAGCAUCAUAAAACAUGUUUCUGCUGGAAUAUCAUCUAAGUAUAAAGCAUAUAGGUUUUUCUUUCUAGAAGCAGUAAAGAAAAUCUUACCUGAGGAUGUGUGUUUUACAAUACAUAUAUUAGGUUUGAAAACAACUUCGAAGCCACUAUCACAUAAUUGACUUAUGCUUAGUAGAUUGUGUUUUAAACCUUCAACAUAUUGAACAUCCUCAAUUUUUGCAGAGUCUUUUUUACCAAUGAUACCUUUACCUUUAAUUUGUCCUUUGUCAUUAUUGCCAAAGGUUACUAGACCUCCUUCCUUUUUUAUGAAGGAGAUGAAACAUUGUUUAUCCCCAGUCAUGUGUCUAGAACAACCACUGUCCAAGUACCAUGGCUUUGUUCUUGCAUCUUGUGAGAAUCCCUGCAUUUUGAGUUAGUGGUUCCUUAGGUACCCAUGAAGAUGUGGGUCCUUUGAGGUUAGUUUCUUUAAUCUCAAGUUGUUUAAUCUUGAGAAAACAGUUUAAUUCUCGAUAACCUACUCUCUUACAAUAUGAGCAUUCUUUUCUUUUUAAUGAUAAAGAAUGUUCUGGAGAAUGUUCUGAGAUAGAUUGUUCUUCUUUAAUUUCUAGUUUUCUCCUUUUAUGAAAACAGACAGAUUCAUGAUGUCCUCUUUUAUUACAGAAUGAACAUUUUAGUUUUUGUGGUAUAAGACACUUGUUAUCAUGGUUUUUGGGUGCCAAGCCAUUAAUUUGGACUUGAACCUUUUGACCGUUGAUAUCUCUCUUUUUUCUUGGGAAGGGUAAAAGGAGAAAAACCCUUGAGUUUCCGGAUUCGGGGGUCGAUUUCGCUACGGGAAGGUGUUAGGCACCCGGAGCGAUUAUGGUAUUCCAUAAGAACCGUUCUCCUAAGUUUAUUUCUACGCUUUAAUUUUAUUGCUUAUUUGUAAAAAAAGAAGGUGUGAUUAGUUAAGAAUGGGGGUGAGAAGAAGUAGAAUUUGAUUUUUUUGUUUCGGCUUGGAUGAGUUUUGACUCAUUGCCUACGUACCCUUUUAAGGGAUCAAAACCGUUCGUAGUUCAUUCUCAAAAAUAGUUUUUGUGUUUGUUGGUUGAUUUUAGGUUUGAAAAGAGAUUUUGAAGAAUAGAGAUGAGAGGCCUCAAGGGCAUAAGGUUUGGAAAGUGUGAGGUGGAUUUAGUCAUUUUGCAAAAAUAAAGUCUAAGAAGGGUUAAGAUUCAUUGAAAGUUUUACUUAAGAAAAUAAAAAGGGAAAUAAGGAGUUUUGACUCCAUUUUAUUUUCAAAAAAAAGAUUUUCAAGUGAAGUUAUUUGCAUGUUCUUUUUGGAAAAAAGUUGGAUUUUUAUCUAAGUGUUCAAACCUAAACGCUUAUCUAACCAUACAAUCCUAUGCAUACAUCUAAGGUGAGUGUGUGCGUGUCGGUGCGUCAUAGUGUCCAUAGUCCAUAUUACAAAAAUUGCCUAAAUACAUUCUAUGGCCCCUUUGCCAAGCUACAAACCAAUGAUAACAAAUUACAUUACCAAAUGAAUUAAAACUUGCAAAAAAAAUAAAUGCUAAGCUAAAGAAAGUGGAGAGAGUGGUGGAAUGCUAUGAAAUGUAUGGCACAUGAGAUGAAAUGGUUAGUAAUCAUAAAGCACACAAUAGUAGGAAGUAAUUAAAAGGAAAUGCAUAAAGAUGGCAAAGAAAAAGUAAUAAAGUGGUAAUAAACCUAAAAGACAUUUGAUAUGAUACCUAAAGAUGCUAGUGGCCCAUAAUCAUCACAUCAUGGCAAUUUAGAAAGAAAUUUUGUUUCAAGCCAUGACAUGCAAUUAAUGGAGGCAUAUGCAUGCAAAAUAUCACACCAAGUUCAUAGAGAAAUUUGCCACUUUAUUCCUUAAAACUAAACUUGUUGCUUGCAAAACAAGAAAUUCAUAAAAUCAUAUUCAAAAACAGCAAACAAAAACACAUUUCCAGAGGCAUAUUCAUCACCAUAUUAGGCAUCCUUUAUCCAUGUCAUAAUAUCAAAAUGUCAAGAACAAAACAUAGCAAAAUGCAUACCAAAAGUGUAAAAACACAUGGAAUUAGUUCAUGCCACUUUAACAUCUUUUUUUAUGCAAGAAACACCAUAGAAAUGCCAAAAAUAUACCAAGAAAUAACCAGGAUUUUUAGGAUUUUUUUAUAAAAAAAGUGAGCAAGAAACAGGUGCAAGUAGCAAAGAAAUACGGUGCAAAUAGCAAAAAAACAAAAAAAACGUGAAAGAAAACUAAGCCCAAACCCAAAGCCCACACUCAAGACUCAGACUGCACAGGAGCCACACGAUUGAUCUAGGAUUCUGAAACCCUAGAUCAAACGGCCAGGAACAAGGGGGACUGGACCGGAAAUAAACCGGUCCGGUUCACUGGCUAUAUAAACACAAAGGCUCCGGUUUUUUUCAUUUUCUCCUCUCCUUCUCUCUCUUCUCUCAUCCUAGUGAGAGAAGCUCCCACUUCUCUCUAGAAAUCCGGUUGUCUUCUCCGGCAUGGCUUAGCUCCUCCGGCGCGGUGGCCGGCCACCUCCAGGUGGCGGCGCCGCCGCCGGAAAAACUUCCUUGCUCCGAUUCAAAAAAUUUUUACGUUUUUAAACAUCCUUUUUCGUGCUAUUCAUGAAUCCGAGCUUGGUUUUUUGAAAAAGAUUUUCAACCGGAGUAGAUCUAAGUUUGAAGUUGCGGUUUUGAAUGAAGUUUUUCUUUGUUCUUUGUGCUUUUUGGCUACGUGCUUCUAGAAUCCUACAUGUUUAUACUUGAUUCUCCUUUUUAUCCAUUUUUUGCGAAAAAAAGGAAGUUUGAGUUUUACCUGUGGUUUUCUUGGUGGUUCCGAUCCGGAUCUUCAAGGAAAGCUUGAUUUUAGUCUUGUUCCGUUGAUUCUGGUUUGGUUCCCUGCUGUUCUGAUCCGCUCUUCUUCUUCACAGGUUCGGUAUAUGGAUUUUCGUCCCUCUUCUUCGUCUCCGGGAAAGCCUCUGCGAUCGUGCUUGAGUUCGCCGCUUUCAGUGGUGGACUCGCACUCGAAUUGCAGAGCAACGAUUCAAUGAUGAUGAUUCCUUGGCGAAUCUCUGAGAAUCGUGGAAAAUUCAAUGAAUUUCUUGAUGAUUUUGUGAUUCUGGUGAUUUAGGUUUUUUUGAUUUUUCUCUGUGUUCUUGAUGAUUUCUCUGUGAUUCUGGUUUUGAUCUAACUGACAAGAGAGAGAAAAAUUGAUUCUGUUUUUCUUCUUUGGUGAAGUGGCGUGUGAUUAAUGGCUUUGAAUCUGACUCACUGUUUAUAUAGUUGACAUGUGUACACUUGAGCCAAUGGAACUGUGACAUCUGGAUUUGUAUGGGAGGGGCACGGCCUUGGACUUAAAAUGGACUUUGGACCUUUUUGCAAAAAUAAGAAUUUUAAGGACUAAACUGCAAAAUUAAAAAAACUUGAAAUGAAAUAAACAAAAAAACAGUUUGGACAAAAAUGCAAUUUUGGGACCUCAAUUGAGGGACCAAAAUGCAAUUAAAAAUAAAAUUUGAAUAAAAAACAUAAUUUGACCAAACGUAAAGUGAAACAAAAAAUAAAAUUGACAAAACGGACUAAAACGAACCAAUGGCCUAAAUGAGGUACUUCAAAGUAACCUCCCCAUGCCAAAAUUUUAUGUGAAAUGACCAAAAUGCCCCUAGGGCUAAAAACGACCUAAACAGAUUGAAAUUGACUCAACACUGACUCAGACGCAAGUUUGAAAUGAAUUUUAACAAGGUUUACUGAUGAAAUGUAAAAAACAAUUCGAAAAGACUCAGAGACAGUCACAAGGAUGAAAAUGGGUCCCACUGCAGGAGAUGUCCAAAAUACCCUUCUGUAUGACUUUUUGCAAAUUUUGAAAUAAACUGUAGAAAAAGCAAUGCAAUGAUUCAGAGACACUUUUGAAUGACUUACAAGACAAGUAAAGACAUUUUGAAAGGUUUUAUGCAAGAAAAACAUAGGUAAAAUUGUGAUUGAAAAUACUGCGAGACAGAGACAAAUUGAACUGUGCAGUUGAAAUUUGAUAAUUGACAAAGUUUGAAAUGAAAUUGGGCCCAAUAUUUUUAGGUCCAAAAACAGGGUAUAACAACACUUUUCAUAAAUUUGAUUAAAACCUAAACCAGAUUUGUCAAAUUCUGCCAUUUGUGAACCUACAAUUUUUUGAAAUGUUUCUGUUGAUUUUAUAAAUUGUGAAAGAUCAUUUCUAAGUUCUUUGACUUCCUUUUUAAGAAUAAUAUUUUCAUUUUUAGAAUUUUCAGGAAGUUUUGUUUUUCCAAGAACUUUUAAUUUUUCAUUUACUUGAAAGUAAGAGUCUUGUAGACUUUGAAUGAUUUUCUUUUGAUCAUUAUUCAAAGUUCGAAGUUUCUCUUUUUCUUCUUUUAACUCAGAAAUUUCUUUUUGUAAAGAGUGACAUUUGUUUGUUAAAAAGUUUGAAUCAAAUAAAAGACUAUCAAAUUUAUUUUCUAACUCUUUAUAUACUAGAGGUUGGUUAAUAAGAAUUACCUCUUCGCUUUCUGAAUCUUCCAUUAGAACCAUGUUGGCUUCAGUGUCUUCAUCUUUUGAUUCUUCAAGAUCAUCCCAGGUAAACAUUGAUUUUGAGUAGGGAGAUUUCUUCUGACUCUUUUUGUUCAAUGGACAUUCGUUUUUGUAAUGUCCUAAUUUGUUGCAUCCAAAGCAAGUUACUUGACUUUUGUCAAUUUCUCCUUUUGAGUUAUCUUUCUUGUUGGGAAAGUAUUUCUUUAUUUGAUCUCUUCUUCUCAUCAUUCUUUGAAUCUUCUUUGUGAUGAGAGCUAGUUCGUCUUCUGCUUCCCCUUGGAUGUUUUCUUCUUCAUUGGCUUCUUCAGUUUCUUCGUUUUGUGGGAAGGCAUCUUUUUGUUCACUUUGAGAUGCUUUGAGAGCAACCAUCUUUCAUUUCCUUGAUGGUUUAUCAUCUUGAAGUAACGUCUCAUGAGCUUUUAAUGAUCCAAUGAGAUCUUCAAGAGCUAAGGAGUUUAAGUCUUUAGCUUGUGUGAUUGCAGUUACCAUGGGUCUCCAUGUGCUUGGAAGACAUCUUAAAAUUUUUCUUAUCCGAUCAUGAGUGGUAUAAGUUUUUCCCAGUGAUCUUAAUUCAUUCACAAUAGAUGUGAAUCUGGAGUACAUUUCAUCAAUGUUCUCAUCUUCGUUCAUUUCGAAGAUUUCAAAUUUUCUUACGCCAAUAUCUAUUCUUGUUUCUUUUACGUGGCUAGUUCCCUCAUGAUGAAUUUUUAGAGUGUCCCAAACUUCUUUUGCAGUGACACAUUCAUCAACUCUUUCACUUUCUUCCAUGCUUAGUGCGCAUGAUAGAAAGAGUCGAGCUUUGGAGUUUAGAAGUACUUUUUCUUUAUCUUCCUUUGACCAUGAUGCUUCUGGUGUGAGUGUAUCCACCUUUGUUGUUGCAUCAGUUGUCAUAGGUAUAUGUUCUCCAUUUGUGAUUAUUUUCCACAUAUCCACGUCUUGGGAUCUGAGGAAUAGUUUCAUUUUUCCUUUCCAGAAAUAAUAGUUCUUUCCAUUGAAGAAUGGUGGUCUUGUGCAUGAUAGACCUUCUGGUAUGUACUUUUCUUUUGACAUUGCCUUCUUCCUGAAUCUUUUCCUCCAACACUUGUUAGGUGUUUUUGUAGAGCCCGGGCUCUGAUACCAAUUAAAGUAGCAAUAAACGUCACAAGAAAGGGGGGUUUGAAUUGUGACCCUUUUAAAAAUUAUUCCUGAAACUUAAGUUUAGAUUUAUAUACUCAAGAAUAAUCUUGGUGUAUGUUAGCUUAACAAGAUUAGAGUAUAUAACAAUUAAUUGAAUUUAGAACAGAACAUUCUGAAGACUGAUUAUAAACAGAAUGAGAAAAAUGAUGUUAAGUUAAAAGAUUAUUUUAGCAAGGACCAGAAUGUUCUGGAGAUUAAUAAAAUAAUGUGUGUGUGUGUUGUGUAACUUUAAAUAAAGAGAGAGAUAGAGAUAGAGAGAGAGAGAGAGAGAGAAGAAUAACACAGGAGAGUUAUCCUGGUUCACCAAACCCGGCUACUUCCAGUCCCCACACCUCGUGUGAGAUUAUCCACUAUAGUUUUCUUGCUAACAGAAACUUCUGACUAGCACUACAAUAUCUUGAUCACACCAGAUCAGUCCGUAACCUCUGUAUUAUCAACCUCAGCAGGCUUAUACAAUUCUUUGCACACUAGCAAAAGAAAGGUUGGAAUUUUCUAUCUCAAAACUAUUAAGCCCAAUAGACUUUGAGAAAUACAACACUCUUUGUAUGAAGAGAUUUGUUUUGGAUCGAAUAAAUACUCAAAUCUUUGUUUGAGUUUUACAAGAGGCAAAUUCAAGAGAGAUGAUCCAAGAGAUAUAGUGAGAGAGCUUGGAAUUUGCUUUGUUUGUGAAGAGCUUUGUUUGUAGUGAUGAUUUUCACUUUGAGAGAUAUUAGCUUGCAAAACUCUUGCUUAUGACCUUCAAAGGCCCUUGUAUUUAUAGGUGAGGAGUGUCUUGGUACCAAGGGAGAAAAUAGAGCUGUUGGACACGUUUUUGAUAGCUGUCCAAAGUCUCAAUUGAUUUCUCUUUUCUUCUUUAAAAUAGCCAGAACGUUCUCAGAAUGUUCUUUCUGAUUUGCCUGACUUAGAAAGCACUGUUGCUUUGCUUGCGCAUGAGAUAACCAGCUGUGAUGAGCUGUAUAACUUGCAGCCCACUUCUGAUGAUGUCAUGUCCUUUUGCUCUAGUGAUGUCAUGCUUAAGUAAGCCAUGUGAUCUUAUCCAUUUAAUGGGCUUUACUUUUUCAAAUGGGCUUAAAGCUUUUCUUAUGGCCCAAUAGACAUAAUCAGCCAAGCUUUCUUGCUGUGCAGACUUGUUCGCUUUUGAUGUACUGUUCCAUUUUCAUCGUUUUCGCCAGAACGUUCUCAAUUCAUUCUCAUGAAACAAAUUCUCACAAAAACGAAUUAGUAGAUAACAAGAUUAAAUAAAUAUAAUAUGUUUGUAAUCUUUAAAACAUCAAAUAAGGAUUUUGUCUCAACAACUUUGUCCUCCGCACGAUUUAUUAGGAGCUUUGUCCUCCGCACGUUUAAAGUAUAUUAAUACUUAUGAUGACGAUUGGUACCACAUGCAUAUAAGGAGUCUAAGAGCAUUGUCGCAUUGUCGUGUCUAAGAUGCUAUGUUGUUGAUGAUGAUUGAAUAUGUGAUUACGUGAUAAUUGUUUAUCAAAUAUGCAAAGUUGUUUAAGAUUGAAUAUGAUGUUAAUGUUAAUUUAUGAUUCGAAUUACAUUGAUUAAUAUUAUUUUGUUAUGAAAUCUCACCCCUUCUGCUUGAAAAUGUUGCCCUUCGUAUGGGUAACUUGCAGGUGAUCGUGCUUAGUGUGCAGUUUGCCGUUGUGAGUGGCCUUGCCUCGCUGUGUCGUCUAGGUCGCUCUGAUACGUAACGGGAUGGGGUUUUAUGUUAUGCAUGCUUCAUUCUCUUACGUAACUAAUAUGUUAUUUUUAUAAUAUUAUCAAUUAUGAUUUGAAAUAUUUUGAUGGGGCCUGCGUGCCGAAACGUUUUAUGGAUUAUGAUAUAAUUUCCGCUGCAAUGUUUAAGUUAUUUGGUUAAAUUAUUAUUUAACUGUUUUGGAUUAUGUUAUAUGUGAUAUCCCGUUGUUUACGAUGCUUACUCUGAUAAAUGUUUUAAGAAAUUUUUAUAUUGGGAAAACGGAGUGUUACAGAAACUCCCCCUAUAAAUACCGCAUUCCUCAUUCACAAUUUCUCAUUCAUAACGAAGUGGUUCAAGAGGAAUGCAGUCACUAUGCAUCUAGGGAGGAUUCUCUCUCUUCACUCCAAAUUUUUCUAGAGUAUUUUUAUUUCUUUUAUAAUUUCUCUUUAGUUACCAUGGGUAACUAAAUCUUUUUAGGCUUGGGUUCUAAGAUUAACCUCUAUUCUGGUUGUUGGAUAAUUUAUGUAAAGUCUUUAUUUUAGUUAUUUAUCUUUAUGCUACUAGUUUUACUGUUGUUGCGUAAGAUUUGUCUACUAAAGCAUAAUCUACUUAGAAUAAUUGAACGUGAGUUAACUGUUAAUUAAUUCCAACAAAAUGAAUAGAGAUGAUUCAAAUUAUGUUCAAUAUUUAAGCUAACUGUGUCCUCUAUUUAAAUUAAUUGUUAUAUAUUAUAAACCUGAUAUAGCAUAGCCUAUAUAGGGCUCACAUGAAGCGAUCACAAUCGAUAAAACUAUAUUCUAUAGCUAACGGUUGAUCCUACAAUACGCUCAAUCAAUGCAAAAAUAUGUUGUCACCUAUUGGGUUCAUAUUUCUAUAAAUAACUUUGCCACGGCCAAACAGUAUUAUUUCUCUUUUGUGUUUUUUUCUUUUUAUAUCAUGAAAGGUCAAAAUAAUGGAUAUUUGUUAAAAUAAAAUAGCAUGAAUCCUUAUCAUUGAUGAGUUUUUUAUAUGACCUCCUUACUAAGCAUGAUAAAGAAACAAAUUGAACACAUUGAUGCAUUUAAGAGAUAUUUAAUAAUUAUUCUAAUUUUAAAAAGUAUCUAUAAUAUACAUAAAGAAAACUACCUCCUUUCAACACUUUUGGGUUGAAUUUUUCUUUCUAAAAAUGUCAUCAAUUUUCAAUACAAAUAAUACAUAUAAUAAAUAGACAAGAAUAAAUUUAAAUAUUAAAAAAACGUAACAAAUACGAUAUGAAUAUAUAUAUAUAUAUAUAUAUAUAUAUAUAUGUGUGUGUGUGUUUUUUUUUUCUUUAUCAUUUAAAAAGUGUAACAAACUAAAUGAGUAUAUUUAUAUUUAAUUUUUUCCAAUUACAUCUUUAAACAACUUUUUCUAUAAUAAAGAUUGUUGUUGGUGUUAUUGAAAUAAAUAAUCAUGUUUAAUUUGGUUUGUUAUACCUAGAAAGCAACAAAAAUUUAUAUUUUUAGUUUUAAUCAAAAUCAAAAUUUCAUAAAAAAAAAAAUAUAAUUCAUAAUUUUCAAAUUUUAACGCGGUAAAAAGAGUGAAAAUACGGGCACGUAAGUGCCCAUCUUUACGCUAAUUUUUAUAAUUGCAUAAGUGACUUUUUAGCUGAUGAAACGAUAUCAUAAUCUUUAUAAAUUGUAAAACCACAUUCUAUUUGUUAUAUGCAAAAGGCGAGAAAUAUGGCUAAACUUGUCAAGCUUGUUUAUGUUAUAAUUGUGUUUUAUACCCUAUUUCUUGUUGCAACGGAAAUUGUUUGUGAGCUAAUUUUUCAUACUCUUGAAAUUUCCUUUUAUUUCUUUUUAUCUCGUUUUAGUAACAUUAUUUUGUUCUUUUUCCUUCAAUACAGCGGGUAUUCCUUGUAACGAUGAUGUUGAUUGUCCACAGACUCUGUGUGAACAGUUAAUUGCCGACUUCAAGUAUAUGAUAGAUUUUAAGUCGGAGUGUGUUUCCCGUAUGUGUGCAUGUACCGGAAGUCCCGUUUAAGCUGCACUGGUGGUUGGUUUUGGUUCAAAAUGGAACAAUGAAAAAUACCUUUAAUAUUGGGUUGCUUAUAUAUUUUCACCAUAGAUGUGGAAAUCAUAAUAGGCUAUUAAUAAAAUUAUAAAUUAUACAUGUGGCCUUUAAAUAUCUUUUCUACGUACCCUUGUUAUUAAUUAAUUACUAAAAUCAAAAGAAAUUUCCUUCUCAAUUACAUGUCGUUGAGUUUUCCACCUAGAUAUGUGUUGUAUUUUUUUAUCUUAUUAAAAUAACAUAAAAUCUUAUUUACUCUCAAUCAAAAUCAAUCUAGAAUAUAAGGGUGUCUCUAUGUACUUCUCUAGGUGUGUGUUUAAUUGUUUUUUUUGUUGCAUAUAUGCAAAUAUCAAGUCAUAAAAACAUGUUUUACCUUAAUAAACACAACCAGGUGUUACUAAAAAAAUAUAAUCAUAAAAACCUAUAAUGAAAUAUAGAUAUACAAAUCAAGGAUAGAGGGAAAAGAAAUAUCUUCAAAUAAUAGAUGGAAAAUAGUGUUUUAUUUCUUUCUUCAUUACGAGAACUACGAUCUUUGGCUCUGGAACUGAAUCAUUUCCUUGUAUCUGAGAAAGACUUCCAGAUUCAAAGGAAGGAAGUUUAAUUGGACUGAAUCAGAAAUUUUAUUCUAUGAUUGAUCAGUAUAAACAUCAACACCUUCGAAUUGGAUCAGUUUCUCCUGAACAAAUAAGUGCUUGGGCAAAAAAAAUCCUACCUAAUGGAGAAAUUGUUGGAGAGGUAACAAAACCCUAUACUCUUCAUUACAAAACCAAUAAGCCUGAAAAAGAUGGAUUAUUUUGUGAACGAAUUUUUGGGCCUAUAAAAAGUGGGAUUUGUGCUUGUGGAAAUUAUCGAGUAAUCGGAGAUAAAAAAGACCAACCCAAAUUUUGUGAACAAUGCGGAGUAGAAUUUGUUGAUUCUCGGGUACGUAGGUAUCAAAUGGGGUAUAUAAAACUAGCAUGUCCAGUAACCCAUGUAUGGUAUUUGAAACGUCUUCCUAGUUAUAUUGCGAGCCUUUUAGAUAAACCUCUUAAAGAAUUAGAAGGUCUAGUAUACUGCGAUGUGUGAUUUGAUAAAAAUUCUUAUUGUACAGAUUUCAAAUGAGAAACUGUCAUUCCAUUCAAUUAAAUUGGAAUGUCCUCUAUCUGGCAUGUCUCUUGGGAUGAGUAACAUGAAGCUCAGAAUUCAUGGGUGUAUUGAAUACUCCCAAAUCAAUAAGGGAAUUGGUCUAUGGUCAAUUCAGUAACAAAUAAAUAUUUAUUUAUAACCGUACGUACCUUGUGAAAAAAAAAAAAUUAUUUUUUUGUGGAAUUAAUUAUUUCAUCUCUUUUUUUUUUAAGAACUUAAAUUAAGUUCAAAGAAUAAAAUAUAAUAUAUCAUGAUUGCCGAAGUCUAUCUAUCGCAUAUAGGCUUAAAGACAUCGUGGCAUAACCGUCGAGGUGACGUCUUGACCUAAAAGAUCAAAUGGUAUGAUACAUAGACAAAGAAAUCUCUUAUGAAUUCGAGGAUAUUCCUUUUUUUUAUUAAAAAGUAUAUUUUAAAGGAUUCUUCGUUCGAAGGGAGGUAGACUACUCAAGAAUUUUACAUUGAAUUUCUGUCGUAAUUUCGAAUUGCAUAAAGAAUUCAGAAACAAAGAAGAAUGUAUCAAUGAAAUGUUGCUUCGUCUGUAUUGAUAACUUGAGUAAAGAGUAAACCUUUUUUAUUUUAGAUUUAGAGGUUUUCAAAAAUUUGAAAACGGAAACCACUUUCUUUAUCUUUAUUGUGUGUAAAUACUUUAGCCGGAUGAGAGGAAACCCUCACGUCCGAUUUUCAAAGGGGGAGAUCCAUCUUAUUGGAUCCUAUCCAAAUUUUUCGUUUGCUAGGCCCGUAGUUAAAAAACCUACUUUCUUACGAUUACGAGGUUCAUUCGAAUACGAAAUCCAAUCUUGGAAAUACAGUAUCCCACUCUUUUUUGCUACUCAAGGUUUCGAUACAUUUCGAAAUAGAGAAAUUUCUAGUGGAGCAGGUGCUAUACGAGAACAAUUAGUUGAUUUGGAUUUAAGAAUUAUUAUGGAUUCUUCGUUGGUAGAAUGGAAAGAAUUAGGAGAAGAGGGAUCCGCCGACAAUGAAAAUGAAAAUGAAUGGGAAGAUCGAAAAGUAGGAAGAAGAAAGAAUUUUUUGGUUCGACGCAUGGAAUUAGUUAAGCACUUUAUCCGAACAAAUAUAGAACCAGAAUGGAUGGUUUUAUCUCUCUUACCAGUUCUUCCUCCCGAAUUGAGACCAAUUAUUCAAAUAGAUGGAGGGAAACUAAUGAGUUCGGAUAUUAAUGAACUCUAUAGAAGAGUUAUCUAUCGGAACAAUACUCUUAUUGACCUAUUAACAACAAGUAGAUCUACACCAGGGGAAUUAGUAAUGUGUCAAGAAAAAUUGGUACAAGAAGCCGUGGAUACACUCCUUGAUAAUGGAAUCCGCGGACAACCAAUGAGGGACGGUCAUAAUAAAGUUUACAAAUCGUUUUCAGAUAUAAUUGAGGGCAAAGAGGGAAGAUUUCGAGAGACUCUGCUUGGAAAACGAGUUGAUUAUUCGGGGCGUUCUGUUAUUGUCGUAGGUCCAUCACUUUCAUUACAUCGAUGUGGAUUGCCCCGCGAAAUAGCAAUAGAGCUAUUUCAGACAUUUCUAAUUCGUGGUUUAAUUCGAAAACAUUUUGCUUCGAACAUAGGAGUUGCUAAGAGUAAAAUACGGGAAAAAGAACCGAUUGUAUGGGAAAUACUUCAAGAAGUUAUGCGGGGGCAUCCAGUAUUGCUGAAUAGAGCGCCUACUUUGCAUAGAUUGGGCAUACAGGCAUUUCAACCUAUUUUAGUAGAAGGACGUGCUAUUUGUUUACAUCCAUUAGUGUGUAAGGGAUUCAAUGCAGACUUUGAUGGGGAUCAAAUGGCUGUUCAUGUGCCUUUAUCUUUGGAGGCUCAAGCAGAAGCUCGUUUACUUAUGUUUUCUCAUACAAACCUCUUGUCUCCGGCUAUUGGGGAUCCCAUUUCCGUACCAACUCAAGAUAUGCUUAUAGGACUUUACGUAUUAACUAGCGGAAAUCGUCGAGGUAUUUGUGCAAACAGGUAUAAUCCGUUUAAUUGCCGAAAUUCUAAAAAUGAAAAAAUUAGCAAUAAUAACUCUAAGUAUAUGAAAAAAAAAGAACCCUUUUUUUGCAAUUCCUAUGAUGCAAUUGGAGCUUAUCGACAGAAAAGAAUAAAUUUAGAUAGUCCUUUUUGGCUCCGGUGGCGAAUAGAUCAAUGCAUUAUGUCUUCAAGAGAAGUUCCUAUCGAAGUUCACUAUGAAUCUUUUGGUACCUAUUAUGAAAUUUAUGGGCAUUAUUUAGUAAUAAGAAGUAUAAAAAAAGAAAUUCGUUGUAUAUACAUUAGAACCACUGUUGGUCAUAUUUCUUUUUAUCGAGAAAUUGAAGAAGCUAUACAAGGUUUUUCUCGAGCCUAUUCAUAUGGUAUCUAAUCAUAUAGAUGGUUAGUGUUGAUAUCCAAGCUAGGUAAAUUUAUGUUAUGAUACUGGCGUAAAUUCAGGUCAACUAGCAUCUUUUCUAUUUUCUACGUGAAUAAACAUAAAGAAAAGGAAGUUUUCCAAUCAUUCACUCAAAUUCAUUGUCGAACCGAAUCCCACUGAGUGGAAUAUGGAGGUACUUAUGGCAGAACGGGCCAAUCUAGUCUUUCACUUUCUUCCAUGCUUAGUGCGCAUGAUAGAAAGAGUCGAGCUUUGGAGUUUAGAAGUACUUUUUCUUUAUCUUCCUUUGACCAUGAUGCUUCUGGUGUGAGUGUAUCCACCUUUGUUGUUGCAUCAGUUGUCAUAGGUAUAUGUUCUCCAUUUGUGAUUAUUUUCCACAUAUCCACGUCUUGGGAUCUGAGGAAUAGUUUCAUUUUUCCUUUCCAGAAAUAAUAGUUCUUUCCAUUGAAGAAUGGUGGUCUUGUGCAUGAUAGACCUUCUGGUAUGUACUUUUCUUUUGACAUUGCCUUCUUCCUGAAUCUUUUCCUCCAACACUUGUUAGGUGUUUUUGUAGAGCCCGGGCUCUGAUACCAAUUAAAGUAGCAAUAAACGUCACAAGAAAGGGGGGGUUUGAAUUGUGACCCUUUUAAAAAUUAUUCCUGAAACUUAAGUUUAGAUUUAUAUACUCAAGAAUAAUCUUGGUGUAUGUUAGCUUAACAAGAUUAGAGUAUAUAACAAUUAAUUGAAUUUAGAACAGAACAUUCUGAAGACUGAUUAUAAACAGAAUGAGAAAAAUGAUGUUAAGUUAAAAGAUUAUUUUAGCAAGGACCAGAAUGUUCUGGAGAUUAAUAAAAUAAUGUGUGUGUGUGUUGUGUAACUUUAAAUAAAGAGAGAGAUAGAGAUAGAGAGAGAGAGAGAGAAGAAUAACACAGGAGAGUUAUCCUGGUUCACCAAACCCGGCUACUUCCAGUCCCCACACCUCGUGUGAGAUUAUCCACUAUAGUUUUCUUGCUAACAGAAACUUCUGACUAGCACUACAAUAUCUUGAUCACACCAGAUCAGUCCGUAACCUCUGUAUUAUCAACCUCAGCAGGCUUAUACAAUUCUUUGCACACUAGCAAAAGAAAGGUUGGAAUUUUCUAUCUCAAAACUAUUAAGCCCAAUAGACUUUGAGAAAUACAACACUCUUUGUAUGAAGAGAUUUGUUUUGGAUCGAAUAAAUACUCAAAUCUUUGUUUGAGUUUUACAAGAGGCAAAUUCAAGAGAGAUGAUCCAAGAGAUAUAGUGAGAGAGCUUGGAAUUUGCUUUGUUUGUGAAGAGCUUUGUUUGUAGUGAUGAUUUUCACUUUGAGAGAUAUUAGCUUGCAAAACUCUUGCUUAUGACCUUCAAAGGCCCUUGUAUUUAUAGGUGAGGAGUGUCUUGGUACCAAGGGAGAAAAUAGAGCUGUUGGACACGUUUUUGAUAGCUGUCCAAAGUCUCAAUUGAUUUCUCUUUUCUUCUUUAAAAUAGCCAGAACGUUCUCAGAAUGUUCUUUCUGAUUUGCCUGACUUAGAAAGCACUGUUGCUUUGCUUGCGCAUGAGAUAACCAGCUGUGAUGAGCUGUAUAACUUGCAGCCCACUUCUGAUGAUGUCAUGUCCUUUUGCUCUAGUGAUGUCAUGCUUAAGUAAGCCAUGUGAUCUUAUCCAUUUAAUGGGCUUUACUUUUUCAAAUGGGCUUAAAGCUUUUCUUAUGGCCCAAUAGACAUAAUCAGCCAAGCUUUCUUGCUGUGCAGACUUGUUCGCUUUUGAUGUACUGUUCCAUUUUCAUCGUUUUCGCCAGAACGUUCUCAAUUCAUUCUCAUGAAACAAAUUCUCACAAAAACGAAUUAGUAGAUAACAAGAUUAAAUAAAUAUAAUAUGUUUGUAAUCUUUAAAACAUCAAAUAAGGAUUUUGUCUCAACAACUUUGUCCUCCGCACGAUUUAUUAGGAGCUUUGUCCUCCGCACGUUUAAAGUAUAUUAAUACUUAUGAUGACGAUUGGUACCACAUGCAUAUAAGGAGUCUAAGAGCAUUGUCGCAUUGUCGUGUCUAAGAUGCUAUGUUGUUGAUGAUGAUUGAAUAUGUGAUUACGUGAUAAUUGUUUAUCAAAUAUGCAAAGUUGUUUAAGAUUGAAUAUGAUGUUAAUGUUAAUUUAUGAUUCGAAUUACAUUGAUUAAUAUUAUUUUGUUAUGAAAUCUCACCCCUUCUGCUUGAAAAUGUUGCCCUUCGUAUGGGUAACUUGCAGGUGAUCGUGCUUAGUGUGCAGUUUGCCGUUGUGAGUGGCCUUGCCUCGCUGUGUCGUCUAGGUCGCUCUGAUACGUAACGGGAUGGGGUUUUAUGUUAUGCAUGCUUCAUUCUCUUACGUAACUAAUAUGUUAUUUUUAUAAUAUUAUCAAUUAUGAUUUGAAAUAUUUUGAUGGGGCCUGCGUGCCGAAACGUUUUAUGGAUUAUGAUAUAAUUUCCGCUGCAAUGUUUAAGUUAUUUGGUUAAAUUAUUAUUUAACUGUUUUGGAUUAUGUUAUAUGUGAUAUCCCGUUGUUUACGAUGCUUACUCUGAUAAAUGUUUUAAGAAAUUUUUAUAUUGGGAAAACGGAGUGUUACAGAAACUCCCCCUAUAAAUACCGCAUUCCUCAUUCACAAUUUCUCAUUCAUAACGAAGUGGUUCAAGAGGAAUGCAGUCACUAUGCAUCUAGGGAGGAUUCUCUCUCUUCACUCCAAAUUUUUCUAGAGUAUUUUUAUUUCUUUUAUAAUUUCUCUUUAGUUACCAUGGGUAACUAAAUCUUUUUAGGCUUGGGUUCUAAGAUUAACCUCUAUUCUGGUUGUUGGAUAAUUUAUGUAAAGUCUUUAUUUUAGUUAUUUAUCUUUAUGCUACUAGUUUUACUGUUGUUGCGUAAGAUUUGUCUACUAAAGCAUAAUCUACUUAGAAUAAUUGAACGUGAGUUAACUGUUAAUUAAUUCCAACAAAAUGAAUAGAGAUGAUUCAAAUUAUGUUCAAUAUUUAAGCUAACUGUGUCCUCUAUUUAAAUUAAUUGUUAUAUAUUAUAAACCUGAUAUAGCAUAGCCUAUAUAGGGCUCACAUGAAGCGAUCACAAUCGAUAAAACUAUAUUCUAUAGCUAACGGUUGAUCCUACAAUACGCUCAAUCAAUGCAAAAAUAUGUUGUCACCUAUUGGGUUCAUAUUUCUAUAAAUAACUUUGCCACGGCCAAACAGUAUUAUUUCUCUUUUGUGUUUUUUUCUUUUUAUAUCAUGAAAGGUCAAAAUAAUGGAUAUUUGUUAAAAUAAAAUAGCAUGAAUCCUUAUCAUUGAUGAGUUUUUUAUAUGACCUCCUUACUAAGCAUGAUAAAGAAACAAAUUGAACACAUUGAUGCAUUUAAGAGAUAUUUAAUAAUUAUUCUAAUUUUAAAAAGUAUCUAUAAUAUACAUAAAGAAAACUACCUCCUUUCAACACUUUUGGGUUGAAUUUUUCUUUCUAAAAAUGUCAUCAAUUUUCAAUACAAAUAAUACAUAUAAUAAAUAGACAAGAAUAAAUUUAAAUAUUAAAAAAACGUAACAAAUACGAUAUGAAUAUAUAUAUAUAUAUAUAUAUAUAUAUAUAUAUAUGUGUGUGUGUGUUUUUUUUUUCUUUAUCAUUUAAAAAGUGUAACAAACUAAAUGAGUAUAUUUAUAUUUAAUUUUUUCCAAUUACAUCUUUAAACAACUUUUUCUAUAAUAAAGAUUGUUGUUGGUGUUAUUGAAAUAAAUAAUCAUGUUUAAUUUGGUUUGUUAUACCUAGAAAGCAACAAAAAUUUAUAUUUUUAGUUUUAAUCAAAAUCAAAAUUUCAUAAAAAAAAAAAUAUAAUUCAUAAUUUUCAAAUUUUAACGCGGUAAAAAGAGUGAAAAUACGGGCACGUAAGUGCCCAUCUUUACGCUAAUUUUUAUAAUUGCAUAAGUGACUUUUUAGCUGAUGAAACGAUAUCAUAAUCUUUAUAAAUUGUAAAACCACAUUCUAUUUGUUAUAUGCAAAAGGCGAGAAAUAUGGCUAAACUUGUCAAGCUUGUUUAUGUUAUAAUUGUGUUUUAUACCCUAUUUCUUGUUGCAACGGAAAUUGUUUGUGAGCUAAUUUUUCAUACUCUUGAAAUUUCCUUUUAUUUCUUUUUAUCUCGUUUUAGUAACAUUAUUUUGUUCUUUUUCCUUCAAUACAGCGGGUAUUCCUUGUAACGAUGAUGUUGAUUGUCCACAGACUCUGUGUGAACAGUUAAUUGCCGACUUCAAGUAUAUGAUAGAUUUUAAGUCGGAGUGUGUUUCCCGUAUGUGUGCAUGUACCGGAAGUCCCGUUUAAGCUGCACUGGUGGUUGGUUUUGGUUCAAAAUGGAACAAUGAAAAAUACCUUUAAUAUUGGGUUGCUUAUAUAUUUUCACCAUAGAUGUGGAAAUCAUAAUAGGCUAUUAAUAAAAUUAUAAAUUAUACAUGUGGCCUUUAAAUAUCUUUUCUACGUACCCUUGUUAUUAAUUAAUUACUAAAAUCAAAAGAAAUUUCCUUCUCAAUUACAUGUCGUUGAGUUUUCCACCUAGAUAUGUGUUGUAUUUUUUUAUCUUAUUAAAAUAACAUAAAAUCUUAUUUACUCUCAAUCAAAAUCAAUCUAGAAUAUAAGGGUGUCUCUAUGUACUUCUCUAGGUGUGUGUUUAAUUGUUUUUUUUGUUGCAUAUAUGCAAAUAUCAAGUCAUAAAAACAUGUUUUACCUUAAUAAACACAACCAGGUGUUACUAAAAAAAUAUAAUCAUAAAAACCUAUAAUGAAAUAUAGAUAUACAAAUCAAGGAUAGAGGGAAAAGAAAUAUCUUCAAAUAAUAGAUGGAAAAUAGUGUUUUAUUUCUUUCUUCAUUACGAGAACUACGAUCUUUGGCUCUGGAACUGAAUCAUUUCCUUGUAUCUGAGAAAGACUUCCAGAUUCAAAGGAAGGAAGUUUAAUUGGACUGAAUCAGAAAUUUUAUUCUAUGAUUGAUCAGUAUAAACAUCAACACCUUCGAAUUGGAUCAGUUUCUCCUGAACAAAUAAGUGCUUGGGCAAAAAAAAUCCUACCUAAUGGAGAAAUUGUUGGAGAGGUAACAAAACCCUAUACUCUUCAUUACAAAACCAAUAAGCCUGAAAAAGAUGGAUUAUUUUGUGAACGAAUUUUUGGGCCUAUAAAAAGUGGGAUUUGUGCUUGUGGAAAUUAUCGAGUAAUCGGAGAUAAAAAAGACCAACCCAAAUUUUGUGAACAAUGCGGAGUAGAAUUUGUUGAUUCUCGGGUACGUAGGUAUCAAAUGGGGUAUAUAAAACUAGCAUGUCCAGUAACCCAUGUAUGGUAUUUGAAACGUCUUCCUAGUUAUAUUGCGAGCCUUUUAGAUAAACCUCUUAAAGAAUUAGAAGGUCUAGUAUACUGCGAUGUGUGAUUUGAUAAAAAUUCUUAUUGUACAGAUUUCAAAUGAGAAACUGUCAUUCCAUUCAAUUAAAUUGGAAUGUCCUCUAUCUGGCAUGUCUCUUGGGAUGAGUAACAUGAAGCUCAGAAUUCAUGGGUGUAUUGAAUACUCCCAAAUCAAUAAGGGAAUUGGUCUAUGGUCAAUUCAGUAACAAAUAAAUAUUUAUUUAUAACCGUACGUACCUUGUGAAAAAAAAAAAAUUAUUUUUUUGUGGAAUUAAUUAUUUCAUCUCUUUUUUUUUUAAGAACUUAAAUUAAGUUCAAAGAAUAAAAUAUAAUAUAUCAUGAUUGCCGAAGUCUAUCUAUCGCAUAUAGGCUUAAAGACAUCGUGGCAUAACCGUCGAGGUGACGUCUUGACCUAAAAGAUCAAAUGGUAUGAUACAUAGACAAAGAAAUCUCUUAUGAAUUCGAGGAUAUUCCUUUUUUUUAUUAAAAAGUAUAUUUUAAAGGAUUCUUCGUUCGAAGGGAGGUAGACUACUCAAGAAUUUUACAUUGAAUUUCUGUCGUAAUUUCGAAUUGCAUAAAGAAUUCAGAAACAAAGAAGAAUGUAUCAAUGAAAUGUUGCUUCGUCUGUAUUGAUAACUUGAGUAAAGAGUAAACCUUUUUUAUUUUAGAUUUAGAGGUUUUCAAAAAUUUGAAAACGGAAACCACUUUCUUUAUCUUUAUUGUGUGUAAAUACUUUAGCCGGAUGAGAGGAAACCCUCACGUCCGAUUUUCAAAGGGGGAGAUCCAUCUUAUUGGAUCCUAUCCAAAUUUUUCGUUUGCUAGGCCCGUAGUUAAAAAACCUACUUUCUUACGAUUACGAGGUUCAUUCGAAUACGAAAUCCAAUCUUGGAAAUACAGUAUCCCACUCUUUUUUGCUACUCAAGGUUUCGAUACAUUUCGAAAUAGAGAAAUUUCUAGUGGAGCAGGUGCUAUACGAGAACAAUUAGUUGAUUUGGAUUUAAGAAUUAUUAUGGAUUCUUCGUUGGUAGAAUGGAAAGAAUUAGGAGAAGAGGGAUCCGCCGACAAUGAAAAUGAAAAUGAAUGGGAAGAUCGAAAAGUAGGAAGAAGAAAGAAUUUUUUGGUUCGACGCAUGGAAUUAGUUAAGCACUUUAUCCGAACAAAUAUAGAACCAGAAUGGAUGGUUUUAUCUCUCUUACCAGUUCUUCCUCCCGAAUUGAGACCAAUUAUUCAAAUAGAUGGAGGGAAACUAAUGAGUUCGGAUAUUAAUGAACUCUAUAGAAGAGUUAUCUAUCGGAACAAUACUCUUAUUGACCUAUUAACAACAAGUAGAUCUACACCAGGGGAAUUAGUAAUGUGUCAAGAAAAAUUGGUACAAGAAGCCGUGGAUACACUCCUUGAUAAUGGAAUCCGCGGACAACCAAUGAGGGACGGUCAUAAUAAAGUUUACAAAUCGUUUUCAGAUAUAAUUGAGGGCAAAGAGGGAAGAUUUCGAGAGACUCUGCUUGGAAAACGAGUUGAUUAUUCGGGGCGUUCUGUUAUUGUCGUAGGUCCAUCACUUUCAUUACAUCGAUGUGGAUUGCCCCGCGAAAUAGCAAUAGAGCUAUUUCAGACAUUUCUAAUUCGUGGUUUAAUUCGAAAACAUUUUGCUUCGAACAUAGGAGUUGCUAAGAGUAAAAUACGGGAAAAAGAACCGAUUGUAUGGGAAAUACUUCAAGAAGUUAUGCGGGGGCAUCCAGUAUUGCUGAAUAGAGCGCCUACUUUGCAUAGAUUGGGCAUACAGGCAUUUCAACCUAUUUUAGUAGAAGGACGUGCUAUUUGUUUACAUCCAUUAGUGUGUAAGGGAUUCAAUGCAGACUUUGAUGGGGAUCAAAUGGCUGUUCAUGUGCCUUUAUCUUUGGAGGCUCAAGCAGAAGCUCGUUUACUUAUGUUUUCUCAUACAAACCUCUUGUCUCCGGCUAUUGGGGAUCCCAUUUCCGUACCAACUCAAGAUAUGCUUAUAGGACUUUACGUAUUAACUAGCGGAAAUCGUCGAGGUAUUUGUGCAAACAGGUAUAAUCCGUUUAAUUGCCGAAAUUCUAAAAAUGAAAAAAUUAGCAAUAAUAACUCUAAGUAUAUGAAAAAAAAAGAACCCUUUUUUUGCAAUUCCUAUGAUGCAAUUGGAGCUUAUCGACAGAAAAGAAUAAAUUUAGAUAGUCCUUUUUGGCUCCGGUGGCGAAUAGAUCAAUGCAUUAUGUCUUCAAGAGAAGUUCCUAUCGAAGUUCACUAUGAAUCUUUUGGUACCUAUUAUGAAAUUUAUGGGCAUUAUUUAGUAAUAAGAAGUAUAAAAAAAGAAAUUCGUUGUAUAUACAUUAGAACCACUGUUGGUCAUAUUUCUUUUUAUCGAGAAAUUGAAGAAGCUAUACAAGGUUUUUCUCGAGCCUAUUCAUAUGGUAUCUAAUCAUAUAGAUGGUUAGUGUUGAUAUCCAAGCUAGGUAAAUUUAUGUUAUGAUACUGGCGUAAAUUCAGGUCAACUAGCAUCUUUUCUAUUUUCUACGUGAAUAAACAUAAAGAAAAGGAAGUUUUCCAAUCAUUCACUCAAAUUCAUUGUCGAACCGAAUCCCACUGAGUGGAAUAUGGAGGUACUUAUGGCAGAACGGGCCAAUCUAGUCUUUCACUUUCUUCCAUGCUUAGUGCGCAUGAUAGAAAGAGUCGAGCUUUGGAGUUUAGAAGUACUUUUUCUUUAUCUUCCUUUGACCAUGAUGCUUCUGGUGUGAGUGUAUCCACCUUUGUUGUUGCAUCAGUUGUCAUAGGUAUAUGUUCUCCAUUUGUGAUUAUUUUCCACAUAUCCACGUCUUGGGAUCUGAGGAAUAGUUUCAUUUUUCCUUUCCAGAAAUAAUAGUUCUUUCCAUUGAAGAAUGGUGGUCUUGUGCAUGAUAGACCUUCUGGUAUGUACUUUUCUUUUGACAUUGCCUUCUUCCUGAAUCUUUUCCUCCAACACUUGUUAGGUGUUUUUGUAGAGCCCGGGCUCUGAUACCAAUUAAAGUAGCAAUAAACGUCACAAGAAAGGGGGGGUUUGAAUUGUGACCCUUUUAAAAAUUAUUCCUGAAACUUAAGUUUAGAUUUAUAUACUCAAGAAUAAUCUUGGUGUAUGUUAGCUUAACAAGAUUAGAGUAUAUAACAAUUAAUUGAAUUUAGAACAGAACAUUCUGAAGACUGAUUAUAAACAGAAUGAGAAAAAUGAUGUUAAGUUAAAAGAUUAUUUUAGCAAGGACCAGAAUGUUCUGGAGAUUAAUAAAAUAAUGUGUGUGUGUGUUGUGUAACUUUAAAUAAAGAGAGAGAUAGAGAUAGAGAGAGAGAGAGAGAAGAAUAACACAGGAGAGUUAUCCUGGUUCACCAAACCCGGCUACUUCCAGUCCCCACACCUCGUGUGAGAUUAUCCACUAUAGUUUUCUUGCUAACAGAAACUUCUGACUAGCACUACAAUAUCUUGAUCACACCAGAUCAGUCCGUAACCUCUGUAUUAUCAACCUCAGCAGGCUUAUACAAUUCUUUGCACACUAGCAAAAGAAAGGUUGGAAUUUUCUAUCUCAAAACUAUUAAGCCCAAUAGACUUUGAGAAAUACAACACUCUUUGUAUGAAGAGAUUUGUUUUGGAUCGAAUAAAUACUCAAAUCUUUGUUUGAGUUUUACAAGAGGCAAAUUCAAGAGAGAUGAUCCAAGAGAUAUAGUGAGAGAGCUUGGAAUUUGCUUUGUUUGUGAAGAGCUUUGUUUGUAGUGAUGAUUUUCACUUUGAGAGAUAUUAGCUUGCAAAACUCUUGCUUAUGACCUUCAAAGGCCCUUGUAUUUAUAGGUGAGGAGUGUCUUGGUACCAAGGGAGAAAAUAGAGCUGUUGGACACGUUUUUGAUAGCUGUCCAAAGUCUCAAUUGAUUUCUCUUUUCUUCUUUAAAAUAGCCAGAACGUUCUCAGAAUGUUCUUUCUGAUUUGCCUGACUUAGAAAGCACUGUUGCUUUGCUUGCGCAUGAGAUAACCAGCUGUGAUGAGCUGUAUAACUUGCAGCCCACUUCUGAUGAUGUCAUGUCCUUUUGCUCUAGUGAUGUCAUGCUUAAGUAAGCCAUGUGAUCUUAUCCAUUUAAUGGGCUUUACUUUUUCAAAUGGGCUUAAAGCUUUUCUUAUGGCCCAAUAGACAUAAUCAGCCAAGCUUUCUUGCUGUGCAGACUUGUUCGCUUUUGAUGUACUGUUCCAUUUUCAUCGUUUUCGCCAGAACGUUCUCAAUUCAUUCUCAUGAAACAAAUUCUCACAAAAACGAAUUAGUAGAUAACAAGAUUAAAUAAAUAUAAUAUGUUUGUAAUCUUUAAAACAUCAAAUAAGGAUUUUGUCUCAACAACUUUGUCCUCCGCACGAUUUAUUAGGAGCUUUGUCCUCCGCACGUUUAAAGUAUAUUAAUACUUAUGAUGACGAUUGGUACCACAUGCAUAUAAGGAGUCUAAGAGCAUUGUCGCAUUGUCGUGUCUAAGAUGCUAUGUUGUUGAUGAUGAUUGAAUAUGUGAUUACGUGAUAAUUGUUUAUCAAAUAUGCAAAGUUGUUUAAGAUUGAAUAUGAUGUUAAUGUUAAUUUAUGAUUCGAAUUACAUUGAUUAAUAUUAUUUUGUUAUGAAAUCUCACCCCUUCUGCUUGAAAAUGUUGCCCUUCGUAUGGGUAACUUGCAGGUGAUCGUGCUUAGUGUGCAGUUUGCCGUUGUGAGUGGCCUUGCCUCGCUGUGUCGUCUAGGUCGCUCUGAUACGUAACGGGAUGGGGUUUUAUGUUAUGCAUGCUUCAUUCUCUUACGUAACUAAUAUGUUAUUUUUAUAAUAUUAUCAAUUAUGAUUUGAAAUAUUUUGAUGGGGCCUGCGUGCCGAAACGUUUUAUGGAUUAUGAUAUAAUUUCCGCUGCAAUGUUUAAGUUAUUUGGUUAAAUUAUUAUUUAACUGUUUUGGAUUAUGUUAUAUGUGAUAUCCCGUUGUUUACGAUGCUUACUCUGAUAAAUGUUUUAAGAAAUUUUUAUAUUGGGAAAACGGAGUGUUACAGAAACUCCCCCUAUAAAUACCGCAUUCCUCAUUCACAAUUUCUCAUUCAUAACGAAGUGGUUCAAGAGGAAUGCAGUCACUAUGCAUCUAGGGAGGAUUCUCUCUCUUCACUCCAAAUUUUUCUAGAGUAUUUUUAUUUCUUUUAUAAUUUCUCUUUAGUUACCAUGGGUAACUAAAUCUUUUUAGGCUUGGGUUCUAAGAUUAACCUCUAUUCUGGUUGUUGGAUAAUUUAUGUAAAGUCUUUAUUUUAGUUAUUUAUCUUUAUGCUACUAGUUUUACUGUUGUUGCGUAAGAUUUGUCUACUAAAGCAUAAUCUACUUAGAAUAAUUGAACGUGAGUUAACUGUUAAUUAAUUCCAACAAAAUGAAUAGAGAUGAUUCAAAUUAUGUUCAAUAUUUAAGCUAACUGUGUCCUCUAUUUAAAUUAAUUGUUAUAUAUUAUAAACCUGAUAUAGCAUAGCCUAUAUAGGGCUCACAUGAAGCGAUCACAAUCGAUAAAACUAUAUUCUAUAGCUAACGGUUGAUCCUACAAUACGCUCAAUCAAUGCAAAAAUAUGUUGUCACCUAUUGGGUUCAUAUUUCUAUAAAUAACUUUGCCACGGCCAAACAGUAUUAUUUCUCUUUUGUGUUUUUUUCUUUUUAUAUCAUGAAAGGUCAAAAUAAUGGAUAUUUGUUAAAAUAAAAUAGCAUGAAUCCUUAUCAUUGAUGAGUUUUUUAUAUGACCUCCUUACUAAGCAUGAUAAAGAAACAAAUUGAACACAUUGAUGCAUUUAAGAGAUAUUUAAUAAUUAUUCUAAUUUUAAAAAGUAUCUAUAAUAUACAUAAAGAAAACUACCUCCUUUCAACACUUUUGGGUUGAAUUUUUCUUUCUAAAAAUGUCAUCAAUUUUCAAUACAAAUAAUACAUAUAAUAAAUAGACAAGAAUAAAUUUAAAUAUUAAAAAAACGUAACAAAUACGAUAUGAAUAUAUAUAUAUAUAUAUAUAUAUAUAUAUAUGUGUGUGUGUGUUUUUUUUUUCUUUAUCAUUUAAAAAGUGUAACAAACUAAAUGAGUAUAUUUAUAUUUAAUUUUUUCCAAUUACAUCUUUAAACAACUUUUUCUAUAAUAAAGAUUGUUGUUGGUGUUAUUGAAAUAAAUAAUCAUGUUUAAUUUGGUUUGUUAUACCUAGAAAGCAACAAAAAUUUAUAUUUUUAGUUUUAAUCAAAAUCAAAAUUUCAUAAAAAAAAAAAUAUAAUUCAUAAUUUUCAAAUUUUAACGCGGUAAAAAGAGUGAAAAUACGGGCACGUAAGUGCCCAUCUUUACGCUAAUUUUUAUAAUUGCAUAAGUGACUUUUUAGCUGAUGAAACGAUAUCAUAAUCUUUAUAAAUUGUAAAACCACAUUCUAUUUGUUAUAUGCAAAAGGCGAGAAAUAUGGCUAAACUUGUCAAGCUUGUUUAUGUUAUAAUUGUGUUUUAUACCCUAUUUCUUGUUGCAACGGAAAUUGUUUGUGAGCUAAUUUUUCAUACUCUUGAAAUUUCCUUUUAUUUCUUUUUAUCUCGUUUUAGUAACAUUAUUUUGUUCUUUUUCCUUCAAUACAGCGGGUAUUCCUUGUAACGAUGAUGUUGAUUGUCCACAGACUCUGUGUGAACAGUUAAUUGCCGACUUCAAGUAUAUGAUAGAUUUUAAGUCGGAGUGUGUUUCCCGUAUGUGUGCAUGUACCGGAAGUCCCGUUUAAGCUGCACUGGUGGUUGGUUUUGGUUCAAAAUGGAACAAUGAAAAAUACCUUUAAUAUUGGGUUGCUUAUAUAUUUUCACCAUAGAUGUGGAAAUCAUAAUAGGCUAUUAAUAAAAUUAUAAAUUAUACAUGUGGCCUUUAAAUAUCUUUUCUACGUACCCUUGUUAUUAAUUAAUUACUAAAAUCAAAAGAAAUUUCCUUCUCAAUUACAUGUCGUUGAGUUUUCCACCUAGAUAUGUGUUGUAUUUUUUUAUCUUAUUAAAAUAACAUAAAAUCUUAUUUACUCUCAAUCAAAAUCAAUCUAGAAUAUAAGGGUGUCUCUAUGUACUUCUCUAGGUGUGUGUUUAAUUGUUUUUUUUGUUGCAUAUAUGCAAAUAUCAAGUCAUAAAAACAUGUUUUACCUUAAUAAACACAACCAGGUGUUACUAAAAAAAUAUAAUCAUAAAAACCUAUAAUGAAAUAUAGAUAUACAAAUCAAGGAUAGAGGGAAAAGAAAUAUCUUCAAAUAAUAGAUGGAAAAUAGUGUUUUAUUUCUUUCUUCAUUAGGAGAUUUUCUAAGCUAAUAGGGUAAUUAAAAUCUUAAAUUUAAUCAUGCACAUUUAAACAAGAUGUGUGAAGAUGAAUUUGCUUCAAUCAAUUAGAAAGAAAAACAAAGAAGCAAUGAAAGUUGGGUUUAAUUUUACCUAAGAUAUUAUGAUAUGCAUACAUAAACAUUUUUUACCUACGAUAUUAUGAUAUGCAUACAUAAACAAAUUUUUUUGGCAAAAUUACAUUAAUAGUGUCCCUUAACUUAAUUUUAGGUAACGUUUUGGUCCUUUAUCUUAUUUUUUUAAUCCUUUAUCUUUUUAAAUGUUAACACUAUUAUCCCUUUUCUACAAAAACCCAACAAAUUCAUAACAAAAAUAAGUUGUUCAUCAAUAAACCUAUAUUUUCAUCAACAAAUACCAAAAACCCAGAUAUUUAUAAAAAUUCCAGAGAGAAAAAAAUGCAUUCAACUUCAGUUUUUGUUUCACAUAAACGUACUGAUUAUCAAAAUUAACAAAAGAUAUGAAUAAGUGUUCUGAGGGUAGGUGCAUUUAGCACACAAAACCAACACUCCAAAACCAUUAAGCAUUCAAAACCCAAAAGCAAUAAUAAGCUCCAGGUUUGUAAUUCAGAACUCUCUCUUUCACAAAGGCAAAGUGGCAGUAAGGCAAAUUGACAGUAAGGGUUUGAGUUUAUUUAAUUGAGAGAAGUGGGUUGAUAGAUGGUGGUGAUGUUGUUGGGGAAGAGCUGAAUUGGUGUAGGUUGUAUAAGAGGUUGGAAAUGUGAUUCAUUUUCAGCAUGAAAUGAUGAUAGAGCGCACAAAUAUGAUAUAGGAAAACAGAAAUGGUGAAGGGGAUUUUAUGAAGAUAUGUAUUUCUGGGUUUUAUUAUGAUGAAGAUAUGAGUUUUUUGUUAUGAAUUUGCUGGGUUUUUGUAGAAAAAGGAUAAUAUUGUUAACAUUUAAAAAGAUAAAGGAUUGAAAUGGGAAGAAAAAAAAUAAGAUAAAGGACCAAAACAUUACCUAAAAUUAAGUUAAGAAAUUAUUAGUGUAAUUUUGCCAUUUUUUUACAUAAGAUUAAUUUUCAUAUACUAUUAGGACUCGUUUAAUUGGUUAUGAUAAGAGAUAGAUAAGAUAAUUGUACCAUAUUCGACCUUAAUUCAAUGUUUGAUGAGACAACAACAUAAUUAAUUCUAAGAUUCUUUUCCCACAACAUGUAAGACAAGAUAUAAUAGUUUUAUUCUCCCAAUGUACAUUAAAACCCUUAUGUGAGGCUUAAGAGAGAUACAAGUAAAUGUUGAGAAAGUGUCUCAAUCAGGGGUGAAGUUAUAAGGGAGACCAGCAUAGACCAUAACCCCCUUCAAACUAUUUUCUAUUUUUUUAAUUUGUUUAUACUGGUGGGUAUUACUGCUAAUUGUUUGCAAGUCUUUUUAUUAUCAGAUUCAAAGGUUGCAGAAGCCUUAGCUAUGCGGAAGGUUUUGGAAUUUAUGAAAGACAUGUCUUUUCUGAAUCUUAUAGCAGAAUCAAAUGCUUCUAAUAUGGUCUUGGUGUUAAAUGCUCUCCAACAAUAUGGUCUUUAAUGUAUGUCUUCGUAGUUUAAAUUUUAAGCAUGUUAAGCGUGAAGCCAACCAAAGCUGCUCACUAUUUAGCUAAAUAGUAUGAUCUUCAUAAUUUAGAUUGCAUAUGAAUCGAAAAUAUUCUGUCUUAUAUUUAUGCAAUCUUGACAUUUGAUUUAUUGGUAAACUUUUUAUUAAUAAAAUUUUCUUUUAACUUAAAAAAAAGGGCGGAGGGAGUGAUUCUCUUUAAUGAAAUUUUCAAUUCUCUCUCUUUGGUCUUGUCAAACGAAU
rnacentral:lncRNA from 1 species